rnacentral:lncRNA from 1 species
CUGAACUUAGAAUUACUUCCACCUCUUUAUCUUCUUAGUUAUAAUAAGGCAUGAGUGAGCUUUUGGUAUAUUUAAUGAGAUAUAGAAAGGUAUUUACCCCCCUGUUAUCUCGCAACUCCAAAACCUGGUAAGUCUCUGGCCAAACCUGAAUUUAGAUGAAUGGACUUCAAACGAAAGGAUUUUCUUACAAAAGCUAAAAAAAUAUAACGGCAUGGUGAGAAUGGGAAAAUGAAAAUAGAAAGCAAAAGAAAAAGUUUCCAUCCGAUAAGACAAGUACAAAAUAAUCCAAGUUCUUAUUUGCCAUGCCAAUAUUAUUCAUGAAGAACUAAUCUGAUUUCUUUUCCAGAUAAGGUUAGUAACAAUUAAUCUGCAAAAUAACUGAACCAACUUGGUUAUUUUGACAUUACUCUUUCUCUUCUACGCUCAUUUUCUGCAUGGUUGCGGUUCAUCAACGGCCACGUUCACCAAAACGAGUCCACUCUCCCCACUUCACUUAUUUCCCCACCGUUAUGUCUCUCAAAGUGCAGCAGCAAGACAUGAACUCCUAUCAUUAUGAGCAAUAUAAAAAGCCCUCCUAAAAAUCCACCACCUGUUUGGCCAGAGAAACUCCAUUACUCAUUUCCACUCUCUCAAUUUUCAGCCCUUUCAUCAAAACACAAGCAUUACUUACCCAUGUUUAGACAUUAUUUAUUUUUCUGAUAUCACAUCAUUCGCCGGGGCGGGGGGGGACAAUUAACUGAUUUCAGCACAUAAAUUACAACAAGCUGGUCAAUUCACGUAAAUAAGGAAAAUUAACUCAAUCAAGUGAAGUAGGCACAAAAUGACCUCAAUGAGAUAUCAGAGACCUCUAAAAUCAAAUCAAAUUCAGUUAAACAAAGAAUCACUCAUGAAAGAUAAGCAAAAGAAAAAAAGCAAUGAAUAACAGAAAGAAAUUUCUUAUAAAAAUUCAAUAAAAUUAAAAAAAUUAGCUAAUCAUCUUUUCUGGUUAAGUGAUUUCGUCAGCAAAUAAGAGAAAAUAGAAAUUCUGGAAUAUACCUAGGGUUUCUAGCUUUGGGAAUUUACCUAAUGAGAAAUCAGUCUCUCUGUUUCUAGAUUUGUAACUAUCAUGGCCGAGCGACCACGAUCAGCUGAGAUAAUUGGAUUUUGCACCGGCGACGAUGCAAAUGUUUGGGGUUGGGUUUGGGUUUGGGUUUGACGAUAGACGAAGGAAUGUUAGGGCUUUGGGUGAUUUAAGGAUUUUAUUUAAUUCAAGUAAAGUGAAAAUAACUAAAGUAUCCCUAAGUUGGUUACGCAUUUUGAUGUCCAGAAUAGUUAAUUAAAUUUCUACUCGUGUAUUUAUGGUAUGCAUGAGUUACUUUCUCAACCGUUAGUGUGGAGACAAACGAAAGCAGGAUAAAGUUCGACGCAAAAUUUUAUUAGCAUACAAACGUAAGUACACUAUUGAAUAUGAAUAUGCCUUAAACAACCGCCUUUUUUCCGGGGAUAAUCACAUUAUAUAUAAAAUAAUACAACAAAAGAAUAGAAGUACAAGUAGAAAGGCAGUAUCUAGGUUGUCUCUGCUACUCGGCUUCCAGUUCCACCCAAAAAACUGCUCAAACAUCUUCGUUCAGGUAACCAAUCGCAGACUCUGUUAUUGCUUUAACUAAUUUAUCACAUUACCAUAAUUUCCAGAGCAGGGUGAUCUGGCAUCAUAAAUUUUAAUGUGAAGGUCUCAUUUGUAUUCGUUGUAUAUAUAUUUGUAUAUAUAUUAAAAUUUUGAAUUGCCGUUCUCAACACUCAUCCUUCCCACUAAUCUUUAAUAUCUAAUAUUCUGAUAUUAGGUGUUUAACUUUUUGAGUCAAUUAUUAUUAUUAUUUUUAACAUGCUUCUAAAAUUUUAUUAAAAAAUCUCUCUUCUCAUGAGAGAAUUUUAGAUGGGUUGUAUAUCACCUCAAGAGCCUAUUAUUUGAACAAGUGUAAAAUGAAAUCCAAUAAUUUUAAUGUGAAUUAUGAAAAAAAAAAUAGAUUUGAGGAUGAUAUCCACUAAAACUGUUAAAAUGACAAGUUAUGAUUAGUCAACCGUAUUAUAUCAGCAUGUGAAAAUAGUGCAUCAAACUUAUACACAAAUAUUUCUCCUCCUCGUAGCCUCAUUUGUAAUGUUUUAUCAUUUGUCGAUAAGUUUUAAUAGUUUACCAAAUUACAUUUUAAUAAAUAGACGAUAAACUGAUGUAGGGUGCGUUUGGGAUUGAGGUACUGUAACUUUUAAGCUACAGCUAUUGUGGAGAAAAAAUUAUAACUAUGAAAUAAAAGUUAGUAAUAUAUAGUAAAUAUAUAUUAAUAUCAGAAGGAAAUAGGAUCGAAGGAUGGAAGUGCUUUCGUUGGAUUUUCAAUAUUAAAACUCAAAUAAAACAAUUAAUGGAUCGGCUUUUCCAAAUUUUAAAUUAAAUUACCAGCUUUGAAAUUAAGUAGAUUUGCUUUGGAACGCGGUUGGUCAGAUUUUACAAUAUUAAAAGUACGUGGCGUUGUUAAACCAGAUCGAUCGCAGAAGUUAAUCUGCCUUUGGACCCAGAUCUGACUUAGGACAGAUCAAUAGUCCGCACGUUCGGGUUUCCAGCCUAUAUACUUUAAUAUAAUUACCAAAUAUUUGUUAGAUUCUUUAUCAAGCCUAGCAACACAUACAUCUAGGGCUUGGGUACAUACACAGUACUAGAUCCGGAUCCCGAAAAUAGUGCUCUGAAGAAGGAGGGAGAAAGAAAGAUACAACUGAGGAUCGAGAUUUGGUCUCUUUGCCUCAGAGGAACGUAUAAUUUAUAUGGCAGAUCUGAUACAGAUCAGUCUGCAAUCAUGCUUUGUAAAAAUAAAAUGCGUUAAAAUUAAAUUGCAGAAAUUUAAAUUACAUAAAGUAAAUUGCGGAAAUUAAUUUACAAUGCUUUAAUUUAAAUGACUGAAUCAUAAAUCAUACAUGUUGCUUUGAAGCUUUGUGCUUGACACAAUUUUAUAGAUCGGUCUUUUAAAGAAAGAUUGAAAGAUGGGAAGAUUUCAAGACAGGAAACCUCCUUGAUGUCUUGAUCAUUUACAAGACAGGAUAGUUGUCCUGGAUGUCUUGAUCCGAACUUCCCAAAGAGAGAGAGCUUUAGAGAGAAGGAAGAGAAGAAGAGAGAGAGAGAGAAGCUCUAAACUAGAAAUGAAAAAAAAUUCUGAGGAGUUUAAGUCUUCCUCACUGAUUAUAUACAGAAUUUUAAAACUGUUCACUGUAGCGGAGCUUUGAGUGCACAGUAAUCUUUGGAAAUUGGUACUGUUCACUGUAGCGGAGUUUUGAGUGCACAGUAAUCUUUGGAAAUUGGCACUGUUCUUAAUAACUUGUGCCUAGCAGAGAACACUGCAGCUGGUAAGUCGAGCAGGAAUAACUGCAGCUAGAAUGAGCAGGGAUUACUGCAGCUAGAAUGCCGAGCAGGGAUCACCGCAGCUGGAAUGCCGAGCAGGAAUUUUUGGAUGGUAUCUCUGAAGAUUUUGUAACACGGGUGAAGAGACAUGUGCGCUCUCACUUGUGUCCAAAGGACCACCCGAAGAUUCAAAAUAUGUAAAGAAAAUACGAGAAUACUUUUUUUUUUUUUAUAGUUACAUGAACUAUUUACAAUGCUUUAAAGGAGAGAAAAUUCCAAAACAAUCAUCUUCAUUUUCAUCUCCGAGAGAAACGGUUGGCUCGUCGUCGUCGUCGUCGUCAUCUUCAGUGGAAUCUGCUACUGAGGACUUGGACCGAGAGGCGAGGAGCUGUUCCAUGGCUUUGAAGUAUUCUUCUUCUGUUUUGGCACUUGCCAAAAGAGACUGGGCUUUGGAUUUUUGGGUAAGAAAAGUUUGCUGGGCUUUGGAGUCUUUAAUGGUUGGUUGUAGAUGGCCUCUAGAGGAGAGCCAUUUUUCAAUAUCAUCAGUAGUCAAUUUGGAUUGUUCAUCGAAUUUUGACCACCAUUUGACUUUAAAGGUUCUUUGAAGGAUUAAUUGGGAAUCUUGAGUAUGGUGUCAGAGACUCCACAUCCAAACCCAAGGGAGAAAAAAGUUUGUACAAAAGCAGAGAAAAUGAGGAAAUCUUUUCUCAGACUCAGAAGGCUUGUAAUGGGCUUUAAAAAGGUUUAAACAGUUUAAGGCGUUAGGGGUAAGAAUGUCUGGACUGGGCCCAAAAUGAUUCCACCAGUGUUGGAACCAAUUUGGUAGACUUUGAACGGUUAUUUUUUAAUUGAAGAAAAAUAACCAAGAGUGGGAUUUUUUAGGAUUUUGGAUAAAAAAAGGUGUUAUACCAGGCUUGUUGGUAAUCCCAGUAGGAAAAAGUCCGACAAUGUGGUAAACGGGUCUCAAAAUUUAAAGGGAAAGUUUUGAAAUUGUGGAGUAGGUCACCCCACUGGUUUGGGCUCAAUACUUUUAGGAUUGUGGCCGUGGAAUAGGCAGGCUCAGAAUGAGCAUUACUGAGAAAAAAGUGUUUGAAUUUUACUGAUUCAGUAAUUUCCAAAAUGCUUUGAUAAUAAGACUGGGGUUUUGCCAAAUCCCAUGGUUUGAAAAACCAGCCUUUGGGGAAAAACUUUGAAAUGCUUUGGAAAGGAUCAGUAUGGUAAAAUCCAUCUUCUAUAGAAAGAAUGUUUUGAAAAUGGGUUUUAUCAAACCAAUCGGAGGUUUUCUUUGAAAGUGUUGGCUGAGAAAGCACAAUUUGAGAAGAUGAGCUUUCACAGGACACAACGACAUUUUGGGAAGAGGGCUUUGAGACUUCUUUGGAAAUGGGCUUUUCAAUUUCUUCAUUUUUAGGAGAAGGUUGGCUUUGAGAAAGGCUUUGUAAAGCGAGCAUAAGCUCAGGGGAUUUUGUAAUGGAACUCAUCCAUUGCUUUACUUGGUCAUCAGAGGAAAUAGAUUUGUAUUGGGCUUCAUGUUCCUCGACCAAUUCAAUCCAAGAUUUAAUGGGCAUAGCUGAAGAAAUAAGUUUUUCUUUAGAAGGGGUUGAAGAGGUUUCUUUAGAGGGUGCUUGAGGCUUAGUGAGUGCAGCUUUACCUUUAUCCUUCUUUGGCGGCAUUAUCUGUUUUGAAGAAAUUCUCUGGUUAGAAAAUCAAGAACAGAGUUUUUGUCACCUUUAAUAAACUCAAUAUCAAAAUAAAAAACACUUAAAAUAGCUUGCCAUCGUGCAAAAAUCUGUUUGGAUGCAAUGUUUUGAACAUCUUUUUCUAAAACAUGUUUUGCAGCUUUGCAAUCAAUUCUAAGUAAAAAUUUUUGAUUCAAUAAAUCACUUUGGAAUUUAGAUAUGCAUAAAACAAUAGAAAGAAUUUCUUUUUUGAUAGUAGAAUAAUUUUUCUGGCAAUCAUUCCAAUGAGCAGAAACAUAUUGUACUAUCUGUUCUUUAUCAUUUUCUUUUUGUUUCAAUAUACCUCCAUAACCUAAGUCAGAUGCAUCAGUUUCAACAAUCUUAGGUAAUGCAGGAUUUGCAAGAAAUAAACAUGGGAUGUUUUUCACAGACUGCUUUAUUAAUCUAACAACUUUAGUAUGUUCGUCUGACCAUGCAACAAGAUUCUUUUUUAAUCUGUCAUGCAAAGGUUUAGACAUCCUAUUGAUGUUAGGGCAUAAAUCAAGAACAUAAUUUAAACUACCAAGAAAUCUUUGUAAUUGGGUUUUGUCUAAAAUUUUGUCUGGGAAUUUAUCCGCAAACAAAAGUGAUCUUUCAAUAGGGGUGAUGGUUCCUUUGGAAAUAUGGUGACCAAGAAACCUGACUUUUGUUUGAAAUAAAGAAAUUUUUGAACUAGAGAGGGCUAACCCAGCCUUUCUAGUAGCAAGAUAAAAUGUCUUUAAUUGUUUGAAAUGUUGAUCUAUGGUCUGAGAAAAAAUCAACACGUCAUCAAUAUAUACAAUGCAAAACUCAGAAUAGGGAUUAUAAAUGUCAUUCAUGAUUCUUUGAAAUUCUGAGGGUGCAUUUUUCAAACCAAAAGGCAUUACUGUCCAUUCGUAUUGACCAAAGGGAACAGUAAAAGCUGUUUUAUAACGGUCAUUAGGGUGAAGUUGAAUUUGCCAAAAACCAGACUUCAUAUCAAAUUUUGAAAAAAUGAAAGCUGAGCAGAGUUUUUGAAGCAAAUCUUUUUUGUUAGGUAUGGGAUACCUAAUCCAUUUUAAAGCUUUAUUCAAAGGUUUGUAAUUUAUCACAAGUCUCGGAACGCCUCUUUCAAUUUCAGAAUUUUUAUUAACAUAAAAAGCGGCACAAGACCAUGGUGAUCUGGAUUUUACAAUGAGACCUUUGGUUUCUAAAUCUUUUAUUUCGGUUUUACAAUGUUGUUCCAAUUCCAUAUUCAUUUGGAUUGGACGAGCUUUAGUGGGUAUUUGCUUUUCAUCAAAAGAAUUUUCAUAAGGCAAAUCUACCAAGUGUUGUUUUCUAUUCCAAAAAGCAGAAGGUAAAUCAGCACAUAUUUCUUUUUCAAUAAGAGCUUUAAAAUCAGAGAUUUUUCUUUGUAUAAAAUCAUUUUGUAAUUGACUCUCAAUUCUUUGAAAACUUAAAUCCUUUUGUAAACAAAAUAAAUCAUCUUGUUUAGAUUUAAGGAUGGCAUUGACUUUGUUUUGGUAAACAGAACAAGCUUUGACAAUGUUAAGAUUCCUUGUCUUUGGUUUUUCAAUAAAUGAGAAAACAAGAUCUUUGGAUUUUGCUCUGAAAUAUAUACCAUCAUAAUUGACAGUAUAAGGGGUUAUGAGAUUUAUAAAAGGGGUUCCUAAAAUGAUAGCAUGGUGUAUAUCAUUUGUAAGAACAAAAGAAGUUUUAAAUUCAAUUUCAUUAUUAUAAAUUGAAGCUUCAACUUUGGAACUAACUUUCAGUUUUGAAUUAUUUACAGCUGAAAGUCUUUCAUUAGUCUGUUCAUGAAAUCUUUUUGGAACAAUGUCCUCACGAAUACAAUUUAAAUCAGCACCAGUGUCAAAAAGAGCAAUGGCGUCCAUUGCAAAAUAUUUGGAAAAGAUCAAAGUAAUUUUCACCAAAUAUUUUCUGGUGGUGAUUUGUUUUAAAACAAACAAAAAAUCUUUUGGAACAGACUUAAUGUUUUCAACCUUUUGAUCAAUAUCAUCAUCAUCAGGAGUUGACUCAUUAUCUGAGUUAUCCUGUAAUUGCUUUUGUAAAAGAAGUUGGAUUGUAUUAGAAUCACAUUUUUGUUUUUCUUUUAAAUCCUUUAUUUCAAGUUUAAUAUCCUUGAUUUCCUUUUGAAGAUCUUGGAUACUAGGGGUAGAUUUCUUUGUUUUCUUUUUGUCUAAAAUCUCAGUAAGAUCGUAAGAAUUCUUUUUAACAACAGGAACUUGAGAGGUUCCGGCUUUGUUGGAAUCCAUGGUUUUCAAAAGUUUAUCAAAAUACUCCUUUUGAAGAUUUGGAUCUGAAAUAUGCUUUACAAGUUCAAGAAAAAUCUCUUGGUCUUUAGUCAAAACAUUGAUUUUCUUUAAAUAAGAAUCCGAAUCAGAAUCGCCACUGCUAGAUGCAGAGGUAUCUGAAUCAAGUAACUCAUCAACUUGGAGGGGGUCACUGUCUCCCGACAUGGAAGACUCAGAGUCAGAAGACUCUACAAGAAGGGGGGCUAUUUUAGAAAGGAUGUCCUCAUUGAGGUCAAGCUCUUGGAGUCUCUUGUUCAUUCUGCAAAAUUUUGCAGUAUGACCUUUCAUACCACAUUUAAAACAUGUAGCAUCUUUGAAAUUGAAUGGGGUUUUAGGUUUGGUUUUAAACUCUUUCUUUUUAGAGAAACUAGGUUUCUUAUAAGGCCUCGAGGGUUUCUUAUAAGGAAGUUUCCUAAAAUCAUGAAAGGGUUUCCUAUAGCUUUUAGACUUGUAAUGUUUCUUGUAAGGUUUUGAAGAACACUUACCAUUACAGUCUUUAGAAGUAGAAGUUUUAAAGGGGUCAUAAUUGAAUUGCUUACAGAAGCCGCCUAAUUCUUGCUUAGAUUUCCUAAGCUCCCAUUUUAGACGUCUCUGUAGUUUCAAAUCUUGACAGAUCUUUAAACCUUCUUUAUUGACAAAACUGACUAGUUCACCAUAGGUGAGCUCGUCAUAAGGAACACGAUUGUCAUAAAGGGCUUUGAUGGAAUUUCUAACAUUUUCUCCCAAAAGGGUAGGUAAACCUGCAAGGAAUUUCUCCUUCCAAGUUACAUGAUUUGCAUCAUCCCUUAGGAAGAGUCUGGUAAAGAAAGUGGUUUUGUAAUCUUGGAAUUCACUGAGUUUUCUACAUCUUAAAUUGUGUAGUAACUCGGCAUUUUUGUCUAUGAGGUGAGAAGGGUCACCUAUGAAAUGAAGGGAUAUGGUUAAAAUCAGGGUAGCAACAGCAUCCUGAAUUGGAUUAUUGAAUUCGUCAAGAAUGGGAGCACUAUUCUCAUCGAUUUGGAUGGCAUUUAAGAUGUCUAAUUGCUGCAAUUUGGUGAGAAGAUGAUCCCACCAUCCUUUCAGUUGACCAGUAAAACCAGCAAUUAGGAUUUCUGCAAUGGCCUUGUCAGAAGGUCCUGAUUGGGUUUUAUAGGCAUUGGCUGCCAUGGUCAUUUGCUGCAAUACACCUAGAAUGUUGUACUCAGACAUUCUAUCUAUAUUCCACUCAUAGACAGAGGAUGCAUUAUAUCGAGCUUGAUUUAAUGCACUGGGCCUAUUGUCUAUAGUCAAAUCAGGUGGAGAUUUGGAAGUAGGGAGGGCUAACUCCCAAUGGAUUUUGUUGGCUUUAGGAACGGGUUCUUCGGUAAAGGCUUCUAAGUCAGAAGAGGCAAUAGAAACCUGGUCUUGUUCCAGUACUCCAAUCUUGCUAGAUUGAGGAGUAUCAGGGGCUAUUUGAACUUUGCUAGAUGAGGAAGAAGCAGCUUCUAUCCUAUCUAGUUGUUCUCUAAUGGCUUUAGUAAAAUCUGAUUUUGAUUCGUGGACAAGCCUUUGGCUAGUUUUCGAAACCUGAAAAGGUUUGAAAAUAGGUUCCUUAAGCUUUUUAUCAGAAUCCGAUUUUGAUGAAAUAUGAGUAGUCGAGGAGACUGCGAUGGUUGACUUUUGGAAUUGGUUUUCUAUCAUGGUCAACUGCUUUCCGAUAGUAUUUAAGUUAGUAUUACAGAAAUUAUUCUGCUGGAUAAUACUACUUAAAUUGGCUUCAGAAUCAUUUGGCUUAGGGAUUUUGUACGGAGAAGCUCUGAUUUCAAUAGGAGGUUCACCAUGAUCUAUGGUUAAACUCCUGAAAGGUGGAUGUUCAGAUUCUAUGGUUUUAUUACUAUCAGUAAGUUUCCAUUCAGGAAUUUUCUUCCUAAUAGUAAUAGGGUUUGACUCUUUAAAAGGAUAAGAAAUGUUGUUCUCUGAAGAAUAUAUUUCGAACCAAUCAAAAAACAAUAUAUGAACUUGAUGAAGAUUCACAAAUUCAUAAUAAGUUUGUUGGAUUUCUUUCCUUUGAUUUAGAAAAUGCUCAAAAAACCAAAGUCUUUUUUCUUCGUUUUUUUUUGAAUAAAAAUCAUUAUAAAGAAGAGUUUUAUCCAAAUCAAAGUGCUUUUCAAUAACAUUUAUGACGUUUUCUGUGACAGUAGAGAACGUAGGAGAAGUUGGAGGAGAAGGUUCCUUCUCUUCCGGUCUUUGUUCAUGUUGACUGCUAAUAUAAAUGGGAUGAGGUACUUUUGUUUACAAAAGGAUUUAAGUUUUCAAAGAAUUGAGAGUCAAUUACAAAAUGAUUUUAUACAAAGAAAAAUCUCUGAUUUUAAAGCUCUUAUUGAAAAAGAAAUAUGUGUUGAUUUACCUUCAAAUAAAACAAAAAAGUUUGAUUUCCUAAAGAGUGAUUAUGUCAUAAAAACCGAAGAAAGAGACAUAACCCUUUCUUCACCAUUUGAAACAAUACAUUUGUUUUCAGAAAAAUCUUUAAAGAAGUUAAAAGAAAAGAAUUUUAAUUACAUCCACAUUGGUUUAAUCCAAAUAGGAAUAAAGCCCUUAACCAAAUAAGGCCUGGAUACUUCUAUCAUUGCUGUUCUUAGAGAUGGUCGAUUCAUCUCUUUUGAUGAUUCCUUGCUAAGUAGCAUCGAAUCCAGUCUCUGUAAAGGUCCAAUUUCUUUUGACUGUUAUCCAAACAUAACACUUUCUCUUAAAGACAAAAAUAUUUUGAAAAGCAUGAUUUUACAGAUUAAAACGCAUAAUUACAACAUGAUUGAGGGAUCUGUCCCAGUUGCUUUAAUCUUUAAAAUCUCUUAUAAGGCAAUGAUCUCUGCGUUUAGUACGCAGCAUAAAUUCCAGUCAAAAAGAGAUGAGACUCUUCUCUUGCAGACUGACUUGUCUAAAGCAAACACGGUCAUUCCAAAACCAAUCCAAUGGAAAGAUGUCAAUCUUCCAGAAGAAUGGAUACUUGAAGGAAUUGCUCCACCAGCGAUUCCAAGACAACUUGAGCCAAAUACAGAGUUGCAAAAUGUGACUCAGUAUUCUGAUGGAAAAGUUAAACUAUCCUUUAGGAGAUCUAACUCAACCAGAUUUUCUGAUAAAGAGUCGUGCUCAAGUAUUCCUUCAUUAGAAAGGAAAUUUACAAAAAUCCCUUCUGUUAUAAAUCUUCCUUUUCAGAGUCAACCUAGGUUUUCCACUACGGAUUUACCUAGUUCCUCCAUUCGUUCUGUUGACUAUACCACAAAAGUACCUCAUCCCAUUUAUAUUAGCAGUCAACAUGAACAAAGACCGGAAGAGAAGGAACAUUCUCCUCCAACUUCUCCUACGUUCUCUGCUGUCACAGAAAACGUCAUAAAUGUUAUUGAAAAGCACUUUGAUUUGGAUAAAACUCUUCUUCAUAAUGAUUUUUAUUCAAACAAAAACGAAGAAAAAAGACUUUGGUUUUUUGAGCAUUUUCUAAAUCAAAGGAAAGAAAUCCAACAAACUUAUUAUGAAUUUGUGAAUCUUCAUCAAGUUCAUAUAUUGUUUUUUGAUUGGUUCGAAAUAUAUUCUUCAGAGAACAACAUUUCUUAUCCUUUUAAAGAGUCAAACCCUAUUACUAUUAGGAAGAAAAUUCCUGAAUGGAAACUUACUGAUAGUAAUAAAACCAUAGAAUCUGAACAUCCACCUUUCAGGAGUUUAACCAUAGAUCAUGGUGAACCUCCUAUUGAAAUCAGAGCUUCUCCGUACAAAAUCCCUAAGCCAAAUGAUUCUGAAGCCAAUUUAAGUAGUAUUAUCCAGCAGAAUAAUUUCUGUAAUACUAACUUAAAUACUAUCGGAAAGCAGUUGACCAUGAUAGAAAACCAAUUCCAAAAGUCAACCAUCGCAGUCUCCUCGACUACUCAUAUUUCAUCAAAAUCGGAUUCUGAUAAAAAGCUUAAGGAACCUAUUUUCAAACCUUUUCAGGUUUCGAAAACUAGCCAAAGGCUUGUCCACGAAUCAAAAUCAGAUUUUACUAAAGCCAUUAGAGAACAACUAGAUAGGAUAGAAGCUGCUUCUUCCUCAUCUAGCAAAGUUCAAAUAGCCCCUGAUACUCCUCAAUCUAGCAAGAUUGGAGUACUGGAACAAGACCAGGUUUCUAUUGCCUCUUCUGACUUAGAAGCCUUUACCGAAGAACCCGUUCCUAAAGCCAACAAAAUCCAUUGGGAGUUAGCCCUCCCUACUUCCAAAUCUCCACCUGAUUUGACUAUAGACAAUAGGCUCAGUGCAUUAAAUCAAGCUCGAUAUAAUGCAUCCUCUGUCUAUGAGUGGAAUAUAGAUAGAAUGUCUGAGUACAACAUUCUAGGUGUAUUGCAGCAAAUGACCAUGGCAGCCAAUGCCUAUAAAACCCAAUCAGGACCUUCUGACAAGGCCAUUGCAGAAAUCCUAAUUGCUGGUUUUACUGGUCAACUGAAAGGAUGGUGGGAUCAUCUUCUCACCAAAUUGCAGCAAUUAGACAUCUUAAAUGCCAUCCAAAUCGAUGAGAAUAGUGCUCCCAUUCUUGACGAAUUCAAUAAUCCAAUUCAGGAUGCUGUUGCUACCCUGAUUUUAACCAUAUCCCUUCAUUUCAUAGGUGACCCUUCUCACCUCAUAGACAAAAAUGCCGAGUUACUACACAAUUUAAGAUGUAGAAAACUCAGUGAAUUCCAAGAUUACAAAACCACUUUCUUUACCAGACUCUUCCUAAGGGAUGAUGCAAAUCAUGUAACUUGGAAGGAGAAAUUCCUUGCAGGUUUACCUACCCUUUUGGGAGAAAAUGUUAGAAAUUCCAUCAAAGCCCUUUAUGACAAUCGUGUUCCUUAUGACGAGCUCACCUAUGGUGAACUAGUCAGUUUUGUCAAUAAAGAAGGUUUAAAGAUCUGUCAAGAUUUGAAACUACAGAGACGUCUAAAAUGGGAGCUUAGGAAAUCUAAGCAAGAAUUAGGCGGCUUCUGUAAGCAAUUCAAUUAUGACCCCUUUAAAACUUCUACUUCUAAAGACUGUAAUGGUAAGUGUUCUUCAAAACCUUACAAGAAACAUUACAAGUCUAAAAGCUAUAGGAAACCCUUUCAUGAUUUUAGGAAACUUCCUUAUAAGAAACCCUCGAGGCCUUAUAAGAAACCUAGUUUCUCUAAAAAGAAAGAGUUUAAAACCAAACCUAAAACCCCAUUCAAUUUCAAAGAUGCUACAUGUUUUAAAUGUGGUAUGAAAGGUCAUACUGCAAAAUUUUGCAGAAUGAACAAGAGACUCCAAGAGCUUGACCUCAAUGAGGACAUCCUUUCUAAAAUAGCCCCCCUUCUUGUAGAGUCUUCUGACUCUGAGUCUUCCAUGUCGGGAGACAGUGACCCCCUCCAAGUUGAUGAGUUACUUGAUUCAGAUACCUCUGCAUCUAGCAGUGGCGAUUCUGAUUCGGAUUCUUAUUUAAAGAAAAUCAAUGUUUUGACUAAAGACCAAGAGAUUUUUCUUGAACUUGUAAAGCAUAUUUCAGAUCCAAAUCUUCAAAAGGAGUAUUUUGAUAAACUUUUGAAAACCAUGGAUUCCAACAAAGCCGGAACCUCUCAAGUUCCUGUUGUUAAAAAGAAUUCUUACGAUCUUACUGAGAUUUUAGACAAAAAGAAAACAAAGAAAUCUACCCCUAGUAUCCAAGAUCUUCAAAAGGAAAUCAAGGAUAUUAAACUUGAAAUAAAGGAUUUAAAAGAAAAAAAAAUGUGAUUCUAAUACAAUCCAACUUCUUUUACAAAAGCAAUUACAGGAUAACUCAGAUAAUGAGUCAACUCCUGAUGAUGAUGAUAUUGAUCAAAAGGUUGAAAACAUUAAGUCUGUUCCAAAAGAUUUUUUGUUUGUUUUAAAACAAAUCACCACCAGAAAAUAUUUGGUGAAAAUUACUUUGAUCUUUUCCAAAUAUUUUGCAAUGGACGCCAUUGCUCUUUUUGACACUGGUGCUGAUUUAAAUUGUAUUCGUGAGGACAUUGUUCCAAAAAGAUUUCAUGAACAGACUAAUGAAAGACUUUCAGCUGCAAAUAAUUCAAAACUGAAAGUUAGUUCCAAAGUUGAAGCUUCAAUUUAUAAUAAUGAAAUUGAAUUCAAAACUUCUUUUGUUCUUACAAAUGAUAUACACCAUGCUAUCAUUUUAGGAACCCCUUUUAUAAAUCUCAUAACCCCUUAUACUGUCAAUUAUGAUGGUAUAUAUUUCAGAGCAAAAUCCAAAGAUCUUGUUUUCUCAUUUAUUGAAAAACCAAAGACAAGGAAUCUUAACAUUGUCAAAGCUUGUUCUGUUUACCAAAACAAAGUCAAUGUCAUCCUUAAAUCUAAACAAGAUGAUUUAUUUUGUUUACAAAAGGAUUUAAGUUUUCAAAGAAUUGAGAGUCAAUUACAAAAUGAUUUUAUACAAAGAAAAAUCUCUGAUUUUAAAGCUCUUAUUGAAAAAGAAAUAUGUGCUGAUUUACCUUCUGCUUUUUGGAAUAGAAAACAACACUUGGUAGAUUUGCCUUAUGAAAAUUCUUUUGAUGAAAAGCAAAUACCCACUAAAGCUCGUCCAAUCCAAAUGAAUAUGGAAUUGGAACAACAUUGUAAAACCGAAAUAAAAGAUUUAGAAACCAAAGGUCUCAUUGUAAAAUCCAGAUCACCAUGGUAUUGUGCCGCUUUUUAUGUUAAUAAAAAUUCUGAAAUUGAAAGAGGCGUUCCGAGACUUGUGAUAAAUUACAAACCUUUGAAUAAAGCUUUAAAAUGGAUUAGGUAUCCCAUACCUAACAAAAAAGAUUUGCUUCAAAAACUCUGCUCAGCUUUCAUUUUUUCAAAAUUUGAUAUGAAGUCUGGUUUUUGGCAAAUUCAACUUCACCCUAAUGACCGUUAUAAAACAGCUUUUACUGUUCCCUUUGGUCAAUACGAAUGGACAUUAAUGCCUUUUGGUUUGAAAAAUGCACCCUCAGAAUUUCAAAGAAUCAUGAAUGACAUUUAUAAUCCCUAUUCUGAGUUUUGCAUUGUAUAUAUUGAUGACGUGUUGAUUUUUUCUCAGACCAUAGAUCAACAUUUCAAACAUUUAAAGACAUUUUAUCUUGCUACUAGAAAGGCUGGGUUAGCCCUCUCUAGUUCAAAAAUUUCUUUAUUUCAAACAAAAGUCAGGUUUCUUGGUCACCAUAUUUCCAAAGGAACCAUCACCCCUAUUGAAAGAUCACUUUUGUUUGCGGAUAAAUUCCCAGACAAAAUUUUAGACAAAACCCAAUUACAAAGAUUUCUUGGUAGUUUAAAUUAUGUUCUUGAUUUCUGCCCUAACAUCAAUAGGAUGUCUAAACCUUUGCAUGACAGAUUAAAAAAGAAUCAUGUUGCAUGGUCAGACGAACAUACUAAAGUUGUUAGAUUAAUAAAGCAGUCUGUGAAAAACAUCCCAUGUUUAUUUCUUGCAAAUCCUGCAUUACCUAAGAUUGUUGAAACUGAUGCAUCUGACUUAGGUUAUGGAGGUAUAUUGAAACAAAAAGAAAAUGAUAAAGAACAGAUAGUACAAUAUGUUUCUGCUCAUUGGAAUGAUUGCCAGAAAAAUUAUUCUACUAUCAAAAAAGAAAUUCUUUCUAUUGUUUUAUGCAUAUCUAAAUUCCAAAGUGAUUUAUUGAAUCAAAAAUUUUUACUUAGAAUUGAUUGCAAAGCUGCAAAACAUGUUUUAGAAAAAGAUGUUCAAAACAUUGCAUCCAAACAGAUUUUUGCACGAUGGCAAGCUAUUUUAAGUGUUUUUGAUUUUGAUAUUGAGUUUAUUAAAGGUGACAAAAACUCUGUUCCUGAUUUUCUAACCAGAGAAUUUCUUCAAAACAGAUAAUGCCGCCAAAGAAGGAUAAAGGUAAAGCUGAACUCACUAAGCCUCAAGCACCCUCUAAAGAAACCUCUUCAACCCCUUCUAAAGAAAAACUUCUUUCUUCAGCUAUGCCCAUUAAAUCUUGGAUUGAAUUGGUCGAGGAACAUGAAGCCCAAUACAAAUCUAUUUCCUCUGAUGACAAAGUAAAGCAAUGGAUGAGUUCCAUUACAAAAUCCCCUGAGCUUAUGCUCGCUUUACAAUGCCUUUCUCAAAGCCAACCUUCUCCUAAAAAGGAAGAAAUUGAAAAGCCCAUUUCCAAAGAAGUCUCAAAGCCCUCUUCCCAAAAUGUCGUUGUGUCCUGUGAAAGCUCAUCUUCUCAAAUUGUGCUUUCUCAGCCAACACUUUCAAAGAAAACCUCCGAUUGGUUUGAUAAAACCCAUUUUCAAAACAUUCUUUCUAUAGAAGAUGGAUUUUACCAUACUGAUCCUUUCCAAAGCAUUUCAAAGUUUUUCCCCAAAGGCUGGUUUUUCAAACCAUGGGAUUUGACAAAACCCCAGUCUUAUUAUCAAAGCAUUUUGGAAAUUACUGAAUCAGUAAAAUUCAAACACUUUUUUCUCAGUAAUGCUCAUUCUGAGCCUGCCUAUUCCACGGCCACAAUCCUAAAAGUAUUGAGCCCAAACCAGUGGGGUGACCUACUCCACAAUUUCAAAACUUUCCCUUUAAAUUUUGAGACCCGUUUACCACAUUGUCGGACUUUUUCCUACUGGGAUUACCAACAAGCCUGGUAUAACACCUUUUUUAUCCAAAAUCCUAAAAAAUCCCACUCUUGGUUAUUUUUCUUCAAUUCAAAAAUAACCGUUCAAAGUCUACCAAAUUGGUUCCAACACUGGUGGAAUCAUUUUGGGCCCAGUCCAGACAUUCUUACCCCUAACGCCUUAAACUGUUUAAACCUUUUUAAAGCCCAUUACAAGCCUUCUGAGUCUGAGAAAAGAUUUCCUCAUUUUCUCUGCUUUUGUACAAACUUUUUUCUCCCUUGGGUUUGGAUGUGGAGUCUCCGACACCAUACUCAAGAUUCCCAAUUAAUCCUUCAAAGAACCUUUAAAGUCAAAUGGUGGUCAAAAUUCGAUGAACAAUUCAAAUUGACUACUGAUGAUAUUGAAAAAUGGCUCUCCUCUAGAGGCCAUCUACAACCAACCAUUAAAGACUCCAAAGCCCAGCAAACUUUUCUUACCCAAAAAUCCAAAGCCCAGUCUCUUUUGGCAAGUGCCAAAAUAGAAGAAGAAUACUUCAAAGCCAUGGAACAGCUCCUCGCCUCUCGGUCCAAGUCCUCAGUAGCAGAUUCCACUGAAGAUGACGACGACGACGACGACGAGCCAACCGUUUCUCUCGGAGAUGAAAAUGAAGAUGAUUGUUUUGGAAUUUGCUCUCCUUUAAAGCAUUGUAAAUAGUUCAUGUAACUAUAAAAAAAAAAAAAAAGUAUUCUCGUAUUUUCUUUACAUAUUUUGAAUCUUCGGGUGGUCCUUUGGACACAAGUGAGAGCGCACAUGUCUCUUCACCCGUGUUACAAAAUCUUCAGAGAUACCAUCCAAAAAUUCCUGCUCGGCAUUCCAGCUGCAGUGAUCCCUGCUCGGCAUUCCAGCUGCAGUUAUUCCUGCUCGACUUACCAGCUGCAGUGUUCUCUGCUCGGCACAAGUUAUUAAGAACAGUGCCAAUUUCUAAAGAUUACUGUGCACUCAAAACUCCGCUACAGUGAACAGUACCAAUUUCCAAAGAUUACUGUGCACUCAAAGCUCCGCUACAGUGAACAGUUUUAAAAUUCUGUAUAUAAUCAAUGAGGAAGACUUAGACUCCUCAGAAUUUUUUUUCAUUUCUAGUUUAGAGCUUCUCUCUCUCUCUCUUCUUCUCUUCCUUCUCUCUAAAGCUCUAUCUCUUUGGGAAGUUCGGAUCAAGACAUCCAGGACAACUAUCCUGUCUUGUAAAUGAUCAAGACAUCAAGGAGGUUUCCUUUCUUGAAAUCUUCCCAUCUUUCAAUCUUUCUUUCAAAGACCGAUCUAUAAAAUUGUGUCAAGCACAAAGCUUCAAAGCAACAUGUAUGAUUUAUGAUUCAGUCAUUUAAAUUAAAGCAUUGUAAAUUAAUUUCCGCAAUUUACUUUAUGUAAUUUAAAUUUCUGCAAUUUAAUUUUAACGCAUUUUAUUUUUACAAAGCAUGAUUGCAGACUGAUCUGUAUCAGAUCUGCCAUAUAAAUUAUACGUUCCUCUGAGGCAAAGAGACCAGAUCUCGAUCCUCAGUUGUAUCUUUCUUUCUCCCUCCUUCUUCAGAGCACUAUUUCCGGGAUCCGGAUCUAGUACUGUGUAUGUACCCAAGCCCUAGAUGUAUGUGUUGCUAGGCUUGAUAAAGAAUCUAACAAAUAUUUGGUAAUUAUAUUAAAGUAUAUAGGCUGGAAACCCGAACGUGCGGACUAUUGAUCUGUCCUAAGUCAGAUCUGGGUCCAAAGGCAGAUUAACUUCUGCGAUCGAUCUGGUUUAACAACGCCACGUACUUUUAAUAUUGUAAAAUCUGACCAACCGCGUUCCAAAGCAAAUCUACUUAAUUUCAAAGCUGGUAAUUUAAUUUAAAAUUUGGAAAAGCCGAUCCAUUAAUUGUUUUAUUUGAGUUUUAAUAUUGAAAAUCCAACGAAAGCACUUCCAUCCUUCGCGAAUGGGCUUAAUAUAUUAUCCCAGUACUGGAACUGGGGCCCGCACCACCACGGUGGUGACUCCUAUACACCUACCCCGCGCUUGUGGGGCCGAGAUGGGGUCACGAUGUCGUGGCAUAACGUGGAGACGUUACCUGGUUUGGUCCGGGUGGCGCUUAAGUAUAAAGUAGCGCCUUCCCCUAACAGCUUAAGCUUUUAGGGCGAGUGGUAAGCGCCUUAAGUUGGUAUCAGAGCCAGCCAGGGUUCGAAACUCGGGGGGGAGGAAUGGGCUUAAUAUAUUAUCCCAGUACUGGAACUGGGGCCCGCACCACCACGGUGGUGACUCCUAUACACCUACCCCGCGCUUGUGGGGCCGAGAUGGGGUCACGAUGUCGUGGCAUAACGUGGAGACGUUACCUGGUUUGGUCCGGGUGGCGCUUAAGUAUAAAGUAGCGCCUUCCCCUAACAGCUUAAGCUUUUAGGGCGAGUGGUAAGCGCCUUAAGUUAGUGCUGGGUUUUAUUCAUCUCUAUUAGUAUACGUUUGAUCUUGUAAGCAAACAGUCACAGCUUAAUUGUUAAAAGCUUAUACUUGCACCUGAUGUAGAUAAAAUUUUCUUAUCACAUGUGCCCUUAAGUUAGGGUGCAAAAAUUAUCAAUUCAGCUAAUAAAAAAUAUCAAUGUUAACAAUCCAAAUGAUUUAACCGAUGAUGCAUGAUACUAGCUAAAGUAUACUACUUAGCCCACGUAGGAUGGACAAAUUUCUUUUAAUGCUUCUCUUGGAAUAACUUGAAAAGUUGCAUCUCAUGUUCAGAAUGAAUGAAAUUUGAUCAUUUCGAUAUGUAAGAACUUUAAGCUUGAUUUUCACCUUUUGGGUUAAAUAAAUGCAUCAUUCCAAUUCCAUAGGUUUGACCAAUUGAGUCAAAAUUCUGAAGCAAUAUUUGAAUUAGAGUAUAAUUAUUUUAUUCUAUGGUUAUUUCCAUUUUUUUUUAUAAGAAUACUAUGGUUGUUUCAUUGGUUGAAAAUUGAAACUAGAAUGGUUCUCAGCUUAGGUGUGAACUGAAAUGGUUGUAUUUGUCUGGAGAAAAGGAGGGGACUCUUCUACUUUUCCCCAUAUUACUGAUAAAAUACGUUAAUUUUACAUGUUUUAUAAUUAGUACACAAUGUGUGUUUCUCGCUGCAGCCCCCUGUUUCUGAUGAUUAACUUGUAUUGUGCAGGCUUAUACAAACAGGUUUUGAUACUUCAGCUGGCUAGGAACUUACGAUAACUACCUACUUCCACUACCUGUGGGACUGGGACUCGAACUCAAACUUGCAAAUUCAACUGGGAGCUGACCAGUGCGGUAUAUUGGCGACUCUCUUUCAGUCGGACUCAAUCAGUCAUCUAUGUCUUUUUCUUUUAUCUCUUCCUGAGUUUAAGUUCUAUGUUUAAAGGUUGGGGUUUCAGUGGCAUGUUACUUACUGUUGCAUUAAGAACCAGCAACUCCCUCUUUGAAUUGUUCUGAAGAAGGAGUUUGAUAUUUUCAUUUUUCACAAGCAGUUUCGUUUGUAAUCUUUUUGUAUUUUCGAUUUUAACUUUUGUAAUUUUUUAACUCUUUUUUAUUUCUUUUUAUAUAUUUAGUUGUCAAGUGUUUUGCCUGUUGAAGAAAGAAUAGAAGAAUAUUGUUUUGGCUUGGAAAUAAAAUAGAUUAAAAGGUAAGUGUUUGUAGGUCCUUUUAGACAUAAAUAAGUCAUUGUCCUGUUUUUAGGAUAAUUUAAAAUGCAGAUAAUUACUGUGUUUUUUUGGUUGCAGAAUUAUUAAUUCUAGAAAGAUGUCAUAUUUGGUUUUUCAUUAGUAUGGAUUUAUUCCUCUAAUGGUAUGUUGAGCGUAUUUUGAUGUUGUUAUGUUCCAUAAUUAGUAAUAGGAGAAGUAUUUAGUGCUUCUAUGGGUUUUUAAUUUCUUCUUUGGCCAUAUUUCUUACAUCUGAAGGCCCUGCAUUUCAUGUGUUGAUUGUUUGGUAUGGAUUACUUCUGGUAGCAAUUUGAUGAGGUUUCAACGAUUAUAGGCGUUAAAUGUACCUGUGGAUUGUAUUUUGAGCAGGUUAACGAAAAGCUUGGUAGAAUUUGGGCAAUUAAGUAAAGCCUAUCAGAAAUUUGAAAUUGGUUUUGGUACUAAAUUAAUGCUUAUGGAUACAUGCAUUGAUUCUCAAUUACGUUAAUGGUUUUAGGAUGCUCCGAGUUCUUGUAGCUCUUUGCUAAUGGACUAUGUUUUUGCCUUUGGGCAAGGAUAGAAAGCUAAAGUUCUCUGGCAGUGUGAUGUUCUAUCUCUUUUUUGGGUUAUUUGGCAAGUCUGCAUUUUUGAAGAUAAGAGGGAAGACCAAGUUUCUUGUCAAUGGGACAAUGUUCACUUUUUGUCAUGGUUGGCUAUGUAUGGAGACAAGUGUAUGGCCAAUAUGAAAUUUAUCACUUUGUAAUAUACAAAAAGAAUGUCCUUAUAAGAUAAUAUGAAUUGGCAUGAGAAAUCAUUGGCUAAGGUGAAAUAUGUUUGAAGGAGUUCAAAUUAUAUUUUUCAUAUCAAGUUCAUUCAGAUUUAUUUUUGAGAUAAGGCAUAAAUACUUAACACAUGAAACCAUAAGUCAUGUUUUUCUCUGGACAUAGAUGAUGAAGAGACCAGGACAUAGAGAAACAAUGGAAUGGGUUCUAUAGAUCCAGCAAUUCUUAUUAUUUGGGUGGUUGUGAAAUACUGUUAUGUGUCAUUCAUGACUUGUAGAAAUCUUAAGAUCAUUAUUGGUAAAGCGUAUUAGCAAUGUAUCUUAAGGUCAUUAGAAAAGUUUUAAUUGAUGACUAAAGAGUUUAGCAUCAUUUAAUGAAUAAAGAGUUAUCAUUAAAAUAAUUCUACUAUCUUAUAACAAAGAAUCUAAAAUGUUACACAUCUAAUAGAAAUGAAAAAAAAAAAAGUUACUAGAAAAUGAGAAGUUAAAUUUCCUAAUUUUAGGAAAAUCGAUAUUUAUAUUAUAAUUUAUUAAGAAUGAAUAUAUAUAAAUAUAUCUUAAAUAUGAUUUAAGAUAGAAAUUUUUAUGUUCCAUAAAUGGUUUAAGGAACAAAAUAAAUUUCAUAAAUCAUCAACCAAACAUUAAAUAUAAAAUCGAGCACGUAAAAUGACCGUAUUGGACAUGUUUCGGUUUAUAAAUUAUUAUGGACUUUUAGACCAAUUUUGGAUUUAGAAAUUUUAGGCUUUUAUUGGACCUAAUAUGGAUUGGGAAAAAAAUAAGAACAUGUCACAAUAGAAGCUCACAAUUAACCAUUUGAUUUGAUCAAAAUGGGCUUAUAUUAAUUAAAGAUAAAAUUAAUUAAUUAACCUAUUUAUUUAUUCAAAAAUAUUUGAUUAAAUAAAUUAUUGAAGUGAUAAGAUCACAUUCAAUAAAUAAUGGCUUAGUGGGUGGGUCUAGCUAAUGAUAAUGUUUGGUGCCAUUAUUAAAAAGAUAAUGGUAGUUUUAUUUGAUGGAAUAAAUCAUCGUGAACUAGCAUUUAUGUUUCUUCAUUAUCUCUCUCAUUUCAAAACAAAAUUUGGUGAUUCUAAAUCCUAUGAACUCCUAAAACAAAUUUUUAAGUGUGGACCAAUUAGAGGCAUCACAAUUGAUGGUGCUUUAAGGAUCUCAAAUCGUGGCAAAGCAAAAGUUGUUCGUUCAGUGGUCUAUUUCUUGCACAAUGUUCGUACCCUGCUAUUUUCAGUCAUUUUCUCUUACCUCACAAAAUUGUUUUUGAAACUACAAGUAAAAUAAAUGAACUUCAAUCUUUCCUCUUAAUUUUCAUUCUUGAAUGAAGUUGAUAUGAGAUUUAUAGAGUUUCCGCCAUCCAUUUUAAUUUUACUGUGUAAAAGUUGUGUUUUCAGGAUCUCAUGGACUAAUGUUGUCCUUGAAAAGUAAAUGGUAAAUUUCUCUUUUUAAUAUUAUUUGAAGCAAAUGUCAUAUAACAGGAUGCUCUUAUUCUUCAUUUCUCUUUUUGCUUUUAACAUUAUCGUGCUAAUGGUCCUUCAAAAUUGGGUGAAUAAUGCGUAAACUUGGAAAAAGUCAUGUAUUGAUGUAUACUAUAUAGUGUCGAAUCUGUAAUGCUAGUUAAUGAUUUCAAAAGUUGAAGCACUGAUUUGCACAAUUGUACGUGAAAUGGUGGCGGAUUGGUCCGCUGCUGUUCUGUUCCAUUCAGGUAAUCCUUUUUUUCAGUGCUUUUGAGUUUUGUCCUUUUUUCCCAUUAAUUUUAGUGCUUGAAACUAGAAAUUACUAAAAAUAGAGAAAGGUAAAUUAGUUUAACGUAAUUAACAUUACUAGAAAGAAAAAAAAAAAACUAGAAAAUGACGCCAAAAUCUGACUCUCCGAUAAAGAGGCAAAAUACUUCUAGAUUUCAAAAAACAAAAUGACUUUCCAACUCACUUUUGAGGCAUAAAGGCCAGUUUCAGAUUGUUGUUAAAAUGAUGAAAAUAAAAAUUAAUUUUAAUAUUUGGCAUAGAAAUUUAAAAUCACACAAAAAAUUUGAAAAAAUAAAAUUAACUCCACAAUUCAUUCCUUCAAAUGACCUUUUAACACCCUGAACAGGCUAAUGCUAAGUUACAUGCAUGUACCUUACAACCCUCUCACAUGAAUAGUAUUCACUCACUAUUCAUGUGAGAGGGUUGUAAGGUACAUACAUGUAACUUAGAGGAAUCCCCCUGAACAAUGUUAUUUUUAAAAACCAUAUCAUCACCAGAUGGCUAGCUUUUGGCAUUAAAGACGGUGUUGGCUGCUGGUUUAAAUGAUUCAUAAUUGUGCUUUGCAUUUUAAUUUAUAUUUGCCACGUUAGGGAUACUGGACUUGUGACACCAAAAAGCUGCAACGCAUUUAAUUUUCAUGUGCUGCUUUAUUUAUGUUGUGUUUACUUGUUGGAGUGGGAGUGAGGAGUGUGGAUUCCUCCCACUCCAGCGUUUACUUACUUAAAAUGGGGAGGGAUUGGGAGUCUCACUCCGUGGGCCCCACCCAUUUUUGGAGUGGGGAGUGGAAUCCACUCCCACCUCUCCCAUUUCUACCUUUUUUUUAUUUUAUGUUUUAUAAUUAAUAAAAUAAAAUAAAUAAUAUUUUAUUUAUUUAAAUAAUAAUAUUAUAUUUAUUUAAAUAAUAAUAUUAUAUUUAACUAAAUAAUAAUUUACAUUGAUUCUAAGUUCAAAUUAUUUUAAAAUAAUAUUAUUAUAUUAAUAGAGAAUUAAUAAAUAUAAUAUUAUUAUAUUUAUUUUAAAAAUAAUAGUACUAUAUUUAUUUAAUAAUAAUAAUAAUAAAUACUUUAUUCUAAGAAAAUAUUAAUUUUGUACUAAAUAAUAUUAUAUUAUUAUUUUAUAUAAUAAUAAAUUUAAUAUCAUUAUAUUAAAUAAAAUAAAAUAACAUUUCAUUUUAUAUUAAAAUUACAAUUAAUAAUUUAUUGUUCAUAAUUAAGAAUAUUAAUAAUUAUAAUAAAUUUACAAAUAUAAUAAAAUAAAUAUUAUUCAUUAAAUAUAUUUUUUAUUAGUUUUGUAAUUAAAAAUUAUAAUUCUUUAAAUAAGGAUAAAAUUAUAAUUUGAAACUAUUUACUCUCAAUCCAAGACAAAGUAAACACAUAAAUUGGAUUCUGAUCUCCAUUCCAUGCUUCCAUUCCAGUGUAAGUAAACAACCUACUCCCACUCCCACUCCACACUCCCAAUCAUAGGAUUCCCACUCCCCAAGAUUCCCAAUCCAAUCCAAAAAGUAAACGUUACCUUAGAUUAUUCCAACCCAAUCUGUCAAUCCGCCAAUGGACUUAUCCUUCGAAGUAUUCUUUGAAGGCCGACUAGCGCCCUUCUCACAGCUAUAGUGUCUGGUCCCAUCACAGGCACUGUAGGUGUGAGAGGACCGUAAGUUACGUUCACGUAACUUCGGCCCUCCCUUUUUUGAAUCUAUUGCACUUCGAUGAGUCCUUUUCAACCGUUGAAACUCAAUUAAAUAAUCAUUGGUGUUAACAUGUAUAUAUUCAUAAUAUUAAUUUUGAUGAUAAUAAAUUUUAAAUAUUUUUUAUUAAAAUAUUGGAGCUAUUUAUUAUAAUCAUUUUCAACCGUUGAAACUCAAUUAAAUAAUCAUUGGUGUUAACAUGUAUAUAUUCAUAAUAUUAUAAUCAUUUCAAUUAUAUUUAUAAAAGAUGGAUAACUGUUAAACUUGAAAUUGGAAAAUGAUUCUGUGCAAUAUCUGGUUAAUAUUAUGAUUCUGGAAAUAAACGGUGAACCGUUUAUUUUUAACGACUAACCGAUUAAAUUCAGAGAAUAACGAAUUGCUUAAGCUCUAACCGGUUAACAAAAACGAAAAACACAAAAUGCUGAGAAGGCAACUGGAAUUAAACCGUGAACCGUUUAUUGAAACAGUUAACCGAUUAAAAUCUAGAAUGGAAAAAUGUGUUCAUCUUGUUACUGGAAACAAACGGUAAAAGUUUAAAUGAAACGGAUAAGGCUAACUUGUUCUACAGGUUAUUGGAAACAAACGGCGAACCGUUUAUUACAAAUGGCUAACCGAUAAAAUCCAGAGAGGUCAUUUCGGACAAAUCUUUAACCGUUUAAUGUAAACGGAUAACUGAAGUUUAUCUUGCAGGUCUUUGGAAUUUAACGGCGACAGGGUAAUACUAAACGGCAAACUGUUUAUUUAAAAAUUGGCCCAACGGUAACUUUGACCAGCCUAAACGGUUAACCGUUAAUAGUUAACGGUGAAUCGUUUUCGAGCAGACAGUUUAUAACGGUUAGUUUUUCAGCUCCAACUAUAAAUAAGAUCAUUCAAAUUCAAAUAAGGUCGACCACAACACGACCAUUGAGCUUAUAUUCGAGAAUACAAUUUUCAUAGAGCUUUAAACACAUUCUUUCUUCAUCUAUUCACACAUUGGGCAUUGAUUUGUAAUCUUAAAUAUUGUGUGAGAGAAAAAUAAUUUUUAAUCUUUUACUUUGAGUGAUUGUAAGUGUUGGGAUACACUUGGGUUAAGAGAUUGGAGAUAAUCUCUUGUUGUAAAUGUUCAUUGACACCUUAGAAGUCAAGUGUAAGCAUUUGAAGCCUUGGAGGCUUGCUUAGUGAAAUCUUCAAGCACGGAAAGCUUGGAGGCGUGGAUGUAGGCGAGGUUGGCCGAAUCACGUAAAAAUCUUUGUAUUUGAAUCUCUCUUCCCUUAUCUUUUUAUAUUGCGAUUGAUUUAAUUAUUAUUGCUUUAAAUUCGUUUUAAAAUUGAAUAAUUUUUAAAAUCCUAAUUCAUCUCCUCUUGAGUUGCAUAAUUAGAAUUUCAAUUGGUCGGAUUAAAAAUUAAAAAAAAAAAGAGAAAACUUAAUUAGUCAUCAUCAAUCGGAGAAAAAAUUUCGAAAUAGUUAACCGACAAAUUUUUCCAUGCUCCUGCCGCUGCAAAACCUAGUGAAUUUAAAAAAUAAAAACAAAAAAUAAAUUUUAACAGUAAAUCAUUAACAGCUAACAUUUUAGUGCUCAAUCCAAUCGGAUACUAUUUAGUACGUACAAUUGUAUCAUGAGAACUAAGUCAUGCAGAACAGAAUUAAUAUCGUAUGGAGCUAAGCUGCAACUUUACUGGACAUAAUGGUUCGAUUAAUUAGGGUGACUUUGAUUUCAACGUUUGUGCAUGAACUUACUUCUUAUGGUCAAAUUGCAUAGUGAUAUUUAAUUAUGAUCGCACUAAAGAAUCAACUUACUUCUUAUAAUUGAUGAACGAUUUACAUAUGGUGAGACCCGAGAUACUAUAACAAGACGUGUUACAAUCUCUUUGUGAAUUGCUUCUGAGAAUUGAUGUCUGAUGAAUUAUGGCCUGCCAAUUUAUGUAUGCCUUUGUUUUCGGUCAUGCCCCUAGGGAUAUUGUCAUGGAAAGCUUAUACAUAUAGUAUGGUUCGCAUUUAUUAUUAUAUCUGUCACAUAGUUACAUUAGUUCCAUAUAGUUAUAUUUGUGGUACAUAAUAAAAAAUGUGAAAUGGAAGAAUACCCACAUUUUUUUUAUUACUGUGUCUAGCUGGCAAAUUUUCGAGUGUGUCAAACUGGAGAUUCCUUGCAGCAAAUAAUAAUUAGUUUUAAUAUUUUAAUUUAACAAAAUGGGCGAAUUCGAGAUUUCCUUUUUACUAUCCUUAGACUGAAAAAAAAUUGGUAAAUAAAAAAAAAUAUUACUACUAAAGUAAAGGAAUUCUUUUGAUUGAAUCAAAAAUUAAAGUUUGUAUUUGGUGUGUGAAUAAAAGAGUUGCCGAUGUUAUAAAUUACUAGUUAGUUUGCCUUUCAUUAGAAAAGUAAUAAUGACUUAAAAUACAUCAUCACAUGGAUGUAAAUACGAGAUUACAUCAACCUUUAAGUACAGCUAUAGGAUAAUACUUAAGACUCAAGUAAUUUAUUACAAUGCCUAACAAUAAUACAUAACUUCAAACACUACAAAUUUCUAACAAUUGAAAGGAGACUAAAUGAUUUCACAUAUUAAGAUCUAAUGAAAUACCAAAGGAACCCACCUCAACUACUGUAGAUGAAACCGCUUUCUAAUCAAAAGAAGAAUAUUCAUAGUAUAUGGUAAUACAACACAAUUCUAACCACAUAACACAAAUACAUAAUAAUAAAAUCGCAAAACCGCAACAAAAACCACUCUACAUUCAUCAGAAAGUCCCAAUAUCAAUUAACCCCAACGCUAGCCCAUCAAAAUCUCACCCUAGGUCAUUGGAACCUCGAUUCACCAAUGUUAAAGCUCUCAAUAACUUUAAUACAGGUGGUGUUGACAAAUAAAGGCCUGGACCAGGCUUUUCGAAGCCUAGGCCAAGUAAUUAAGAACAAACUCAAAUCUUGUCCAAACUUUGACAAGCCGGACUUUUUAUUAAUUUUGAAAUAAUUUUUUAAAAAGUAAAAUAAUAUUUUAAUUAAUGAUAAUUAUCUAAUACAUAAUAAAAUCAUAGUUUAAUACAAAAAAAUUAGUAACACAACAUAAUAAAUCAUGAGUACUAAUAUUUUUUUAAUAUUAAUAUGAUAUUUGAAUUUUUCUUUUUUUAAUUUAAUUUAUAUAUUUAUAUUUAUAAAUUAAAAAACUCAGGCUCUAGUAGACUCUUAACUAAGCCCAAUCCAUGCAGGUCGGGCUUUUUUACCAACAUGAGUUACAGACGUACCCUUCCAAUCUAAAUAAAAUGUGUAUGUGUUUGAUUAUUAUACCUGUGUUGAUUACCAACCUGAGUUACAGAUGUACCCUUCCAAGACAUCUAGGUUGGCUUGAUUACCAACCUGUGUUUCGCACGAUAUAUUGUAUUAUGCUUUAUUACAUUAUUUUAAUGCAAAUGUAUUGUAUUAUGCUGGAUCACAUUAGCAUUGUAUUAUAAUAAUACUAUAUCAUAUUUGGUGCUAUAUUGUACCGUAUUAUUUUUUAGUUAUAUUAUGUUUAGUGCUUUACUAUACUAUAUUAAUUUCUCUGGUGAUUAAUUUAAAUUAUAUGUUUAAAAAAGAUAUAAUUUAUUAGUACUUAGAAAAAUCUUAAAUAUAGAAGUCUUAAAUUUUAAAUUUUUUUAUAUCAAUUUCUUUGUUGUUUAAAUGAAAAAAAUUAUAAUUCUUCAUAAAACAUGUAUAAAACUAAUAAAUUUUACAAUUUCGACAACAUAACAUUUAUUUUUCAGCAAUUUCCAAAUAUAUAACUCGUGAAUUACUUCAACUCAUUUUUUCAUAUACGCGAAAAUUGAAAGCUCACACAUUACAUAUGCAACAGCCAACAGCUCUCAAUACAAAUACCAUUCAACAUCAAUUAGUUAAUCUAAUUUCAAAGUCAUAAAUUAAAACUACACAUUUAGACAACAACUUACAAACUGUAAUCAAGUUAUCAGCACCUUACGGGGACUCAUUAACAGUCACAAACACAUUGGAAAAGUGCGUAUGAAAGUACGAGGCAUCUACAAUGAAGCUAUCAUGCUCAUCUUGCACAUCCAAAUUCUUACGGCUGAUUUAAUUCUUGUGGUAAUGUUGUUAUCUCCUUAUUAUAGCUUGCUGAAAAGACAUGCUCUUGUUUGACCCCAUAGUGGUUGGUGAUAAAGGAUAGAUUGCCGCAAGCCUUAGGCACGACACUGCCUUUAUAAGCCUUGCAGAUAUAAGCCUAUAAAGCUUUCGUAGUCCUGCAAUAAGAGAAAUAAUUCAUUUCUUAAACAUCCCCAGGUUCAAAAUUUCUAAUGCAAAAGCUUAUCCAAAUAUUUGAUAUAAUAAUCUCCUACUUCAAAGUUCAACAAUCAUACAUUUUUGUUGAACAAACUUUAUUCUGAUUUACACGAACUUGGGGGCAAUAUGAAAAUCAGGAACAUACCUCAUAUAGUGGCUGUCUUUCCACAAUAUCCCAAGGCACAUAUUGAUGAAGAGACACGAGGGAAUUUGUUUCAGCUGCAUAUUUUAACUCAAGCUGCAAGUAAUAUAAAAUCCAAUUGAAAACUAAUCAAUCAUAUAUACCAAUUACACAGGCAGUGCAGUUUAUCUACUUUCAUUUCUUCCAUAUUCACUAAACGUGCAGUCCACUGCCAAGAAACAAAUACACUCCACAAAAAUGACAAAACUUUGAUGGAAAGGUAUCACCAAACCUGUAAAAGUCAGCCGGAUUUGACUUCAUCAAACAAAUAAAAUAGCAUUUCAUGGCCCAAGUUCAUGCAAAUACAACUUUUUAAUUAAGCUUCAGCGUGCAAAAGCUGAUUUAAAAAAAAAAAACACAUUAAACUAAUCAUAAUCAUUACCACAAAAGCCAUGGACACCUGACCAGCUUCUUCAUCAGGAUAUCUGCAAAUAGGAAUUUUCAUUUACUCAGAAUUUACUCUGUAUUCUUAGCUGAACACCGGAUUGGCUAUUAUAAGAAUUCAAGGGGAAACAAGGGCUUAUAAGCUAGUUAUGGAAUGACUGCAGCAUCAACCAUCUCCGGGUGGGAGAGGAGCAAGUGUUCCAGUUCUGCAGGGGCAGCCUGCCAAUGUAACAAUGGAAAUGGAAAUGCAAAUAUUAAAAACCCAACUCAACAGAGUAAAAAGAAGAAUUUAAGCAAUUUAGGAUACCUGACAUCCCUUAUAUUUGACCAAAUCUUUCAGUCCAUCCACAAUAAAAAGGAAACUAUCCUCGUAGCAAAGAUCACCAGUCCUCAUCCACCCAUCUGGUAACAAAGUAGCUGAAGUAACUUCUUGCUCUCCAACAUAUCCUGCAGAAAUCAAUUUGACAAAUUUGCUACCCUAAUCACAACAAAAUCUAAAUAUUGGGAAAAAAAAACAACAAUCAUCUUCUUCUUGCAAGAAUCAGCCAUGAAGAUUUGUUGGACUUAACAGUUCAGACUAACAAUUCAGAUCUAACCUAAAUCAAUUCAAAGAUCAAAUCAAACCCCAACAUAAAUCAAUUUAAAAUCAAACCAUACUAACUUGUGAUUAGAGUGUUCAGUGAUAGAUUGGGUGAAGACGAAAGAUUGGUCAUACAUGUAAAAUCAACAAGAAAAAAAAAAAGAACAAGAACAGCAACUCACAUGCUUAAGGUGCGAAUCAGCAACGACGAGGAUACGACGGAAGGCAGCAGCGAAUGGCAGUCGAUGACGAGGAUAGGACGGAAGGAAGCAGCAAACGGCGAGUUGGCAAUGUGCGCGGGAUGGGCCGAUGAUGACGAACUUCAGCCAUUUGUGACUUUGUGCGAAUCUGUGAAUGAAAAGCGAGUGAGUUUGAGAGAAAAUUUUUGGUUUUGAGAAGAGAAGUUUUGUUUCGUGGCUGAGGAUCGUGUUUCAAAGAGUAAAACAUUUUCUUUCUCGUUUCUAAGGCAAUCACGGCUAAUCACUGAUACCCCUGCGGGUUUACUUUGUGCGGCAUUGAUGCUGCGAAUUACUAAAACGGGCGGGGACGAGAAUUCACUGAAAUGAGAAGAGUUGGAAUAAAAAUGAGGGACGACAAUCAAAAUAAAUUAUUUGUUUGACUUGUCGGGAUUGGUAUUAGAAUGAGAUAAAAUUGUAGGAAUUGAUAUUAGAACGAGGUAAAUUUUAUUGAUGUUUUUAUUUUAUUUUACAAUUGAAAUUGAAAUGAGUUAGAUUAUAAUAAAUUAUUAAAAAGUAUUUAUUAAAUUAUUUUCAUAAUUAUUAUUUUAUAUUUUAAUUAUAGUAAUUAUUAUUUAAAAAUUAUUAUUAAAAAUUAUUUUCAAUAAUGUAUUAAUAUAUUAGUUAAUUGUAAAAUUUUUAAUUAUUUAUUUAAUUAUAAUAGUAUACUAAUUAAUUAUAAUUAUUAUAUUUUUUAUUAUUAUAAAAUUAAUUAAUAAUAACAUAUGAGUUACUUAUAAUAAUUAUAUUAAUCAUUAUUAUAGUAUUAUAUUAACUAAUUAAUUAUUAUUAUAAUAAAAUAUUAAUUAUUGUGAUUAUUUAUUAAAAAAUUAUAAUUAAUAAUAUAUUAUUGUUAAUAAUAUAUUACUAUAUUAAUUAAAAGUAAUAAUUAUAUUAAUUAAUUAUUAAUAAUAAUAUAUGAAGUAAUUAAAAUAAUGAUAUUAAUAAUUAUUGUUAAUAAUAUAUUAUAUAGUAACAAUUGUAUUAAUUAAUAAUAAUAUACUAGUAUAUUUAUUGAUAGUAGUAAUUAGAUUAAUUAAUCAAAAAUAAAAUAUGAAUUAAUUAAAAUAAUUAUUAUAAUAGUAUAUUAAUUAAUUAAUAAUAAUAUAUUAAUUAUUAUGAUUAUUUAUUAAAAAAAUAUAAUUAUUGUUAAUAAUAUUUAAUAUAUUAAUUAAUCACAAGAAGCACAUCCCUACACGUUCAAAUUUGAACAUGUAACUUCAAAAUGGAUAAUGGAAGUUACUUGUUCAAAUUUCGAUCAUAUAACUACCAUAUGAUUGCCUAUAUAAAGUCAUGAAUGCAUCACAAAUAAUUAUUCCAAGACACAUACUUAAAAGUUAGUAUUUCAUGGUCUUGGUGUUCUGCAUGCAACCACUAGUCUAAUAGCGGUGUAAAACGAUAAAAAAAUUCCAACAGUGGUAUCAGAGCAAGGUUGCAAAUGCAGAACAAGUGUUUAAGUGGGAGAAAGUUUGAUCAAGAAAAUUCAUCUCGUUUCAAUCCAAACCAAUUGAAUUUCCUAUUCCAUAAGUAUUCUAGACGUCCCAACGAGUUCAUAAAGUCCAAAAACACAAAAUUUCGACGUCUGGAAGGGCUAAAAUGGCAAGAAACAGAGAGUGGUUUAGGGAAGGUUGCAGGCGCGUGCAACACGUGCUCCAGAGGUUAAAAACGCGUGCAGUAGCAAUCGCAGGCAUGUGUUGAACAUGCGCCCACAUCCUCGCCCGUUUCAAACAAUCCGGCCCGUAUACUGUUCAACCCGACCCUAUAUUGACCUGGUUCCAGAUCUGCGCAAUUCGCUCCGAUUUGAUUCUAAUUAAAAGUGAUUUAUUAAUGUUUUUAGUAAUUAGUAAUUUAGGCAUGUGUUUAAUGUGUAGAGAUUUAAGAGCACUUUUUAUUUUUAUGACAUACUAAAAUAAGAUUACUUAAAGGUACUAGAAAAGUUAUCGAUAUAAAUAGUUAUGGUCCCUAAGCUACAAGUAUUGUUUUAUUCUUUUCUAACAUCCCAUCAUCAGAGGGAGUACAAAUAGAAACUUAAAAGAUUUUCUUGGAAUACUUGUUAAUUUGGAAAACAAACCACACGACUCUAGAAAACUAUAAGCACUAUGGAUUUAGAUAUGCUUCUGCAUAUUCAUUUAGGUGAUAGUUUUCACCAAAGGAUUAUUUUCUAUCAAGUUGCAUUAGAGCCACUUCAUGUAUAAUCAUUAAAAAGAAUUGCAAAAACUUGUUGUGAAAAUUUUAUUAUACUCGCAAGCGCACGAAUCUAGAGAUAAAAUAGUGGUAACGAGGUCGAUCCCACAUGGAUUGUUAUAAAUUGAAAAGUCUAAUUUAAAUCUAAAAUUAAUAUUAAUCAUAACCUAGUUGACCAAAUUGAGUUUCUAAGAAAAUUAAACCAAUUAAACUAAGGAAGCAAUUAAAAUAAAGGAGAAUUCAAUAAGAUAAGAAUUACCAAGGCUUCAGAAUCCACCAUUAUUCAACUAGUAAUUAUCUAAUUAUUAAUUAAUCCCCAAUUUUAGAAUGACAACUCAAAAUCAAUCUAUGUCAUCUCAUAGAUAUAACAAUUAAGCCCAAGUAAUUAAAUCUAAUUUAGGUUCUUUUUCUGCUUAAUAGUAUGACAUCUAAGCAUCCCAUGUAAACAUAUUGAAUAACAAAGAGUCAAAGUUUUCAUAUGCACUCUAUGUAAAUAAUUUAAUGAAAGACAUAGAAUCAAAGAUAAUCAUGUAUAAACUUUAUAAAUUCAAGUAUAGAUUUAAUCAAAUAUUAAUUCUAGCAAUCAAUAAUGCAUGACAGAAUUGAUGAAAAUUGAUGAAAAGAUUUUCAUAACAUCCAAUUAAUCAUGUGAAAUAAAAAUCAUAAUCAUUAAAGAACAUAUAUAAAGAAUUAAAUAAAUAAAAAGAUAAUUAUUUCAUUGAAUAGGAUUUCAUCCUUAACCUCAGAAUAAGAAAAUUAGCUAGACAUAAUUGAAUUGGGAGUAACACAAAAAAUAAAAUCACUCAUGGAAGCAAAACUGCUGCUGCCGCCUAGCCUUGCGUCUUGCGUUUGCAGCUCUCCUUUUUAACCCGUCCAGCCUUUAAUUCAAAAGCAAAACUCCCUUUUAUAUUGCUUGGCCACCGAAUCCUAUUGUGAUUCUAAUAACUUUUUUUUUUUAUGACAUGAGACUAUUGCUCAAAUUACAACUCAAAUUACAUGAGAGAAUAACUGAUAUGUACAAUUAUAUAUAUAUAUAUAUUGAGACUUGUUGACAUCAAUGCUGAUAUGGCACCGCUCAGAUUUUUUAACCCUCUCAAAUAUUCGAGGGACGUCAACUCCCAACCUGGGAGAAAGACUGCCUUCACUCAAGCUCUGAGACUCCAAAGAAUGACAUUUAAAUUAAACCCCUAUAAUACAUCUGCGGAGGCUCGAAUCCCUUCCCUCACAUUUGUGAGGGAGUGGCUCUAGCCACUUGGGCUUAAUGUAAUUCUAAUAACUAAACCAACUCUUACAAGCUAAAGCUCUAAACCUGCCACGUAAUUGAAAACAAUAAAAGCCAAAAGCUAUUGAUUUCCUUCCUUUAUUCUAUUUUGACUUUCCAUUCAAAGGCUUAAUUAAAAGCUUUGUUUAAUGUUCUGCGCACUUUAGCUUUAAACCUCUUCUUUGUUUGCACGAGCAUGGAUAUUCAAUUUAUUGGCUUCGGUUUCUUCGAAAAGAAUUUCUUGCACAUCUCCUUAAUUACUUCCACAAAUUAAUUUGAUCUUCAAUACUGUCCAAUUGUUAUUUACUUUUCAUCCAUAAUCUCUAAUUAAUUUUUUAUGCAAUAAAAUAAUUUAAUUAAUUAAAAAUAACAAAUAAAAAUAACUAAAAUUAUAUAAUUAAGGAUAAUAUAUAUAUAUAUAUAAAUUAUGCUCAUUAGUAGUUGUCUUCUAGAAUUAAGUUAAAAAAGCAAACUGUGGCUGCCAGCCUGCCAAGCUAUGGCAGAUUAAGAAAAAAGUGGCGGCCAUGCCGCCAUGUCAAGAAGCAAAAAAAAUAAAAAAAAAUAAAAAAUAAAAAAAAAUAAAUUGGGCCAACCAAGGCUUGGCCAUUAAGCAACCACUAGCAAGCAAGCCACAACGGUGGAAGGGGUGGCCAUAGCCACCAUAUCAAGAAGAAAAAAAUUAGAGUUUGGAGAAAACGAGUUUAGGUUGGCUCAGGAUCCGAAUUGGGUUGAUCGACUUGAUCUCGUCCAGAUCGGGUCAAUAAUUGACUAUUGACUUUAACCUUUCUUCGAGUAAUAUUUAGUACAAUUUUAAAUUCAAAUAUUGACAUAUUUAUAUAUUUUUUUGAGAUGAAUUAGUUAAAGCAACAUGUCAUCUAAGUUACCUUUCUUGUGGAAAUCAAUUUAUUGUGGAAAAUAAAGGAUUUAUGUGCAUGCAAUUCAUGUGAAUAUUGAUUGGUCUAAAGGAAAGUUCACAUGUAUUAGAAUUGCAUGUGUACCUGUGGAAAUAAACGUGUGAUGAUUAUUCGAUCUUACAUGUGAAUAAUAAAUCAACUCAAAAGAAGAUUUAUUAUUUGAUAUAUUCUUACUAUCAAUGUUUGAUUACUAUACGAUUACUAUAUCAAGAUGUCAACAAGAAGUUAAUAUUUUGUCUAAAGAUGAAAUAUUAAUAGAGUGUCUUGUAUCUUAAGAUAGGGUUUACCUUUGUUUGAAUUUGUUUUUGUUUUGAGACUUGUAUGGGCUUGUUUUAUUUGUUCGUUUAUUGUUCUCUAAUUCAGUUAUGACUCCUGUUUGUAUUAUUGGCAACAUCAAUUCUAUUCAUACACUAAAUCGCUCUUAACUUUAAGUUAUGGCAAGAGAACCUCUUUAUAUUUCUUACAAUCAUGGAUCUCAACGUUACAUUAAGAGCUGAUUAUCCUCCACCUUUUAUAGAUAGGAGUACCUUGAUGAUAAGAGGGACAUGAAAGGGUAGGAGAAAUCAAAUCGCAUGUGCAUAAUGAUCAUGAAGAAGGCCAUUUCAGAAGCAUUCAAGGGCUUAAAGUCUGAAAAGAUAACUACGAAUGAGGAAUUAUUUGCAAAAAAUUGAACAAAUAUUUUUAAAAAGACUGAAAUAAAUGCGCUCUUGACAAGUUUAGUUUUAAUAAGGUAUAUAGGCAAAGGCAAUGUCACGGAGUACAUCAAGGAAAUGUCUUAUCUUGCUUCUUAGUUAAGAAUAUUUAAGCUCGAACUCUCUGAGGACUUGUUAGUGCAUAUCCUUACAAACAUAGUAUAAUCAGUUUAAAGUGAGCUACAACUGUGAAAAGGAAACCUGAUUUCUAAAAUGAGCUCAUAUCAUUGUGUCUAGGGAAAUGAAAGGCUAAAGAAAGAUAAGACAAAAAGUGCUCAUAUGGCCUAAACCUCUAAUUAUAAGAAAAAAAGGCAAGAAAAUAAAGAAGGAUAAAGAAGUUGUAGAUACAACACCUCAAAAGAAACAAGAGAAGAAACCAAGUGAUCCAGAAGGCACUUGUUAUUCUUUCUAUGGAGUUGUAGGACAAAAUAAGAAUUAUUGUAGCAACUAUGACGUGUGGCAUGCUAAGAGAAGUAUGCUUCUUAAUUUGGUUUCUUUUGAAAUUAAUUUAACUUCGAUACCUAGACAUAUAUUGUGAAUAGAUUAUAGUGCAACAACUCAUAUCUAGGGAUGGCAAAGUUUGAAUCAAGAUCCUGAUGUCGGUACAUUGGGAUCCAGAUCUACAUUGAAAUUGUAAUAUUUGGAUUUUCAUCUGGAUUCAUAAAAAAAAAUAUAGAUCAGAAUGCGGGCAUUACACUAGUAAAUUGCGGGCAAAUUUUUUGGAUAUCUGAUCUAUAUACUUUAAAUUUUUAAAUUUUUAAAUAUAAUUUAAAUUCACCUAAGGGGAGUUGAGGCGGUGUCUGAUGUUAGAGAGGCUCAGGUGAGGUGAUGGCUCAAUUUAGGUGAGGCGAGGCAACAUGUAGCGUGUGAGAUCAACGAGGCUCAGGUAAGGCUUCGACGACAGUUGCCCGUUCAUCGUGCUCAAGCGAGGCAAAUGGGCCAGGCGAGGUAGACGGCAUGAGGCUUAGGUGAGGCAGACAAUGAAGCAUUAUUGUCUUUACAAUUCGGAUUUAGGGGAUUUAGGGCUUGGGUGUUAGGGAUGUGUUGUGGCUGCUGGUGAACUCUUGUGAACUAUGAGAGAGAGAGAGAGAGAGCGUGUGAAUAUGACUUUGUCUAUGGUUAUGUUAGAUUUUUUUUUUAAUUUAAGUUAUAUAUUUUUUAAUUUAGUUUUAAUUUAAUAUACAAUUUAUCCAAAUCGAGAUAUCUAGUUUUUUACGUGCAUUUGUACCCGAAGCCAGAUUCAGAUCCGUGUAGAUUCUAAUUUCUAGGAGGGUGGGGCUAUUUACACUCAAAAAAUUACUUUGCACACUCUACUUUUAAUAAAAAUAUAUAUUACAAAAAUACCCAUACUAUGAAUUACUAUUAAGGACAAUUUAUUAUAAGUCAAUAUUAUAUAAUUGUUUUGAACAUACAUAUAACACAUUCAUUAUUCAUUUUUAAUUAUCAGACUUUAAACUCUAAAACUUUUAUUUUCAAUAUUUGAAUUAACAUUUACAUGAAUAAUAAGCAAAUCAAUAUUUAAAAAAAAAAUUAAGUACACAGUAUGUAUGUAUGUAUGUGUGAUACAUUUUAUUUUUUAAAAAUAAAAUAAAAAAGUGCUAUGAACGAACUUUCUUUUUGGCUUUUGCCAUUCUUGUUAUAUUCUUCAUAUCUCCAUCUUCCUCUUCUCCUUUUUCUGCUUCGUCCCUUCUUUUAGGGGUGGCAAAAAUACUCGCCCCGUCUAAAUCCGGACCGCAUCCGAGGGUUGUGGGCUGGGUAAUACCUAGCCUGGGUAUGAAGCCGGACCGGUCUUGGACAUCACUUGAUAAACCCAGGACCUGAGUUGGAACUCAGAUUUUAUUAAAAAAAUAUUAUAAAAUAUAUAUUAUUUUAAAUAUUUAUAUUUAUUUGACUAAUCUAUUACACAUAUCUAUAGUUUUAAAAAAGUUUAUAUUUUCAUUUCAAAUUUUAUUGAAAUAAAUUUAAAACAUAUAAAAUUACAAAAAAUAAAAAACUAUACAUAUAUAAUAUUAAAAAAAUAUAAAAUUUGGGUACCCAGAUUAAAACCAGCCUAGUGUUGGGCUUAAAAAACCCGGCCCGAAUAUUUAAAAAUUGCAUCUGGCUCGGGUUCAGGCAUUGCGAUACCUGGACCCAGACCGAGUUUUGCCAACCCUAUAUGCCGGUGUUUUUGGUCAUGCCACUAGUGAUAUUGACCCAGAAGCUUGUACAUAUAAUAUGGUUGGCAUUUAUUAGUAUAUCACUUGGUUUCAUAUGGUUAUACUUGUUGUACAUAAUCUCAUUUUGGUCACACUAACAUGAAAACAAAGGUAGCUUAAUUACACGUAAUUAUAGUUUAGUCUUGGUAUAUUUCUUUCUAACACUAGUUUAAUUUGCAUCUCGUGAGUAGUUCUAAUUUGUUACGUGCAUCUAUUUAUUGGAACAUAUAUCAUUCGUUCAUAUAUAUUUUGUGCGCAGUGUACAAAAUAUAUAUAAACUUUGAAAAGGUAAGUUUGAAAAUACCAGUACAGAAAAAAGGGGAAAAAAAAACGUACUGAGGUUUUGAAAACCCUAGAAGACUGAAACGACUGUUUUGAAAUUUUAAUAGUCUCACGUGUUUUUCACGUGACACACAGUAAAAACAAUAUUAAAAAAAAAAAAGGAAAAAUUCAGCCCCAAAAUCCCCAACUCCAUUAUCUUCCAAAUUGGUUCCGCAAAUAUUAUUGAUGACGUGUAUCCAACCGAUAACAUUUCAUCCUCAGGGACCUCAACCACUAUAAAAAGCCCAAAACUGAAAUUAUUUAGUUUCUCUCACAUUCAAUCAGACUUGGUUUCUCGUCAUGUGGUGUACAAUCUAUCUUCAACAGCUGCCAUACUUUUUUUUCCUAUUUGUCUUCAAUCUUGAAAUUUUGUUUUUUUGCUUUUAAACUAUCAUUUUAAUUAUCUAAAAUCUUUCAACUUCCGUUCCUUUGAUUUUGAACGUUUAUAUGAAUGGCAGACAAUGUAACAUGGGAAAUUUACAGUAAUAACCAAAAAAAAUUCCCUUUUUUUCAUUUUAACCCCCAAAAAAUAUUUCUAUCAACAUUAGCCAUUAAACAACAUUUGAGACCAAAAUACCCCUCCCUCAUCUCUCCCCCAACACUCCAUUUCACUCAUCUCUCCCAAACCGAUCCAACUCCCAUCAUCGGCGGCGACAUCAACCCUCGUCGGCGGCGGCUCCAUCUCUCACCGGCAUCCGAUCUACGAUCUACAAUCUUCAACAAAAUCUAGGUUAGUCAUUUUUCUUAUUUUCAUUAAUUUAAAAUGAGAUUUUAGAAUAAUAAUAGUUAUAGCGUGAGAUUAAUAGUGGUGGUGAUGAUGUUUGUGGUGGUUGGUGGUGUUUGGGAGUAUUGUUUUCGAUUUUGGAGUGAUUGUGCUGAAUUUUGCGGGUGGGGAGGGAGGGGAGCAGGGCGCGCGCGCGCCCAUCGCUGGGCAGGGUUGCCUCGAACUAUUUCAAGACCAACUUCUCUCGCCCGAUAUGCCUGCUGGUAUGUUAACUGAACACCGUAUUCCUGUUGCAUAUCUGCUCUUAUGUCAUUCGGAGUAUAAAUCCUCUUGUCUUGAAUAUAUUUUUCUGCGAUAAUAUGACCGACAACCCGGCUCCUUACUUGAUGACGUCCAUCAACCAAUACCUCAUUAUGACAAGUGUGUACAUUGUCAAUUCUCUUCACCACCCACGGAAUAUUUUGCUCGUUCGAACAUCUAGUUGCUCGAAUACGCCAUUUACAUGAUUCUGAACAACAGUGAGCCUCGAAACGUGUCGUAGUAGACCGUGCAAUCUUGAAAUCAAACUUGUCUCUAAAGGCAACCUUGCGUAGUUGUAAUAUAAACUCAUUUUUCUCAGCAAAUAGCUUACCCACACUGAUAUCAUCUGAAUCACAACUGCUAACAAAGCUUGGAGCAACCAUAUUCGAAGGCAAAGUUGGAGCAACACUUGUAAGGGGGUCAAUUCGCCUUCUCGAUCGAACCAUAGAAGGAAUAGGUCUAUUGCCUCUGUUAUUCACAGGAGUAUUGUCUUCACACUCAUCCUCAUGCUGAAACGACGGAACAUUUGAAGGACCGGCUCCUCCAUCAUCACCAUCAUUAUUGAAACGCGUGCCCCCCCUUGUAGUAUUAGAAGGUUCUGCACAAACAUUAUCCCCCUCUGUCUCAUUAUGAAAAUCAUCAUUGUCCCGAAAAACAUUGUUGUGAUACGGAGAAUAUCGUUGCUCCAACGACGUUGUUAUUGGAAAUACUGUUGCUCCAACAUCCUGUAACGUAACGCCAUUAUCAUCAAUGUUGUCAUAAUUAUCGUGGAUUGGAGAGUAAUAUUGCUGCAACGAUAUUGUCCUUGGCAACACCUCUUCAUCAUUAUCGGGGCCAGACAUAUUUGCUCUAAACGAAGUUUCUGUAUCGACAUGUGGCUCAAUACCUUCGCUCGGAACUCGAGGUGAUGUGGUCACGAAUAUAGGAAUGCAUCCAAAAUUAGCUACGUCCGAUGCCAUAUGCAACACAACCCUCACCAUUUCAUCAUCGCAUAUAUCCAUGGGCAUUGCACAUAUACGAUAUAAUGUGUUACUAGACCUCAAAGUUGUCUUCAUGGUGAUACUAUAGUCAUUAGGGUUAAUUUGUAACACCUCGUAUACUCUUGCCAAUAACUGAUCAAACAGAUAAUUUUUUCCAACCAAAAAUGCUCGAUUUUUACCAUUCACGUACUCCAUACGGCUAUUCUCUAAUGUCUCCCACCAACCAUCGUAACACAAUUCAAGUACAACUGAAUCCAUUAAGCCUGAAAUUAUAAAAAAAAAUUAUUUCAGCCAUAUUAAAAUAAUACAGUUUUAAUGAUGUAUUUCAUGGUGGGUGCGACAGGCAACCUGUCGCCCGAAUCUUGGUGCGACAGGGUGCCCGUCGCACCAAGGUUUGGUGCGACAGGCACCUGUCGCACCAAGAGUUGGUGCGACGGGUGCCCGUCGCACCUUGCUUGGUGCGACAGGCACCUGUCGCACCAAGAGUUGGUGCGACGGGUGCCCGUCGCACCUUGCUUGGUGCGACAGGCACCUGUCGCUCCAAGAGUUGGUGCGACGGGUGCCCGUCGCACCUUGCUUGGUGCGACAGGUUGCCUGUCGCACCAAGUUUUGCUGCGACAGGCAGCCUGUCGCCAGAUCCAGAUUUAGCCCAGUUGUUCAGAAAAUAACUCAUACCAGUAACUGAUGUCGAUUUGUGUUGGAUUCGGGAUUCGGAUGUCGAUUUGUGUUGGAUCCGGAUAAAUUAUGAUCGGAUAUCACUUUUAUCGUUGUCCUUUGCGGUCACCGUUGACUGAUGAAUCAAGAGCGAAAAGCUGCUUUUGGUUUGGCGAUAUGGGAGAAACGAUGUUGGUUUUGUUACGCAAAGAAGGGUAAUUUGGGAAAAAAGGCUUGUGUUUGGCUAAUGUUGAUAGAAAAAAGUUCAGAGGGUUAAUUGCAAAAAUAAUAAAAUAAUAAUGGUUAUUUUCGUAAAUUUCCCAUGUAACAUUCAUGGAAGGUCCAGCAAAGUCUGUUUUGAAUGAGGGUGAGCAAAUAAUGACCUACAAGUUAUAGAUGACUUUAAUGAUAAUGCCCUGCAAGCAAAAGGGAUCAAAUUUAUUUUUUUUCAAUUACUGAGUUUAAUAGGUUACAAGAUUGAUUCUUUUCUUUUUUCUUUUUUUAAUCUUUUAAUGGUGAUUCUCAGAGCCACUUAUAUUGGGACAUUAUACUUCAAUGACAAUGAUGGAAGAUGGAUUAAUUUGAGAAUCACUUAGCUCUUAAGUUUUCUAUAAAGUAUUUUUUCAGCACUAGUAAACCAAAACCAAAAGAAUGGGAUGAAAAAAAAGGAGAUGUUGACAUUUUGCAGAAGUCGAAUCUCUGUUUCCAGACAAUCUAAGUUGUCAUGCGUCAUUCUACUUCAUCAAAGUAACAAUAAACAAAACAGCAGUGGACGCUAGAAAAUAUGGUGAAAUCUCCCAAAUUCUAAUAAUAAAAAACAAGUGUUGAAAGCAUUGAUAACCCCAAAAUAUAAUCAAAAUAUACACAAAUUAUGUGAAUUAAAAUGACUGAAUUUUCAGAGAGCAUAUCCUUACAAUUAACAAAUCUAAUGAAACAAAAAAAAAAUUAAAAUUUAUAUUUUAAUCCCUUCUUCUUCUUUGCUGCCAAAAUCAGGCCAUAAAAUUUUCCUGGCCAGUGGCCAAGGAGAGAUUUAAACACUUUCAAGCUUCACGCAUCUAUUUUCCUUCUCAAUCUGGUUUGAGCACUCUGUUUCAAUGUGGUAGAUUUGCACAUUUCCCAUAGACAUAUAACCAAUUAUAAUGUGGCGCAAGGGCCACAUAUAUGAGUCCCAUAUUUUCACCUCAAAAUAUAGUUUCUUUCCAAGCUCGCCUUCCAAUAGCUUCAAGCACUCUAUGAACUCUGUCCUUUGUUCAUCUAGAUACUUGCACAAAUUUUUACCAUGAAAAUUAGACCAAAACUUGGCUCGGAUGAUUGCUGGUAAGGAUCAGAAGGCGACAAUUAAUGGAAACUUAGUUCCAAAUUGAAUCAAUAAACUUAGUAUAGUGAGAGAUUCACUACUACUAAUGGGUUUGUUUUUUGUGAAUUAGAUCCGGUAUGUUCUAAUAAACAGGAUCUGAUUGAAGAAGAUGUUUUUUUAUUUAUGGAAAUCUCUUCUUUGUAGAGUAUAUUUAAUUCUUUUUGCUUGCAUGCAAUUCUCACCCACAUUAUAAUUUCCAAACGGACUUGGCCAUGCAUUAAUGAUUAUUAAUGUUUUGUCUUCUAUUUUGUUAAAUUGGGAAAUUCGAGACGGAUGAAAGAGAAGAAUGAAAAUAAAUACUUUUAAAAGUGGAGGAAAGAUGAUGGAAGGAUCACUACAAGAAAUAUUAUCUUUUACAACCAUUCAAAAAUGCUGCAAAAACACAAUUACAACAUUUAUAAAAAUGUCCUAAUGAAGGAUGCAGUAAAUAACAUUAAACUUUUGUAGCAUUUUUCAACUGCAGUAAGAAACGCUGCAUAAAAUAAUAAUAACGGCAUUAUUAAAAUGCAGUUUUCUAGGCCAUUUGCUAUAAGAGUAAAUUACUGCAAAAAUUAGUAAAUAAAUAUGGAAAUCUGCUACCAGUAAAAUUGAUAACAGUUCAAUCAAUUGAAAAUAAUCUCCAUAAAAUCAUUUGAACUUGGCAUCCAUACAACAAAAAUUUAGUUGAAGAUUGUUAAAUCUCUACACUAAAUAUAAUACUCAAAGUGUAAACUGAAACUUUUGCCCAGGUUAAUGUUUUUUUUUUUUCCCUACUUGUAAGAUUCAAGUAUAUGUAUGAACAAAAUUAGAAACUAUAAGCCUACUCCAACAAGAUGUAGUUUUUUGGCCAAGCAAUUGUGCUUCCAAUUGCAUCACUAAGAACAUGAAACUCAGAUGUAGCACGAUAUAAGGGAGUAUCUUCAACCAGUGUAAUUGUCACCCAAACUUUCCAGCAAUCUGGUCCAAGACAUAUAUGAUGUACUUUGGCAAGUGGAUCUCUUGAUGCAAUUGUUCCUUCCCCUACAACUUUUCCUGUUCCCAUCCAAUCUAGUAAUCUACAACGAGCAUUUUCAAUAUUUGUGAAAGUGCUUCCACAUGUUUUAGCUUUCUAUAAUAACAAAUAAAAAAUCUGAUUAGAGACAAACAAAUAAUAUGUAAUAAGUAUAAUCAGCCUAAAGGCAAUUGGAAACUGGGGGGUAUAAGCGAUUAAAAUUAAUAGCCACAUGUCCAAUCAUUGGCUGGUGGUUACACUUGAACUUAUUUGACAUGGAACGUCUGAUGUGCUGUAUGUGAAUUGCGCAAAACUUAUCUUACAAACAAUGUAACAAACAUCCAAUAGAUAUCAAUCAUUGAUUUUGAUAUUUCUUAAAUUUAAUGGAUGAAAAUAAUUUUAACAUGAAAUGAGGUAUGGGUGUAAUAAUAAUUUACAAAAAAAAAUCAUUUUUAAUAACAUAUUUACUUUUUUUUUUUUCAAAUAAGUUAUCGUUAAUUUUGUAUAACUAAAUAAUUUUGUAGACCAUCUCUCCUACAUCUAUUUUAUAACUUUCUAAAAAUUUUACUGUAUUUUUAUAAAAAUCUAAAUGAUUAUUGUGUUAAUAAAGAUUUUCAACUUUUGAAUAUAUUUAACUGCAGUGCCAGACUCUAGUGCUACAGAGAUUGUCUGCAAAAGUAAAACAUAUCAUUCUUGUUAAUUUCCCUGAAUGAUCAGUUUCUUUGGUAAAAAUAACUCUAGCACUUGCAGCCCCUGGGACUUCUUAAAAGAGAAAAUACAUAAUGGUGAAGUUAGGACCAUAAAAAAUAAACUCUUGGAAUUGGGCAACAUCAUGACAACCACAUUGCUUUCCAUAACAAUGACUAGUGGCAUGAUCAAAACAAGAGCAUAGAAAACAAUCUCUCAGCCAUUUAUAAGUCAUCAAUCAGUGUGAAUAUAUGAGAUAUGAAGGAAGCAUGCACCUUUAAGAUAACAAAAACACAUAUAUCUUAAUAAAUACAAUAGUUCAUUCUCAUCAGAGUUUCAGAAACUAGCAUUAUCGAGAUUAUGCUCUCAAUCUCUAUGCUUAGUCGCAGAUAUACAACAAUGUCAAAAGGUAGCCGUUCCCAACUAAGUCCAAACGGAUGACAAAAAGUGAAGAUUGUCCCACUGAUAAGAAACUUGGUCUUCCCUCUUAUCUUCAAAAAUGCAAUCUGGCACUGCCACAGAACCUUAGCUUUCUAUCCUUGCCCAAAAGCAAAACACAUUUUCCAUUAGUAAAGAGCUACUAGAACUUGGAGCACCCCAAAAUCAAUAACAUAAUUGAGAAUCAAUGCAUGUAUCUGCAAGCAUUUAUUUAGUAGACAACUGAUUCCCAAACCAAUUUUAAAUUUCUGACAGACUUACUUCGUUGCCUAAAUUACCAAGCUUUUCAGUUAAUCUGCCCAAAAUACAAUCCACGGGUGCAUUUAAAUAAAUUGGGUUAUUUAACACCUAUAAUCUUUGAAAUCUCAUAGAAUUGCUAUCAAAAGUAAUCUACACCAAACGACCAACACAUGAAAUACAGGACCUUUAGACAGAAAAUAAUGCUGUAGAAAAAAAUAAAAACCCAUAAAAGCACAAAAUACUUCUCCUAAUAUUAAUAAUGGAACAAAGCAAUAUCAUAAAACGCUGAAAUAUACCAUUAGAGGAAUAAAUCCGUACCGAUGACGAGCUAAAUAUGAAAAUUUUCUAGAAUUAAUAAUUCUUCAAACAAAAAAACACAGUAAUUAUCUGCAUUUUAAAUAAUCCUAAAAAAGGGCAAUGACUUAUUGAUUUCAUUAGAAAAAAAAAACCUACAAACACUUUUUUUUUUAAUCUAUUUUAUUUCCGAGCAAGAACAACAUUCUUCUAUUCUUUCUUCAACAAGAAAACAGGUUAUGUUACCGUUGGCAGUAGGUGAAACACUUGACAACCAAAUACAUAAAAAGAAAUAAAAAAGAGUUAGAAAAAUUCACAAAAAUUAAAAUUGAAAAUACAAAAAGAUUAAAAAAGAAAUUGCUUUUGAAAAAUGAAAAUAUCAAACCCCUUCUUCAGAACAAUUCAAACAGGGGGCUGCAGGUUCUUAAUCUAACAGUAAUUAAAAUUCCACUGAAACCCCAACCCUCUAUUUGAUUUUUUUUUUUUUUUUUUUUUACUCACAAGAAUUAAUUCCAACAUAGAACUCGAGCUCUGGAAGAGAUAAAAGGAAAAGACACAGAUGACUGAGUCCGACUGAGACAGAGUCGCCAGUAUACCGCAAAGGUCAGCACCCAGUUGAAUUUGCGAGUUUGGGUUCGAGUCCCAGUCACACAGGAAAGUAGGUAAUUAUCCUAACCAGCUGAAGUAUCAAAACCUGUUUCUAUAAGCCUGCACAUUACAAGUUAAUUGUCAGCAAAGGAGGGGCCGGCAACGAUAAACAACACAUCAUCUCCUAAUUAUAAAACAUGUAAAAUUAAUGUAUUUUACCAGUCCCAAAAUCCCUUUUCUUUAGAGAUAAUCUCCCCAUAGCAACUAUAAAUAUUGUGGGGGUGGAAAAAAUGACCACAAAGAAGAACAGUCCCUUCUUUUUCUCCAAACAAAUACAACCAUUUCAGCUCACAUCUAAGCUGAGAACCAUUCUAGUUCCAAGUUUCAACCAAUGAAACAACCAUAGUAUUCUCAUAAAAAUAAAAAAUGAAAUAACCAUAGAAUAAAAUAAUUAUACUCUAAUUCAAACAUUGCUUCAGAAUUUACGAUUUAUGGUAGACUCAAUUGGUCAAACCUACGGAAUUGGAAUUAAGGUUCUUACAAUACUGAAAUGAUCAAAUUUCAUUCACUCUAAACAUGAGAUGCAACUUGUACUAUUUCAAGUUAUUCAGUAAGCAUUAAGGGUGUGUUUGGUACCCCACAUUAUAUGGUAUAAAAACACCGUUUUGUAUUAAAUUUAUGCAGACCCACACGUUUGGCGCUAAAAGUAGCUACAACAACAUUACAUUAAUGAGCCGUGCUAAUGCGGCAACUGCCGCAUUAGCUAAACCCGACUGUGCUUGCCUCUUUUUUUUUUUUUUUUUUAAAAAAAAAUCUUUAUGAUUAUAAUAAUUAAAAAAUAAAUAAACUUUUGAAUUUAAUAUAGUAUUAUGUAAUAUUAAUAUUAAUCUUUUAUUUUUAUGUUAUAAUUAUUGAUAUAAAUUAAUAAAAUUACAAUUUAUUAGUAAAUUUAUAAUUUAAUAUAAUUAAUAAUAAUAUUAGUUUAAAUAAUAAUAUAAAUAUUAUUACAUAUACAAAUAUACUACAGAACUCUUACUUGAAUUAUUUAGCACAAUUCAUUUUGUUAGUGAAUAUGUUAUAAUUAAAAAUUAAUACAAUACAGUGUAGCACCAAACAUUGUACAAUAUUAUUAUAAUACAAUGCUAAUGCAAUACAGUAUAAUACAAUACAUCAGCAUUAAAAUAAUGCAAUACGAUAUAAUACAAUACAAUAUACCAAACACACUCUAAAAGAAAUUUGUUCAUCCUACGUGGUAUAAGUAGUAUACUUCAGCUAGUAUUAUGCAUCAUCAGUUAAAUCAUUUGGAUUAUUAACAUUGAUAUUUUUUUAUUAGCUGAAUUGAUGACUGUCGCACCCCUGACUUAGAGGCACGUGUGAUAAGAAAAGUUUAUCUACAUCAGAUGCAAGUAUAAGCUUUUAACAAUUAAGCUGUGACAGUUUGCUUGCAAGAACAAACGUAUACUAAUUAGAGAUGAAUAAGACCCAGCACUUCAAGAAAAAUUUGACAUUAUCUGCCCUAAAAUAUGGAUACUAUCCAAUAUAUCAAACCAGCAAUUUUUAUACCCAGCUGCUUAAAACUUCAAAAAAAUAAAAAAAUAAAAUAAAAUAAAACAUAACCUCCUCAAGUCAACUCUAUUACUCUACUACCACCAUCGGUCAAUAUGACAUUUGGGGCCUCCAGGACCCUAUUACUACAACACUAACGGAUAUGAGUGCAUCCUACUAAUAUUGCUUAGUCAUUCUUAAUACAUGUAAUAAAAAGCAUAAUAUCUACAACAAGGUAGCUUACAAAGUUUACUAGGCCAGCAAUGUCAAAGUACAACCAGAACAAUAACAAAAAUAUACGAAGACUGUUCUUCAUUUCAAAACACAACUUUCAAAAGAGGUAAUCUCCAUGUUAAGCCCCAAAUCAAAAUCAAUCCUCCACUGACCUCAAUUUCUUCACAAUAAUUUACCAAACCUGAAUAGUAAGGGGUGAGCUAAUGCCCAGUAGAUAGUUACGCACAAAAAAUGAUCUUUUUUUUUUUUUAACACCAAAGUAAUUCACACAACUUGGGUACAUUUCUAACAUGAACCAUUUAUAUAAAUAUAAAAAAAAAAUUAUUUCUUAAAACAUUUUAAGUUUGAAAGUUGGUAUUCAACAGAAACGUCAUAAGACAAGAUCAAAACAACAUACACACAUAAAUAUAGUGUUGCUCAUACUUUCUGUAGUUGUGUAAAGAAAUCCUAAAAUUACUCUUUCAAUAAUACAAAAUAAAAAAAGUGCCUGACAGUGGCGGUGCCAGAAAUUUAACUUAGCAGGGGCUAAGUUUAAAUAAUAAUGUAAUUUAAAAAAGGUCAACAAGUAACAAGUACCAAAAAUAAAAAUUCAUUAAUAUAUUCAAUACAUUUAUAAUUGAUCUCGAUGUGUUUUCAUAUGUUAAAAACGUUAAAGAAAAAACUUAUCAUCAAGAAUACAAAAUAAAUCUUUUUCUACAUGUGUAACAAUAAUGUUACUCAAUUAUUAAUCUCUAAUCUGAUUUCACAGACGAUUUUUCACAAAAUUCAUAGUUGAAAAUGCCUUUUAUUACUGUAGUGAUGACAACUAGUAAAAUCAAUGCUAAUGUUAUCAAUAAAUAAAUUAAUGAAUACAAUUUAUCUUUUUUAGUAUCAACUAUUUUUCUUGUUAGCAUAUCAAUCUGUUUCAAUUUUGAAAAUUUGUUAUUAGAACCCACCUAUGUAAUGUAAACAUCAAAUUGAAUUUUAAGUGUCAUAAGAUUCAUUGAAAAAAAAUCAUUUUGAUAAACUCAAUAAGAUAAAAUAAUUUCUAUUUUUUUGUGCGAGGAGAGUUUGGGUGCAACGAAUCUCAAAAUGACAAUUUCUUUGUGGGUUGGAAGUUAAAGAUAAAUACUUAAUAUUUUGGUUAUUUUUAAAUUUUAACAUUCUUCGAACAAAUUAAAGGCCAACAAUGAAAAUUUCACAUAAAAACAACCAAAAUACUUGCAAAUAGCUUAAAUUAAAAGUUUUCUGUCUCGUUCAAUAGGGUUGGCAAUCAAGCCCAAGCCCAACCCGAUCACACAAACAAAGUGCCCGAGCCCUAAAAAAACCCAACUGUUUUACAUUUGGGUCGGGAUAGGGUCAAGGUUGGGCUCAGACUUUCUUGAGCCCGACCAAAUUUUUUAAUUUUUUAAUAUUUAAAUAAUUUAAAUUUAUAUCUCAUAAUACCAUAGUGGUGGUUGGCAUGGCAGCAAGCGGUGCUGAUGAUGGAAGUUGCAACAACAUCUGUCGUGGGCUCAUGACGUGAGUCGCAGCUGCGGUCAAUUUGGUGGCGGGCUAGUGGCGUAAUGGAAGUAGCAACAGCAACUGGUAGCUCGCUUCUCUUGCAUUAGGGUUUAGAAUGGGAUAUGUGUGUGUUUGUGUGGUGUGAGUCGUAUGAAUGUGAAUAUGUGAUACUGUGAAUCUAUGAUCAUGUGAUGUGAGUGUGUGUUAUAUGUUCAUGUGUGCGUGAGAAAUUUUGUUAAAAUUUGUGUGCGUGAGAAAUUUUUUUUUUUUUUAAAUUUGUUAACUAAUUGGGUUGGGUCAGGCCUUAACUUGAAUUUGAUUGAGCUUUUAUUUUUAAGCCUAGCUUGAAUUUUAACCCUUAAAUUUAAAUCAAAUCUCAAAAAUUUUGGAUCAGGUCAAUUGGGUCGAAAUUCAAGUCGGACUUUUUUGCCAUCUCUAUCAUUCAAAGAGACGCCAACAAUUUUGGAAACUUUUUGUUAGACCUCAACUUUAAAAUACAGUAAAAUCUCUAUAUAGUCAUAUUAUUGGGACUGGAGAAAUUUUUUCUUAUAAAAAGGUUAUAACUCAAUAGAGGUAUAGUAUAAAAAUUUAAUUAUUAUCUUUGCUUAAUUAUCCUUAAUGCAAGUGAUAUAGAGGUAAAUUAUGUCAUGUAUUAAUAAAUUAAUAAGUGUGUCAAAUUUAAUGUAUAGACAUUAAUAAACUACAAACAUACUUGAGAAGUUAGAAAUAUUUUAGUUUCAACUUGAUAUUUCUUGAAAACUUCAUGUGUAUAGAUUGUGGACAUUUGUUUCUCAAAGGGUAAAGGAGACUUCAACACCAGUUUCUUGUGCUAUGUAUUGAAACUUGCAUAAGCUUCCUUUUCUUGUCUGUCUUGUAAAGCCACUUUGUAUUGUUUAACAAAUUCUUCCACUGAUGUCUUCUUACUAACAUAUUUGUCAAAAAAAGAGUUGAUACUUUUGGAUCGUUGGAUUGUAGAUAAUCCAGCAACGAACGUAUCAUUCAUAUAAGUCACCCAAAACUGCAGUCUUCAUUUAAUGAUCUUAGCCACUCAUUCCCUUCAAGCUCAAACUCUUCAAUUAUACCCCACCAUUUUUUUCUCAACGUCCUCCUCUAACCAUGAGUUGUAAACAUAUUCAUUGAAUAUUUUCAUAAAAGAUUCAUCUUUCUUUAUCACAUGGCUAAGCUUUUUGGGAAUCUUCCUAAGUAUGUGCCACAUACAAAAUUGUUGUCAUGAAUUCAUAAAGGCAAUAGAAAUGGCUACUUUCAUAGCCUUGUCUUGAUCAGUUAAUAUAGCAAUUGGAUGCUUUCCACCCAUAGUCCUCAGCCAUGUUUGCAUUAGCCAAACAAAUGUUAACGUAGUCUCAUCAGCAAGCAAUGCACAUCUAAGAAAUAGAGAUUAAAAAUGGUUAUUCACACUAAUAAAAGGAGCAAAUGGCAUUUUCUUUUUGUUUGUAAUAUAUGUAGUAUCAAAGGAAACAACAUCUCUAAAAAUCUUAUAAUCCUCUCUACUAGUUGCAUCCACCCAAAAAACUUCUUCAUCUAAGUCCACAGCUUAAAAGAAAUUAAUAUUCUUUCCCUGCAUUUGCAUAAAGUGGAUAAGCAUUGCUCUAGCAUCACCUAAUUCCAAUGCUAAUCGAUGUUCUUUAUCCAAAUGGUUUCUAAUAUCUUUCUUUGUGUACCCAACAUUUUUAUAUCCACCAUUUUUUUGGCCAUUACAGCAAAAAUCUUAUUUAUACCAAUACCAACUGCAUGUAACAUAUUAAUACUAUGUUUAUUGGAAAAUGCAAUACUUCUAUGACAUGAAAAAUAAUGUGCAUGUCUAGGAUAAAGUUCAUGGUUAUGUUCUUUUAUGAAAUUUUGAACGUACCACUUGCCACGAGAGUUUAUUUUGUCAUGCAACAAAGCCGUUGAUUGAUAGCACUAGAUUCUCAUUUUAUCUCAUAUCUACCUUGUACAUGUGAAUUUUGCAUCAAUAAUUUCCCUAGAAAACUUUGAUCAACGGCUAGAUUUCUUUGAGGUACCGAACCUUGUAUACUUAACAUACUUUAGAUAGAAAAAAUAUGCAUUAUCUUGUGUAUCAAACUCCAACCCAGUAUAAGGUUCUAAAUCCAUGUCAUCGUUACCAUCCACCAUGUUUUUAUUCACCAUAUUUCUAUCAAUCACAUUCAUGCACUCAUCGAAAUUUGUAUUUAAGUCAAUCCGUAAAUUCAUGACUACCUAAAGACACAAAAAGAAAAAUGUAAACAACAACAUUGUAUAAAUAAUCGAGCAUUAUAAAUGCAAAUAAUUGAUUUUCAUAUAAACUUACUAAUUAUUCAAACAUAAUUAUAAAGAAUUAGUUCUCUAAUAAAUAAAUACCAAUUACCUUAAUAAUCUUCAUAAUAUAAAUAGAAAAUAAAUACACAAAUUUUCUUUUAUUAUUAUACAUUAACAAUGACAAAUCAUCAUGACAUCUAAUCUAUAUAAAAAAGAUAAUAGUAUUUUUAAUUUUAGGAGCCAGCUACUUUGCAUCGGUGAUUCCAAAUCCCUCAAUUUUGUUUUUACCAAACCUACCGUUGGAUAUUAUCUCUAAUGGAUGGAAAAGAUACACACACAAGUCAAAGUAACCUGACAAACAAGUUAGGAGCCAGUACCAAGGAUUAGGAAUGACCAUUUGAUCGGUGCUUUUCUUGUAUAAUCUCAGGUUGGUACAAUUAUGUAAAAAGGGGUCGAUUCCUAUUUUCCUUCAUUGUUGAUUAAGGACAGCAUUCCACUUAUUGACGCUAUUCCCAAAUACAAUCCUAAUUUCUUUCAAACUAAAAUUUAUGUAACUGGGUGUGAAGGAACUUUAAAGUGACAUGAGAUUUUUAAGUAGGCAAAUUUAAGAAUAUAGUUAAUGCUAAUUGGGAGCAACAAACCGAAUUUUUCAGUUCAACCUGAACAAAAAGCUAAUUUUUUUAUGGAGUUUGUAGGAUUGGAGAAGAAAAAGUAUUGACACCGGUAAAGUCGGUAGCAUUUAAUCUCUUUUAUCUCACCUAUUCUAUUUGAGCCGUUGGAUUACUAGACUUUCAAUCCACCGGCAGUUUUUGUAAAAGACAAAAUAAAGGGGUUACUUAUCACCACAAUAAAGUAGCCGGACCCUUAAUUUUAAAUAUAUAAUAAAAAAUUAAUGUAAUUUAGGUGAUAUUAGAAAAUGUUGUUUUAUAAAGGAAAAGUUAAGUGAAUCUACCUGAAUCAAUUUUGCAAAACAACUCAUUUAUGGCAAUUGAGACUAUAUUUCCAUAUUAAAACUUUCACUGACAAAUGCUCUGCACUCACAUGGUGCUUUUGAGAGUGAGAACUAAGGAGUAGGUGAAAAUGUAAUGUGUCGAAGAAGCUUCACAAAAAUAGAAGAGCAAUUUAGUAUUUGAAUAAAGAAGUAAAUGGCAUUUGAGUGUAAAUAUGUUUAAAGUAACGAGUAAAAUAAUAUCCAAUACCUUAUUGAAAGAAUGAGACAGAAUUAUUACAUGUGGUACUAGUAAAAUAUAAAAUUGGACACUUAUCGAAUUUGAGAGAAGCAAGCGAGUCAGUCGCUCAUGUAGCACUCUUCGGUUUUAAAUAUCUUUUAAAAGAGGUGCUAAUAGUCCAACUAUAUCCGUUUUUCAUUAAGCUAACUUUGCAUAACAAAGUGAUAAGAUAAUGAGACAUAAAUAGGCCAUCAAGAAAAGUAGAUACAAGAGGCAACAAAUGAUAUUGCCAAAAGAAUGGCGAGGUUUCCAAAAUGCAGAGAAAUACGACGGAUAGUGAGCUGGAAUUUGAUGGUUGUGCAGAUAAAGAUCAGUAACAAUGGCAGGGCAAGAACCAGAAAGAAGAGUUGAAGCUUUAGAGGAUAUAAAAGGAGUCGAUUUGUGCCAUCUUGGACCGAUCUAGUGUUCCCAUUAUCAUAUUUUAAGAACCCAAAGAACACGAUCAAUAUGAUUUAGAAAUUGUAGCAAUUAAACCCUUGAUAAUCAAUUAAAACCUUGAUGUAACUGAUUGAUUGACCUACCUUUUUAUUUAUUUUGAAUUUAUUUAAAAAUUUUGUGAAUUUUUUUGUAACUCCGAAAAACUUGUUAUUUAUUAAAGACUAUUGAUGUUUUUAACACCCCUUUAAAAUCCCAUUUUAAAUUUUGUUUUUUUUGGUCUUAACAAUAAGGUAUCCUAAGGAGGGCCCCAACUGUAGAAGGCACCUUUAAGCCUGUACCACAAUCCAAAUUAGAAGUUCCCGCUCGAACCGGGAGACACAGGUUCUCCCAACAAAGGCGACUUCCCUGCGACUCGAACUGGAGAGCAAACCCAGUCAAACCACUUAAGAAGACUCCAUUGCUAGUGGAGCCAACACUUUGUUGGUCCAUUUUAAAUUUUAUUUCUUAACAAAAUCAGUCAAAGCGUCACUUUCCUUCGAAAAGGUACACACACAGAGAGAGAGAGAGAGAGAGAGAGAGAGAAUCCAGCCUACAACAAUUUCAUUUCUCAUUAAUGCUAACUUAGCUAAGGCCAUUCCAUCCACUUUAAAGUAACUUCAUGUGAAAACAGAUUGAAUUUCAAUUUUACUAGGAGAUCGUUUGUAUGAUGCACCAUAUGUAUCAUACCGUUCUCUGGAUAUACCUGUUUCAAGAUAACUAUGCUUCAGACUUCAGAGAACAAUAAUAUACAACAAGACCAAACAUAAAAAAGCCAAUUAAAUUACUGCAAAUAAAAGUCUGCAAAUACAAUAAGACCAAUAUAUAUAUAUAUGUGUGUGUGUGUGUAAAUAAAUAAAUAAAUAUAUUUUGCACCGAAACACGGUCUUAGAAAGAGUGAUUUUGGUUUUUGAUUCAACAAGAGUGAGAGUGAUACAAACCGAUUAUUUUUAUUGAAACAUAAAAUAAAAUGAAAAGGACAAACAAUAUAGAAGAGUAAAAAUAGAUUAGUUUGAGGAAAUUUAAGCCUUCAAAAUAAGUAUAGAGCAUUAGAGAAACCAAUAAACUUCUAUAUACAACUUAAGUUGUAGUAAAAAACUAUAAAUCUAUAAUCAUCCCAUGCUUUAUCUUAAUCCAAUUAUUCCUGAAAAUAAGAGACUUCAUAGCUUCUUCAUUUCGAAUUUCCUAUAGACAAGUACAACUUUUACUUUCUUUUGGCAUUUCUCAAAUAUUAGCUCUCUAUAAACUUGAGAAGUGUUUAUAUGGGUUGAGAAAAGCUCCUUGUUGUUUCCAUAAAGGUAAAUAUAUCUUGAAUUCUUAACCUUUUGGAGGAAUUUAUAUCUUUAGGUUUACGAAGAGAAAAUGCCAACAAUCUUCAGCUAACCCACUUGAACACACCCUUCUUUCCUCUAUUGACAACUAAGAUUACUGCGGGGAUCUCAUAAUCGGGCUUUGGUUCUCGAAUGAGUUUGAUAAACCUUCGUCUCUAGAGCUGGACCCAAUUGAGGUUUUUAGAUUUAUAGAAACCCAUGGCCUACUUCAACCCAAGAACUAAUUCAAAAAUAGAAGAUUCCUCAAGUUUAUAUUGUUAGCCUAGUUACCAUUAUCCUUGAGAUAAUAUCCUCAACAAUAUUCCCAUUUUACGGCGCAGUUCGGAGAUGAUACAUGUAAUGGUAGGCAAUCUGGGGGGCUGAAUCCAAUUUGGUAAUCGCCACCUUUCGGCUGCUUUAAAAUGAAUAUUAUUGAUGCUGCAAUGGAUCAGACGGCUGGGAUAGCAGGACUUGAUAGGAGACAGCAAGAUUCUGGGCCUAGUCCUUUCUUGGGCUUCUCUCCCUUUUUAAACUUGUAGUUUCAUUUUCGUAAUGGACCUUUUGCUCUUCUUAAUUAGGCCUGGGCAUGCUGUAAGUGUUUUCUUGUCGGAGUUAAAGCGAGUGAUGACAAACUUUACGCAACGUGGCUCCUGCGUUUCUACUGUGCAAGUCAUUUUUAUUAAUCAAUUGUCUACCAUACUAUUUACUUUGAAAUAAAUUGAUAUUUCAUUCAUCAUAGAGAACUUUGAGUACCAUCGUACAUCCACUACAAACACACAUAAAAAUCGAUUAACAGAUUAUUUAUUGCAAGUAGACAAUAGAUUAAGUUAUUGUAUUUUCAAGUUAUGAGAGGAAAAACGAUUAUUUAUAAAAUGCAAUGUAUAUUCAUUCUUCCCUUAAUCCACAGGUAAUUAAAGUUUUAAUAAAUAGAUGUAUACAGGUAAUUGCCUAAGGUCUACCAAGCUUCUCAGUUAAUCUACUCAAAAGAAACUUCUCAACAGUCACGUUUUGAUAAAUUGGGAUAUUUUUAACGCCUUUAAUCUUUGAAAGCUCACUCUUAGAAUUGGUUGCCGAGUUUCCGACUAUUAAUUCAACUGUAGUCAUUACUACACGCACACAUAUUUAUGCUUAUGAUACAGUCAGAUUGAAUCUGUUAUAGGCUAAUUAAUUACAAUAUGUUUCUUUUACAAGCUAUAUGAUUGGACCUUAAUUAAUGAUCGAAGAAGAAAUUAUAAGAUUAAGUACUUCUCCUAGAGCUAAUAUUAAUGUAACAAAACAACUUCAGAUAUUUCCCAAUAAGCCACUAGAUCAGGAUCAAAUCCACCAGUCAAUAUUCCACGAGAUUUUUCCAUUUCAUGAAUUAAUAGGUCUGCCAUCACUAGAUUGAGUACGGAAAUUAAAAAAAAAAAAAGAGUAGAAAUGAAAAAUAAAGGAAAUAUCAAUCAUACCUUUUCUUCAGGAGAAAUCAGAUGGAGGGUGGCGCUGGUUUUUUUAUCUAAAGAUGACUCCAUGGAUAAUCCCUUGAAGCCCCAACGCUCUAUUUUUUUUUUGGUUGUUUAAGAAUUAUUUUCGACAAAGUACUUGAACUCGGGGAGAGAUAGGCCUGGAGACAUAUAUAGAUAAGGCAGCGUCUUACGGUCCUAAUGCUGCAACGUGGUCCAAUUCCUUCUCAACGGAGAAAACGUUCUGUCAUCGUCAAGAAUUUUGGACAGAAACAUGUUACUGUCACAUGCAUGUGGGCUCCGUUUUGAAACCUUUUUUCUCAUCUCUUUUCAGGGUCCAGCUACUAUACCCAUGAGGUUUGGUACCCUAUUCUUUUGUCUUUUUCGAAUCCACCGUUGGAUUUAACUUGAGAGUUGUAUAAUGGUCAGAUGUAAUUAUUGGGUCAUUAACAUUAAAAACCCUUGUUGUUCAUGUAAAAUAAGAAAAAUCAAAAGUUUUAUAAUUAUGACAUAUAAGUCCACAAUAUUUAUUUUUUUACUCUAUUGAACUAGGUUUUCAAUUAAAUAACUUAUUCUUAUAUUUAUUAAUAUCUAUUUAAAUUAAUAAAUUUACUUAUUAAUUUAUUAAUUAAUUAAUAUAUUAACUAAUUUAUUACAUAGUUAAACUAUGUAAAUUAUUUGCUAACCAUAAUUGAUGAUAAAUAUAAAUAUGAUUUUUUUUUAAUUUAACACGGCAACCAAUUUCCUUUCACCCAUGUGAGCAGGGUUCAAACCCCAUAUCUUUUUCUUCUUUUUUUCUCGAACAAGAAAUUUUAUAUGUAAAGUAGAUGGAAUACACAAAAUACGAAAAUAAAUUUAAUUUUAUAUUCUAUGUAGGUAAUGUUUUGUUAUUUUUUUAUAACAUAAUAUUUAAUUAACAUACUAAAUUAUUUAAUUAUGUAGUAAAAAUAUUUUAAUUUACUAAUAAUAAUAAAGUGUUGUUUAUGAAUUUGUAAAAUCAUUUUUGUUUGUUUGAGCAAUGAGUUUUUUAUUUUUGAUUGAAUUUUUGUCCUAAAAUAAAAGGAGUAAAUUUAAUUGUAUACUUAAAUAAAUUUAAUUGAGUUUUUGUCCUGAAAAUCGUGGCUUCCAUAAGCAUUAAUGCAAUUAAAAAUUUGUGGGUGUUGGACUAAUAUGUGAAAAUUUAAAACUUUUUAGCUUGUUUGUUUUUAGAAUAAAUUACAGGACUCUAUUAUAAUUGACCUUAAGAAAAAGACAAAAAGGGAUACCAAACCCCUGUUGCAAAGUAGUUUUGCCCCACUUUUCAUUGGGUGAUUUUGUUUGUUUGGAACCUUUGAACAUCAGCCAGUGUAUGCUAUUUAUUUAUUUUUUAAAUUUUAAAUUUAUAAAUGUAAAAUCUUAAUUUAUAAAGUUGAAUUGGUAUUUAUGUAUAUAAAACCGUCAGUCCGACUGCCGAUAAAUAAAAUGGGUCUGCAUUUGGCUACAAGCCAAUUCUCAAUACUUAUAUAAAAUUUUAAUGGCUAUUACUGAGUCGAGGGUAGGGUACUGGAUUAAAAAUGAAAAACAGAAUAAAUUUGCCAGAAAAUUUUAUUAAUAUUCCGUUCUCCGCAUCAUAGCUAAUUAAACAACCGCUUCUUUCUUAGAAAUAUUACGAUAAAAAGACUAAAUUAAAAUAAGCCAAUAUAGAAAUAAGUACAAGAAACGGUACCUUUCGGGUCUUUUCUUUAAUAAAGACGAAAAUAGCAACUAAACUAAAAGUUAACUGCCAUUUCGUGAUUUCCACUUAUAUUGACAAUAAAAAACCGAACACUUUCCACCAAUAAAGUAUUGGUUCCACUGGCAAUGGAGUCCCCUUAAGUGGCUUGAUUGAGUUUGCUUCCCAGUUCGAGUCGCAGGGAAGUCGUCUUUGUUGGGAGAAUCUGUGCCUCACGGUUCGAGCGGGGACUUCUAAUUUAAGUUGUGGUACGGGCUUAAAGAUGUCUCCCACAGUUGGGGCCCUCCCCAAAAUACCUCGUGGUCAAAAAAAAAAAAAAAAAAAAAACCGAACACUUUCCCAACAAAAAAAGGACAUAGAUGCCACUUUAUAAAUAUAAAUAAUGUAAUUACAAUUAUUAAGUUUACUAUUAUAAAUGAUACAUAUUUAUUAAAUCAAAAUGUAAAUAUAAAUAUAAAAAGAAUAAUUAAUGUAAAAUAAGUUUCUUUAAAACAUCACAAGAAGAAGCAACUAUUGUUUGUUAUUUUAAUUUAACAAAGAAAUCGUAAUGAAUUACCAGAUUAAAAGUUUUAUUGAAGAAGAAAAGUAAUUAAUAUAUAUAUAUAUAUAUAUAUAUAUAUAUAUAUAUAUAUAUAUAUUUAAACUUGAGUACUGCGAGAUGAUGAAGACAAAAUGAAAAGCAUUAACAGAGAGAGACACACAAAUCAUAUCUCAUAAAUAUUAUUUAAAAAAAAAAACACUCAUUGUCCACUUCAUCUAUACGGAGUCGUAUACAUAACUAAAACAACAGAUCUGAAUUUUAUCUUUAAAAAAAAAUUAAAAGAGAAAUAUAUAUUAUUACUGUGGCAACUGUAGCUAGCCCUAGGUAGUAGUAGUUGCAUGGAACUUCGAGUCACCACAAUUGCACCAGAUCCCCUGGCUGCAGGUUUUGGAUGCCCUCGUGAGGUUCGGCAGAAGCUAUUACCGCAGCGUGUCCGUUGCAGCAGCGCUUAAACAGAGAAGUUAGCAUUACAUAAAAGAGUGAUAGGAUUAUGAGACACAAAUAAACCACUAAGAAAAGAGAUGGAGCCAAAAUGAGAGAAGCGAUUGUGGAUAUUGCCAACAGACAAGGGAGAUGAUCUCCACAACUCAUGGACAUGGGGCUUCUCACACUGACAGGAAGUCUGAUGGCUGUGAAGAGAAAGACCAGUAAUAUCAGGAAGGGGAAUUGAAGCUUUAAAAUUGGGUACAAAAGUAUCUGAUUGGUUCCAUCUUGGAGGUACCAAGACUGACCAUCUUGAGAUUUCAGGAAGAAAAAGAAGAUUACAAGAUUUAGCAAUGGUGGAAACAAAAAUCUCACAUACAACAGGGCAGUUCAUUUCUGGAAAUGGAAUGUCAAAAAGAAAAUUUCAUACAUUCGCAAUGGAAGAAGAUUUGAGUGCUCAGCCAACCGUAUGAGAGGGCUGCUAGCUCUUGGGGGAUUUAUAGGAUGGCAACAUUAAUUCCUUACGGACUCAUUUUCAUAAAACAAAGGAGAGAGAGAAAGAGAAGAAAACCCUUGCCCUAGCCUCGUAUCAAAAGACAAAAGCGAGCCUCAGCCUCGUGCACAUCUAAUACACACGCGCACUGCAGGCAAAUACGCUUAUGGUCCAGUCAGAUCGAAUCUGUUAUAGACUAAUUAAUUACUCUAUGUUUCUUUUACUAGCUAUAUCAUUGGAUCUUAAUUAAUGACCGAAGAAGAAAUUAUAAAAUACUUCUCCUAAAGCUAAUAUUAAUCGAUCAAAACAACUUCAGAUAUUUCCCAAUAAGCCACUAGAUCAGGAUCAACUCCACAAAUCAAUAUUCCACAAGAUUUUUCCAUUUCACGAAUUAAGAGGUCUGCCAUUACUAGAUUAAAAGGUAAUAAAAUUAAUUACUUAACAUACAUUCUAAAUCAUCCUUAAAUUUUAUAUGUACGGUUCCAGCUGUAGGCGAAACUUUGGAUAGGUAUAAAAAAAAAAAAUUACAAAAAAGGAGUAAAAAUGAAAAAGAAAGAAAAUAUCGAUCUUCGAUCAAACCUCUUCUUCAGGAAUCAGGAGAAAUCAAACGGAGGGGCGGAGCUGGUUUUUUAUCUACAGAUGACUCCAUGGAUAAUCCCUUGAAGCCUCCAAUGCUCUAUACGAUUUUUUUUUUUUUUUUUUGUUGCUGUGUAAGAAUUUUUUUCCAGAAAGAACUUGAACUCGGGAAGAAGAAGACCAGGAGACAUGUAUAGGUAAGGGAGCGACUUACAGUUCGUAAUGCUGCAACGUGGUCCAAUUCCUUGUCAACGAAGAAAAACGUACGACUCUUGUCAUCUUCAAGAAUUAUUGGACGGAAACAUGUUAAAUGUCACGUGCAUGGGACCCGCUUUGAUAGCUUUUUCUCAUCUCUUUUCAUUGUGUUUGUUUGCGAAUCUUUGAACAUCAGGUAGGUGGCGUAUGUUAUUUAUUUUUUAUUUUAAAUUUAUAAAUGCAAAAUCUUAAUUUAUAAAGCUGAAUUGGUAUAUAUAUAUAGAAAACGGUCAGUAUAAAAUUUUAAAAAAAAAAAACAGAAUAAAUUUGACACAAAAUUAAGAUUAAUAUACCGUUCUCCGUAUCAUAAAUAACUAAACAACCGCUUCUUUCCUGGAAAAUCAUAAAUAUUACGAUAAAAAAAAAAAGAGAGCCAAUAUGGAAAUAAGUACAAGAAGCAGAAAAAUGCUUUUCAGCUCUUUUCUUUAAUAUAGACGAAACAGUUUCCAUUCCAAACGAAAAAAAUGUAAAAAAAAAAAAAAAGAUUUGCAUUCCACUCUGUAAAUAAAAUAAAUGUAAUUACACCCUCAUAAUAGAUACAUAUACAUUAAAACAAAAUGUAAAUAUAAAUAUAAAAAGAACAAUUAAGAUAAAAUAAGUUUCUUUAAAACAUCACAAUGAGAAUUGAGAAGCAACUAUUGUUUGUUGUGUUAAUUUAUCUGUGAGCCGCACGUAUUCAUUUAACAAAGAAAUCGUAAUGAAUUACCAGAACUAAAGCUUAACUGAAGAAGAAAAGUAAUUUAUAUAUAAUAUUCUUUUCAACUUUAGUACUGCGUGUUGAUGGAGAGACAAAGUGAAAAUUGUUAACAGAGAGAGACACACGAAUCUCAUAAAUAUUAUUAUUAAAAAAAAGCAUUCGUUGUCUGCGUCGUCUAUACGGAAUCGUAUGCAUAACUAACACAACUGAUCUGAUUUUUAUCUUUUUCUUAAAAAAAAAAAAAAUUAAAACAGAAGCAUAUAUUAUUACUGUGGCACCUGUAGCCAGCUAUAGGUAGUAGUAGUUGCAUGGAAGCUGAAGUCACCACAAUUACACCAUAUCCCCAGAUGGACUUGGCAGCAGGUCUUGGAUGCGCCCACCUUCUACUUUAACUUCAACUUCAGCUUCAGCUUCAGCUUCAUGUCCAACUUCAACUUGACCAUCAGAUUCAGGAACAACAGUGUAUCCUUUGCAGAAGCGCUUAAACAAGGAAGUUGACAUUACAUAAAAGAGUGAUAGGAUCAUGAAACACAGAUAAACCACCAAGAAAAGAGAUGGAGCCAAAAUGAGAGACGCGAUUGUUGAUAUUGCCAACAGACAAGGGAGAUGAUCUCCACAACUCACGGACAUGGGGCUGCUCACUCUGAGAGGAACCCUGAUAGCUGUGAGGAGAAAGAGCAGUAAUAUCAGGACGGCAAGACUCAUGAAGGGGAAUUGAAGCUUUAAAAUUGGGUACAAAAGUAUGUGGUUGGCUCCAUCCUGGAGGGACCAAGACUGACUAUCUUGAGAUCUCAGGAAGAAAAAGAAGACUACAAGAUUUAGCAAUGGUGGAAACAAGAAUCUCACAUCAACAGGACAAUUCAUUUCUGGAAACUGAAUAUCAAAAGAAAACUUCAUACUUUUGCAAUGGAAGAAGAUUUGAGCUCUCAGCUAACCAUAAGAGAGGGCUGCUAGUUGAGCUCUUAGGGGAUUUAUGGGAUGGCAACAUUCCUCACGGCCACAUUUUCAUAAAACCAAGGAGAGAGUAAAAGCAAGAAAAAGACAAAAGAGAACCUACACUUGUACUGUGGCAGCCUGACAGAUAUCUAAAGACAAAAGAUGAUAAAAUCUCUGAUUUGGCCCUCUAUUUUGUCAGACCUGGACUAAGACAUAUUCACACCCACAAACACAAGGAUUCCUCUAAAUUACAUUUAUCGCAACAUACAAUCAGUGAAAUCAUUAGUUGACCAAUAAACUCAUGCUAAGUGAACAUAACAGUGAUAAAUUAAAACUUAUUCAAGUGGUUGAAGCCGGUCACCAAAAAUAAUCAACGCAAAAGGCUCCCUUCCACAGCCGGUCGUGACAAAUAUAACGGCGUCGUUUUAACCAUCAAAUUACCACAACAGUUCCAUCUCUUCCACACAAUCCUCCUCAAAAUUCAGUCCUCCACCACCAAAUUCCAGCCAAAAUCAACGACACCAGUAAGGGGAUUGAUAAGGGUAUUCAUGUAUGAAUACCCUUAGCAAGCCCCUGGUUAGCUAAAGCAGACAUUAGUAUCCUAGCAGCUACAGCAGCAGAGAAAAGUCUCUGUUCACGUAUUCGCCUUAGGUUUAGGCAGUUAGAUGUCAUCGAAUUUGAAUUCCCAUUCAAUGAAGGUUUGACGCAGCAGGCUUGAUUAGGUUGUAUAGCUGGAUCUGGUUGAUUAGGGACGUCCCGGAGGAGAUUUGCAUCGAGCGAAAGAGAAACAACGGUGAGUAUACUCACAAGACGACAAACGUCACUCACUCUUGUGUCGGCAAUUUCACCAGCCCGCAAGCACUUAAUCUCAUCAUUGCGUAACGCCUAUUCCUCCUCUUCUUAUUCUUCUUAUUAUCUGUUUAUUUUAGUAUUUAUUUGAUUAAAUUAAUUCGCUUUGUCAUAAACAAGGAAGAAAACAAUUAUUUAGAGAGAGAGAGAGACUUGUCAAAAUGGGCAGAGAAACUCCAGUUAAAAGCAGGAGAGCAAGCACGCCACUGGCGGCUACGCGUCCGCAAAAGCCGCUAUUUUUGCGUGGUCCCCGACGUCGAUAAACUUAUCUUUAUUAUUUUGACAAGGAUCGAAAAUUCAAAAUUAAGAAAAUAAUAUUGUCAUUUGACUGAAUUCUUAGAUAUGAAUUUUCUUUAGAAUCUUAGAUCAUUAUUUUCUUUUUGGUUCGCUCAAAAUCUGCUGUAAUUUAAAAUCUUAGAUCAUUAUUCUUUUACUUUCAUGCAAUAUUAAUUCGUUAAAAAUUUUAGGCUGCAGUAUCUCAGCAUGGUGAAUGCAAGAUGAGACUCUAGAACUUUAGAUCAAAUAUUAAAUUAAUUGUGCUAUAUAUAUAAUCUCGUAUCACUUGUGUAUUUAUAAUAAUAUAAUUAUGAUUCAGAUUUAAUACAUAUUAUUUCUUAUUUAAUAUAUAACUAAUAAGCCCAAUAUUUCCCAAAAUAAAUUAAACUCAACUUGCUUUUUGAUAAUUUUAUUAGUAAAAAUUAUUGUUAUAUGUCAUAUCUUAUAUAUAUAUAUAUAUAAUGAGAUAACAUAUAACAAUAAGUGGAUAUCCUUGUUCCGCUAUUGAUUAGUGGUUCAUUUGGUCGGACGGCCCUAAGCCAUUUUCUUAAGCAAUAACGGAAAAAUGCAACAAUAUCAAUGAGAUAAGGCUUUCAAUUGGUGAUGGCAUAAAUUCAAAACAAAAACACAAGAACGUAUGAUAUCGGUGUCAUCAAAUUAAACUAUAAGCACUAUCGGUGCCAAAAUUUAUAGCUACGCUGCUACUUUUAACCAGUGUAAAUUCAGGCGAUCCUAUCAUACAAAUUAAAAAUGAAAAUUACGGAAGAAUGAAUUCAGAACAAGCUGAAUCCCUCACAAAACGUCCAUGCAUUCACCGGUUAACCAUGACAACCUUUUUCGUUUUGACGCAAAAAAAUAAUAGAGAGAAAGAGACAAGGAGAAAAAUUGAAAGAUGAAAGCGUUUUUCUCUCUCUUUUUGACACUUCAGCUGCUGGGCAUUUCGUCUGCUUUUUUGCCGGAAGCUUGUUAACCUGUGCCAUGGAAUGCCUGUCCCCCAUUGGAGAACUGAAAUCCACAUUAAAAAGGAAAAAAAAAAAGUACAAUCGAAUGUCACAUUUAGCAAAAGAUGAUGUCACAUUAGACUUGUGCCUAUUACGUGUAUAUAUAUAUAUAUAUAUGUAGAUAAUAGAUUGCAACACCUGUUGUUAUAGUGUCUCUCGUCUCACUAGAUUUGUAUCGACCAAGUCUCUGUACAUCGAUCGGAAGUUCGAAAAUUCAAUAUUCACAAUCCACUGAAGGAAACUUCCUGAGGAAGGUAUCAACUUGCAGACAAGCAUCCAAAAGGAUGGCAAAAAUGAACAUUAAUUACUUGUCCCACAUGCCAAGUAUAUAUAUAAGAUUUAAUUGGCAUCCUGAGAUUUCGAGUUCAUAAUGAAGAUUAAAAGAUUUAAUAUUGGCGGAAAUAAAAAUCUCAAAUAAAAAAAAUUCAAGAUGACUGUGAUUAAGUUUAGGGUCUUCAGAUUGGGAAGCCUAUAUGGCUUUUAUAUAGAGCCCCUUCUCAGCAUCAUAUGGAACCGCCUAUAAAACAAACUACCAUACGCCCAAAAAGAAGAAGAAGAAGAAGAAGAAAGAAAGGGGAAAAAAAAAGUAACGCCAUUAUAACUUUCGAACUUUGUUUUUCUAAAAAAAAGGAAACAAGGUUAUGCACUAUUUGGAUCUUGUUACAUGUGGCAGUGUUUACAAUUAAUGGCCAAGAUUUGUCCCUCCUAUGUCGUUGUUGACCUUUGAUUGAGUAUUAACCAAUGAGGUUUCCCACAUGAUGAAGGAGAUAAAAGAGAUGCAUUGUCAAUAAAUUAACGCUUGCAAAACAGAAAGUAGCCUGUAACAUCCAAUCAUGCACACACAAUCUAUGCUAAUACUGAACAGAAAAAUGAAACUUUGAUUUGAAGUGAGAGUCUUCGAAGGCAACAGCUUCUUUUCUUUUAAAUUGUAUAAUUAUAUACCCUGUAAAUAAGACAGCUUAUUUUUAUUGUAAAGGUGAUGUGAUUUUAACCCACUAAACUAAUCAUUAAAUUUAUUCACUAAAUAAACUUAUCCUAAUAUUUUGAAAUCUUAAAUUUUACUCGAUAAAUUCACCUAAAUAACUAAUGUACCUUUAUGAAACCCAGUUUGUACAAAAAUAAUAUUUUUACUCAUUAAAUUCAUUUAUAAACCCUUAAUGAAUGUUUCAUUAAAUUUCUUCCGUAAUCAUUCUUAAUCAAGAAGAUAUAUCUAGCGACACAUCAACCAUCAAACACAGACUCAUGUUGGCAAUACCAUGGUCAAGUAAGAAAAUGACCUAAUUUACUUCAAAAUCAAAAUAUCACCGCUCAAGUAAGCCAAAUGAUUGACGUCAAAGAAAAGAACCACCCACCCAACAAAGGAAAAAAUAUGGUCUUUCACUUUCAGCUUACUUCACAAAAACAAAAGAAUAGAAAAGAAUAGAAGGUAAAAGGCGCUUAGAUAACAUUAAAGGAGAUAUUCUGUAAUGUAUGGUAUAAGUGGUUUAGAAGAAUAUCCACUCCCAUGCAGUACCUGAUGAUUUUUUUAAAUUCUUUCCUUCUCAUAAAACAUGCGACUAUAUAUAUGUAUAUGAAACUUAUUAAGGAUUUAAUUAGUAGAAAAUCUUGGGGAAAAUACUUCAAAAACCAUCAAUUGUGUAUUAAAGAAACAACCAUGUUUAAUCUUCUGCAAGCAUAGCUCAUAUAACUUUUAAGGAACACAGUUUCCUUGCAAAAAUAUGAAUGAAUGUACAAAAACCCGAAAUGGAAACAAUCAGUGCAGUUACUGAUGUUAAAAGAUGCAUUCAGGGUGCGCAGCGGCCCCAAACGCACAAUCAAUCAAUUUCCCUGACUUCCAACCUUCAAUUUAAUGCAACCACAGUCAUGACCCUCCUAUCCUUAAAAUAGGAUAAGAUUUUCCAUUUAUUGUAUAUUUAAUUGCAGUGCUAGACUUUGUUACAGAGAUUGUCUGCAAAAGUAAAACAGCUCAUUCCUGUUAAUUUCCCUGGAUGAUCAGUUUCACUGGUAAAAUAACUCUUAGCAUAGCCGCUGGGACUUCAUUCAAAAGAAAACACAUAAUGGUGAAGUUAGACCAAGAAAAAUAAGCUAUUGGAAUUGAGUAAUACCAUAAGAACCACAUUGCUUUCCAAAACAAUGACUAGAGGCAUCAGGCAUGAUCAAAAUAACCAAAAGUGAACAUUGUCCCACAGACCAGAAACUUAGUCUUCCCUCUUAUCUUCAAAAAUGCAAUCUUGCCAAAUAACCCAAAAAAGACCUAGAUCAUCACACUGCCAGAUAACCUCGGGUUUCUAUCCUUGCCAAGAAAAGCAAAAAACAUUUUCCAUUAGCGAAGAGCUACAAGAACUUGGAGCAUCCCAAAAUCAAUAACAUAAUUGAGAAUCAAUGCAUGUAUCCGCAAACAUUUGUUUGAUAGACAACUGAUUCCCAAACCAAUUUUAAAUUUCUGACAGACUUACUUCAUUGCCUAAAUUCCUACCAAGAUUUUCAGUUAAUCUGCUCAAAAUACAAUCCAAGGGUGCAUUUAAACAAAUUGGGUUAUUUAAUGCCUAUACCUCAUCGAAUUGCUACCAAAGGUAAUCCCCACCAAACAAUCAACACAUGAAAUACAGGACCUUAACCUUUAGACAGAGAAAAUACGGCUGAAGAAGAAACUAAAAACCCAUAGAACCACUAAAUACUUCUCCUAAUACUAAUAAAGGAACAAAACAACAUCAUAAUACACUCAAUAUACCAUCAAAUGAAUAAAUCCAUACCAAUGACGAGCAAAAUAUGAAAAUUUUCAAGAAUUAACAAUUCUGCGAACAGAAAAUGAUAGUAAUUAUCUGCAUUUUAAAUAAUCCUAAAAUCAGAACAAAGACUUAUUUAUGUCAUAAAAAGAACCUACAAACACUUAGGCCCUGUUCAGUAUUGUUUUCCAAAUGUUGUUUUUGUGAAACAAAAUUGAGAAUGAAAAUACUAGUUUUAAAAUUUAAAAAUGUGAUCAGUAUCAUUUUCAAAAAUAAUCUUGAAAAUGGAAAAAUUAAAAUACGUUCAAUAGGAAUAUUUUAAAGAAUUAUUAUUGGAAUAAUGUCCAUAAACAUAAAAUUAAGUAAUGAAUAAUUAUUUUUAUUAUUUAAUUAGUUUGAUUAUGUUAAUUUUAAGAAUAAAUUAGGUGAUCUUAUUAAUUUUUUUGUUUAAAGAAAAAUGAUAAACUCUACGUAUUUGAUUUAAUUAAUAUAUAAAAACAUAAAUAUUAUAAUGUAUAUAAAAAGAAAAAAUAAUUGUGAGGGAAAUUGAUUUUUGGGUAUAAUAAUAAUAAUAAUACUGUUGAUAUUAUUAUUAUUAUUAUUUUGUGAGAUGGUAGAAGAAAAUUGUUCAUUUUGAAACUUAACAAUAUAUUAGAAAACAAGGAAAAUAAGAAAAAGUUGUUUUCUUAUUUCUUUUGUUAAAAGUGUAGAAUGAAUUUUACAUUUUCAAAAAAAUUUUCAAAAAGGAUCUAUCAAACACAUAUUUAAUAUUUUUUGAAUUAAGAAAACAAAAAACGAGAUUUGGAAACAAUACCGAACGCACCCUUAUUUUUCUUAUUUUUUUAUUUCCAAGCAAAAUCAACAUUCUUCUAUUCUUUCUUCAACAAGAAAACAGGUUAUGUUACAAUAGUCAAUAGGCAGUAGGCAAAACACUUGAUAACUGAAUAUAUAAAAAGAAAUAAAAAGGAGUUAAAAAAAUCAAAAAAAUUGAAAAUUGAAAAUACAAAAAGAUUAAAAAAGAAACUAUAUUUAGAAAAUGAAAAUAUCAACCCCCUUCUGUAGAACAAUUCAAACAGGGAGUUGCUGGUUCUUAAUCAAACAGUAAGUAAUAUUCCACUGAAACCCCAACCCUCUAUUUGAAUUUUUUUUCAUAAGAAUUAUUUUCAAAAUAGAACUUGAACUCUGGAAGACAUAAAAGGAAAAGACAUAGAUGACUGACUGAGUCUGACUGAGAGCGAGUCGCCAGGAUACCGCACCGGUCAGCUUCCAAUUGAACUUGCCAGUUUGGGUUCGAGUCCCAGUCCAACAGGUAGUGAAAGCAGGUAAUUAUCAUAACCAGAUGAAGUAUCAAAACCUGUUUGUAUAAGCCUGCACAUAACAAGUUAAUCAUCAACAAAAGAGGGGGCUGCAGCGAGAAUCAACACAUCAUGUACUAAUUAUAAAACACGUAAAAUUAACGUAUCUUACCAGUCACAAAACCCUUUUUCUUUAGAGAUAAUCUCCCAUUGCAAAUAUAAAAAUGAAAAAGAAAAAAAAAUGACCAUAAAAGUAGAAAAGUCCCCUCUUUUUCUCCAAACAAAUACAACCAUUUCAGUUCACACCUAAGCUCAGAACCAUUCAAGUUUCAACCAAUCAAACAACCAUAGUAUUCUUAUUAAAAAAAAAUGAAAUAACCAUAGAAUAAAAAAAUUAUAAUCCAAUCCAAAUAUUGUUUCAGAAUUUAUGAUUUAUGGUAGACUCAAUUGGUCAAACCUAUGGAAUUGGAAUGAUGCAUUUAUUUAACCCAAAAGGUGAAUAUCAAGCUUAAGGUUCGUACAUAUUGAAAUGAUCAAAUUUCUUUCAUGUGAACAUGAGAUGCAACUUGAACUAUUUCAAGUUAUUCCUAGAGAAAGCAUUAAAAAGAAAUUUGUUCAUCCUACGUGGUAUAAGUAGUAUACUUCAGCUAAUAUUAUGCAUCAUCGGUUAAAUCAUUUGGAUUAUUAACAUUGAUAAUUUUUUAUUAGCUGAAUUGAUAACUGUCGCACCCCUAACUUAAGGACACGUGUGAUAAGAAAAUUUUAUCCACAUCAGGUGCAAGUAUAAGCUUUUAACAAUUAAGCUGUGACUGUUUGCUUACAAGAACAAACAUGUACUAAUAGAGAUGAAUAAAACCCAGCACUUCCAAGAAACUUUGACAUUAUCUCCCCUAAAAUAUGGAUAUUAUGCAAAUACAUCAAACCAGCAAUUUUUAUACCCAGCUGCUUAAAACUUCAAAAGUAAAAAAAUUAAAAUAAAAUAAAACACAACCUUCUCAAGUUAACUCUACUACGGUAUCGGUCAAUACAAUACAGGGGCCUCUGGGACCCUAUUACUACAACAAUAACACAUAUUAGUGCAUCAUACUAAUGUCGCUUAGUCAUUCUAAAUACAUGUAUUAAAAAGCAUAAUAUCUACAAUAAGGUAGCUUACGAUGUCUACUAGGCCAGUAAUGCCAAAGUACAACCAGAACAAAAAUAACAAAGACUGUUCUUCAUUACGAAACACAACUUUCAAAAGAGGUAAUCUCCAUGUUAAGCCCCAAAUCAAAAUCAAUGCUCCACCGACCACAAUUUUUUCACCACCACUGCCAAAACCUGAAAAGUAAGGGGUGAGCUAAUGCCCAGUAGGAAGCCACACACUACAAAGGAUCCUUUUUUUUUUUUUCUUACGCCAAAAUAAUUCACAUAACUUGGGUACAUUUCUAACAUAAACCAUUUAUAUAUAUAUGAAAAAAUAUUUAUUUCUUAAAACUUUUUGAGUUGGAAGUUGGUAUUCAACAGAAAUGAAAAAAGACAAGUUUAUAACAACAUACACACAUACAAACAUAGUGCUGCUCAUACUCCCUGUAGUUUUUUUUUUUGGGAAAAAUACUCCCUGUAGUUAAGAGUAAAGAAAUCCUAAAAUUACUCAUUCAAAAAUACAGAAUAAAAACACGCCUGACAAGUCGGUAAGCUGUAAAUCCUCGGCAAACAUUUUCAACCAAUAAUAAAUUUAAAAAGAAAUACCUUACAUACUUUUGGGCAUUAUUCCCAGGGGCCACCGCCCAUGAUUUCUUUUGCGGACUUUCACCGGGGGUAGAAAUCUGACCAAGGUCAUUCCAGCAUACCGUACUUUUGGGGUGUUAUUCCCAGAGGCCAUCGCCCAUAAUUUCUUUUUGGGCUUCACUGCAGGACAGGAAUCUGACCAUCACCAAUUAACCUUCUGAAACCUCAACUUAAAUAAAAGGAAUAAAAAUUAUUAACUCAUUCAAUAGCAUCAAUGUAAGUUUCCUUACAAUAACACACCACACCAUGAUACUUCUCAAUAACAAUAGCCAUGGAUAACAGAACCCCAGUACAUCCCCAGUUUAACAACACAUCCACAAACUUGAACUGCAAUCAAAGCACCACAGGACACAUAAACACAAUUCAGCUAAACUUCCUAUUCCAAGCUUGGCUCAUAUCACAGUUAAAGUUUAAUUCUCAUUCAUGAUUGCAUCAACCCAAAUUAACUAUCAUAACUGAUUCAAGUAAUUUGACUACAUGGUCUUCAAUUAAAAAUCGCAAUCCUGUUGACAAUUCUAACAUGUCAAUUUUUAUUUUAGCCAUAUGGUCACGUAAUUAAAUGGCUAACCACACACCCACUGCAUUAAUUAUUAAAGGAAGCAAUUAAGCCGUUAACACAUUAAAUCUAAGCAAAACAACUUUUAAGGACUAAAAAAAAAUUCAGAUUAUUGAGCAAGAAAAACAACUUGAUUUUUCGGUUUUGAGAAACAAAAUCACUCAAUUGCAUAUAACCACCUACCUCAAUCCUCCACCAACAGCUCGUAGUUCUCCAAAGACUUCUCAUCUCAUCUAACUCCACUUCCUAUUGAUAAUACAGCGACAAAAAUUAACCAACUAUAAUGCCAAUAAUUUAAGAAUCCCAAAUUUAACACAAUCCUAAACUUGCUGUAAGUUACAGCAGCAGCUAGCAAGGAAACAAUUAAGAAAACAAAGUGGAAAAAAACAACAUUAAUAAAAGUAAGAAGAUUGCAAAAUUGAACCAUGCAUGCACGGAAACUUACCCAAACCAGGUCUAAAGAGUAAGAAUUAUGAGAAAAUCCAGCGAAAGCCAUGUUGGUUUCCCAUAAAUUUCAUACUUGCUGUUGUUCUCAGCUCCCUUCUCAGCUCCCUUAAGUGCACAAUUAUUCUCUGUAAAAAUCAAUUGCUCUCUUUCCCUCCAUUUCUUUUUCUUCUUCUUCUCUCUUCUUUUGUUUUUCCUCGUUAUGUCCCUGUUAUUCUUGUCCCUCUUAUCAUCAUCAUCAUCAUCAUCACCCCUGAACGUUGGUUUUGUUUGUUACAGAGCUUAACAAAAGAAUAAAGAAACCAUAUAAGUUGGUUGUGGGCUCGUCUUAGUUAUAGAUUUUCUUAAAAAAACAAAAAACUAGAGGAAGUUAUAGAACAAUUAAAACAAUAACAAUAAUAAUAAAAUAAACACACGCAACUAUAAAAUAAAUAGAUAAAUUCAACUUAGGAUAAAUUCGGAGCGUUACAAUAACUCUCCAAGCCACAACUGUAUUAUGACCAAUAGACAUUUGGAUAAUAACAGAUAGACAAGAAUAAAAUUUAAAAAAAAACAAAAGAGUUAAAAAAGUUGAUAUAAUGAACCUUGCAGUCAAAUGUCAGCUCUAUCUUCUUCGAACGAACUAAAGGCCAACAAGGAAAAUUUCACAUAAAAGCAACCAGAACACCUGCAAAAUAGCUCAAAUUAAAAGUUUUCUGACUCGUUCAGAGAGACACCAACAAUUUCCAAAACUUUUUGUUGGACCAUCUGACAACAUCAUAGAAAACAAGCAACACCAUAUUUAUUGUCUUUAAGUUAUAAAAAGCUUCAAGCUUUGCAGAUGCGAGGAUAAAAUGAGAAACCAACCAUAGAACAUGCCAUGAGAAAGGGCACAACCAGAGGAAAGAUCUCCAAUGUCUCAGUGUGACACUAAUCAUCAUGAAACGAUAUCAACAGAUAUGAUUUACGGAUACAUGAAAUAUAAAAAGCUUCAAAUGAAAUUAAUAUACAGCGAUAGAAUAUAAAAUAAAUAACUUCAUAAAGAAAGGGUUUACAUUAGGGAGAGGGGAAAAAAACUGAGGUUAAAAGCUGAACUCUGGCUACUGUUCUUUCAUUUGUACGUAAAGCCUCUCAAAUUCUUUAGUCAUGGCAUAAUAGAUUCUCAUAUAUAUAUAUAUAUAUAAUAAUGCUGUUGAAAGAAGCCCCUGAACUUAGAAUCACUUCCACUUCUUUAAGUUAUAAGUUUUGGUAUAUUUGAUGAGAUGUAGAAAGGUUCUUAACCCCAUUUUACUUUGCCACUUCAAAACCUGGAAAGUCUCUCGCAAAACCUGAAAUUAGAUGGAUGGAUUUGAAAUGAAAGGAUUUUCUUACAAAAGCUAAAAAAUACAAUGGCACAGUGAAAAUGGGAAAAUGAAAAUUUAAACUCUAUAUCUUUAGGUUUAUGAAGGGAAGACGCCAACAAUCUUCAACCAACCCACUUGAACACACCCUUUUCUCCUCUUUUGACAUACAAGAUUCCUGCAGGAUCUCACAAGGACUUUGGUCUCAAAAGAGUUUGAUAAGGCUUUAGUCUGUGGGGUUGAAUCCAAUUGGCGUUUUAAAUUUAUAGAAAGCCGUGGUCCAAUUCAACCCAAGAAUUAGUUCAACAAUAAAAAAUUCCUCAGGUUUAUAUUGUUAGCUUAGUUAUUAUUCUCCUUCAAUGUGAGAUAAUAUCAUCAAUAAGAUUCCAUCUUACGGUGCAAUUCGGAGAUGAUACGUGUAAUGGUAGACAAUCUAUGUGUGGGGCUGAAUCCAAUUUGGUGCAAAUCAUUUUUAGCCACUUACCUCAACCCCAUCAAGGCAAAUUUUUAGCAUUUCUAUGGUGAAAAUAAUUUUUCUUAAUCAACUGUCUACUUAUACUAUUGACUUUGAAAUAAAUUAAAAUUUCAUUCAACAUAGAACGAUUUGAAUAGGAUCAUACAUCUACUACAAAUACACAUCAAAAUUGAUUAACAGAUUAUUUAUUAGAAGAAGACAAUGGAUUAAAUUACUGUAUUUACAGUUUAUAAAUGCAAUGUAUAUUCACUCUUCCCUUAGUCCACAAGUAAUUAAAGCUUCAAACAGGUGUACACAUAUAAUUGCCUGAAGUCUACCAAGCUUCUGAGUUAAUAUACUCAAAAUAAACUUUUCUACAGUCACAUUUUUGAUAAAUUGGGAUAUUUAACGCCUUUUUUCUUUGAAAGCUCAUUGUUGGAAUUGGUUGCUGAGUUUCCGGUUAUUAAUUGGACUGUAGUCAUUAACACACACACAAAUCCUUGUGGUACAGUCAGAUCAAAUCUGUUAUAGACUAAUUCUUUUACUAGAUACAUGAUUGGAUCUUAAUGAAUGACCGAAGAAGAAAUUGUAAGAACCCAUACAAGUAUUAGAUCUUCUCCUAAAGCUAAUAUUAAUCGAUCAAAACAACUUCAGAUAUUUCCCAAUAAGCCACUAGAUCAGGAUCAAGUUCACAAUUCAAUAUUCCACAUGAUUUUCCCAUUUCAUGAAGUAAUAGGUCCGCCAUUACUAGGUUAUAAGGUAAUAAAAUUAAUUACUUAACAUGCAUUCUAAAUCAUCCUUAAAUUUUAUAUGUUCGGUUCCAGCUGCAGGCAUAACUUUGGAUGGGCACAGAAAGAAAUAAAAUUACGAAAAAAGGAGUAAAAAUGAAAAAGAAAGAAAAUAUCGAUCAAACCUCUUCUUCAGGAGAAAUCAAACGGAGGGACGGAGCUGGUUUUUGAUCUACAGAUGACUCCAUGGAUAAUCCCUUGAAGCCCCCAACGCUCUAUUUGAUUUUUUUUUUUUUUUUUUUUUGGGUACGUAAGAAUUAUUUUCCACCAAGAACUUGAACUGGGGAAGAGAAAGGCCCGGAGACGUGUGUAGAUAAGGCAGCGACUUACAGUCCUAACGCUGCAACGUGGUCCAAUUCCUUCUCAACGAAGAAAAACAUACGACUCUUGUCAUCUUCAAAGAAACAUGUCAAAUGUCACGUGCAGGGGACCCGUUUUGAAAACUGUCGUCUCAUCCUUAUUAUUUUAUUUUAAAUUUAUAAAUGUAAAAUCUUAAUUUAUAAAGCUGAAUUGGUAUAUAUGUAUAGAAAACGGAAAAGUGCUUUUUAGCUCUUUUCUUUAAUAAAGACGAAAAUAAAAAAAGAGCCAAUAUGGAAAUAAGUACGAGAAGCGGAAAAGUGCUUUUUAGCUCUUUUCUUUAAUAAAGACGAAAAUAGCAACUAAACUAAAAGCUACCUGUCAUUUCACGAGAUCCACUGACAUUGACACAAUAAAAAAACAAACACUUUCCAUUCCAAAAGAAAAAAAUAUAAUAUAAUAAAUGUAAAUACAAUUAUUAAAUUUAAUAUUAUAAUAGAUGCAACAAGGAGGACGAAAUCGAGAAUUUACCCUCCAAUUCGAUCGCAAUAGACGUGAUCGAAAGUCAUUAAUGCCCCUUCAACCAAUUGUAGCUGCGACAGCGACACGACCCGGCGCCCCGCAGCAGUCGCUUUCGAAGUGUGAAAUUGUGGAGGUUCUACCCCUAUAAUUGAACUUUAAAGUUUAAUGUCAUAAUACAAGUCUUAAUUAUGUAUAUCUAAUUAUUAAUCAGUAUUUAAAAAAAAAAAAACUUUAAAGUUUAGGCUAAUUCUCGCGUUUUGAAUAUUAACGAAGUUGCACUGAAGUUUCAUGAAUCUCGCGGAUGGUUGCUUGCUCUUAAGCUUUGUAAUUAGUAUCGUCGGGGGAAAAAAAAAAAAAAGCUUUGUAAUUAGUAGUUUGAUUUUUUUUUUUUUUUUUAUAUUGAGGCUAUAUGGUAAAAUGUUUUCUUUUUUGUCAGAAAAACUUUCCAUUAACACCCACCAUCGUCCUAGAGUUUUCUUGCAUGUUAUAAGCGUCAAAUUAAUGUUAUUUUAUUUUUUAUUUGGAAAUAAAUUUAAUAUUCCAUGCAUUCGAUGGAGGCUUCAGCACUGGCGAGCAGUACCAUAACAGAAUCUCAUAUUCUUAAUAUAUUUUUUUUUUCAAUUUUCAAUUUCUUCUUCACUCUAAAAGAUUAAAUUUUAAAAAUUUCAAAGAAACAUUUCUUUAAGAGAGCUUUAAAAGUUUAAACUCACUACUACAAAACUGAUUUUUUUUUGACAGAAUACCUUUUCACAUGUUUAUUUAUGUGUCAAAGUUUUGCCUCAUAUAUUAUUUUGCUGAUGUGGCAAACACAAUUAUUUCAAAAUCUUAGAGGCCUUGCAAUUUCGAUUAUUCUAUAAGAGACUAGUGACAAAAUACUGUUACAAAUAGUAAGUUAAAUGAUUCUUGAUAGAAUACUAUCAAAAAAUUUAAAUAAAAUCUCUCAUUUUAAUAUUUAAAAAACUGUGUUUUAAAUAUUUUAAAUUUUUCUUGACAUAAUUCUAUCAAUGAAUUUUAAAUUUUAAAUUCCAUGUAGGCAUUGAAAAAUGACAUAGUCUUAAAAGAUAUCAUUGACUUAAUUGAUGAGAAUAUAUCUAUAAUGAAUCAAUGACAAAAUUCUAUUAAACAAAAUUUAUUAUUUUAAUUAUUUUAUGUUGCCACAUCAAUAAAUUAAAAUGAUGACAUUUCAUAUGCUCAAAAGAGAAUAACUUAUUUAAGCCGAAUUCACCACCUCAUCAAAUUGAAAAGGUUUGCUCGACCAAGAAGAAUCUACCAUGUAGAAAAUUCAAUGAGUCUUUUGAAAAGUUGGGCUUCAGUCUAAGCCUAAGUGCAUUAGGUCGGGCUCAUCCAUUUUAAGUGAAGCCUAAGCUCGGACAAAGAACCCAAUAAAUGCUCAAAAAGAUAAAAGAAUAUAUAUUUAUUUUUAAUUAAAAUACACGUUUUAAUAUUUGCUUAAUCUAUCUGUAACAUAUAUUUAAAGUUUGAAUUCUUUAGCACAACUUUUAAUACCUAAUCUAAUAAAAAAAAGUUUAUAAAUUAUAAAAUUUAAAAAGUACAAUGAAAAAGGUUUAAAAAAAAUUGAAGUAUAAAUCUGAGCUUUUACAAUAAAAUAUCAAAUGGUGGCAAAAUGGGCCCGAAAAGUGCACCAAAUCAAAAUUAUUAAAAGUUCCACUAUUCUAGAGUUAUUACUAAUUAUCAAAAUUAUUAAAAAUUCCACAGCAAAGCAAAUGUGGAAAUUAACCCCUUUUUUUGGAGGAUAAGGAGGAUCUGAGAUUGAUAAUUGCACUGUGGUGGAUAGCAUGGAAUACAAGAAAUCUUUUUGUUUUUGAGAAGAAAAUGCUGGAACCACAGAGGGCAGUAGCUAAAGCUGAAGCUAUGGCGCAGGCAUAUGCUAGAGUUAAAAUGUCCAAAGGGAAAGUGGCAGCAAGAACAGAAGUAACAAGGAAGGUAAGCUGGCUUUCCCCUCCUCAAGGCACUUACAAGAUCAACUUUGAUGCAGCAAUUAACAGAGAAACACACCAAGGAGGGCUGGGAGUGGUGAUUAGAGGUGGGAAUGGAAGUGUUUUGACUGCAGCAGUUCAACAGAUAAAUUUUAAUGGUGAUGUAGCUCAGAUAGGAGCAGCAGCCGUUAAGUUGGGGAUCCAGAUGGCAAAGGAUGGAGAGUGGACCCCUUUGAUCAUUGAAACUGAUUGUAAAGAGGUUGUUGAGUUGGUGUUGCAAAAGAAGAGUAGCAGAACGGAGAUAUGUUGGAUCAUUGCCGAUAUCCAAAACAAAAUGGAGGGAGACAACAUGACUGUAAUCCGGCACAUUCCAAGUUGCGCAUGCUUUAGCUAAAAUAGCUGUAGUGAUUUAAUUGCCUUGAUUCUAAUAAGCAAUAAACCACUGCCCAAGAACAUUUACCAAGAUCAAUACAAGUUGCAAUUAACCAAUAAUCAAUCUGAAGCUCCAAUAACGAAAAAAAACCUUAGCUCUAGGUUAAUGGAGAUCUAACAGAAGAUUAAAACAGAUCAAGAAGCAAACACACUCACUCAAAGACAGGAUUUAACGUGGUUCGAUAGUACAUGGAAUGCACAAUCAACAUCCACGGGAGAAGCCACAGAAAAAGCUUUAUUGAUGAUUCAAGAUGACAAUUACAGAGCUUCUAUACAAGAGAUUACAAGCAACAAGAAGAUUACCCUCUCUCACUCUUCAAUCUCUCUGGAAAGCUCUCUUCAAAAUCUGUCUGUUUUCCCUUCAACAAUCGGCCUUUAUACUCCUGAUGUUGAAACCUAGAUUGCACAGCUUCUGGACGCGUGUAUAACGACUUCAUAACGGCUUUGAUUCCCUCCCUCACAUGCUGUUUCACGUGCCUAACUUAAGUUUGCUCAAAACGACAGAAGCUAGAGUCGUUUUUCCUUGAGUGUAGUGAAGAGAACAGGACGCACAAAGCACGUGAUUUGUAAAUGAUUUUACUAACCCAAAACACAGUCGUUUUAGGGCUUCUAGUUUUGGAUUCAUCUCAUUUUAGUCCACAAUAGCUUUAGCAGGCAGUGAUCUUUGUGUUUGGAGGGGAUCAUUUCCUCCUCAAAUCAUGGAUGUAAUCACUCAGUUGGUUUUAAUGAAAGCUUUUCUUUCUAUCCAAAAAAAAAAAAAAUCUACUAUUCAAUCCCCAAAAUUUUUAUGUGCCGCCGAAAUAAAAUUAGAGUAAUGAUAUAGCCACAAACUCUUGUAUAAACUUAUUUUGUAUAAACUGAUGUGGCAUGAUAAGAUUGGUUGAAUUAAAUAUCACUUGGUCCACAUGAUUUUUUUUUAUUAUUUUAUAUUUUCAUUCAACCAAUGAAUUAAUGCCACGUCAGUUUGUACAAAAUAAGUUUGUACAAGAGUUUGUGGCUGUAUCAUUACUCAUAAAAUUAACACAAAAACAUGUUGUCAUUGAAAGGUUAGAACGAAACUCUCGGCUCUCUCUGGCACUUUGCCUUCCUCUUUGGCACUUUAUCUCCCUCUCACAAAUGUUAAACCUCACCUGUCAAAAGUAACAUGCAAAAUUUAUGUUUCUUGAUCUAGUCCUGACAAAUAACCCGUUUGCUUUCAUCACUUCCUGAGCAAUCAUCUCCAAAAAUGAAACAAAUGAAAUUCAAAUAGGUAAUUUAAUAGUUUUGGGGUUCGGCUUUUUAUUCUUCUCUCCAGAUUUUUUUUUUUUUUUUUUUUUUUGGGCCUCUGAAAUAAUCUUAAAACAAUAAUUUUUUUUUUUUUGUAUAAUUUCAGCAAGGUCCAGAUUGCUCAAGAGGUAAUUUCAUCUCAAGAUUGUCUUUACCUCUUGCUUGGCUUUCAUUGGUUUCUCAUGUGCGCUAGCUUUUGACAUUACUUGACCUUGUUCUUUGUUUGUUAUAAAUUUAUUCAGGCUUUUUUACAUUAUAAUUUAAGGUCUUUGUUUACUUUUAUUAAAAUUUAUGAUAUACGAAUAGUAAUUUUGGCUUGUUUGCAUAAUUGUGGUCGCUAUUAUUACAAGAUUUUUUGUUGCAAUUUUUGACGUAUUUCUUGUUGUGAUUGUCGAAUUAGUCUCGAUUGUAAUGAGCAUGAAGAUUUAAAUAUUUAAUGGAUGUUAAAAUUUAAGUAACAACUAGAAUUUGUACACCAAGGCCAUGUUUGCUUGGGGGUAGAGAAGUGUGAAGAGGAAAAGAAUUUGAUUUCUUUUAUACUUUGUAUUGUUUGGUUAGACCAAAUUUAAUAGAAUUGAAUUUUCAUUGAAAUUCAAUUUCCAUCAAUUUGAACAAUUUGUAUUCCUUUUCAAUGACUAAGGAUUUCAAAUUCCUUAUCUAUUUAAACACAAAAAUUCCAAUAUUAUCCUCUAAACAAAAUCAAUUUUAAAUAAAUUAAAGUACAAAUAAUUUAUAUUUAUUUUCUUAAAUUAAUAGGAUAAACUUAUUUGAAAAAGAAGAAACAGUAAAGUAACUCGUUGGAGUUUCGUCGGAGACACGCUUUACCAUCAAAACCAGUACCAAUGGAAUCCUCAUGAGCCGAUCUACAACUCUAUGGGGUUAGAAAUGCUAAUAUACAUUUUUAUUUAACUCAAGUCUUGUUUAAAUGCUUGGGAAAUUUUUAACUCUCAUAUUUCCAACUAUAUAGUGUAUUUUCUGCAAAAUUAACAUUUCUGAUGAGUAAAUCGUCCAUUUUUAUCAUUAUUAUGCAUUUAACGAGAUGAAAAAUGGUGGUCAACAAUAGUCAAUGGCGGUCAACGGCGAUCAACGUGCAUGGCCAAAUGCUGUAAUUUUAAAAAAAUAAUUUUGUUAUUUAAUUAGGUAAUUUAUAGAUUAACUUAAUUCAUAUUUUUAUUAUUUUUUAAUUUAUUAACACUAUUAACAUUAAAGAUAAUGGGUAUAUUUGUCCAAAUAAAAAAUAUGUAAUUUCUUUUCCUUUCAAAUUUAAUGUGAAACCAAAAAAUAACAAUUAAUUUUUGCACUAUUUUCCUCUCAUCACCUCUCCAUUCCUCUCCUUUUUUCUCCUCUAUUUUCCUAUCCUUUUUUAAAACUAAACACCACCCAAAGUGUUUGUUAUAAUGCCGUGUGUUAUUGUCAAUAGUUUUUUUUUUUAACUAACAGCAUAAACUUGAUAAUAUUUUUUAAUUUUUUUUCCAAGAUGCAGUUUUUUGAUAAAGAAUAAACCAAAUGAUUAAGAGUGUUUAGAUACAAUUUUCAAAUUAGAGCAUAUGAUAAUUUAAAAGUAAUUGAUUUCCCAAGAGUAAAAUUAUGAUAUUUCAUCUCAAGGCAACUUAUAUUGUUAGCUGAUUUUAUGAGUCAGUUUAACAAUUUUCUACACAAAUAAAAUAGUUGUUUAAGUACUACAUAAAUAUAUGUGUUGUAAUUUCAUCUCAAAGCAGCAUGCGCAUGAAGUGGCAACGAAAUACAACAAAAAAAAGUUGUUAAGUAUUACAAAGUGAUAAUUCUCAUGAUGAAAUUAGAAUUUGUAAAUUGGCCUAAAUACUAUUUAAUAUUUACUUGUAAAAAGCCUAUGGCAUGAGAUUCACUUGCUAAGAUAUUGGAGUAGUGUUGAUGCAAUUUUCUGUCAUGCCUGCAGAUUCAACUUGCCAGGAUUUCGGUUAUGCCUUCAGGUUCAAGUAUUGUUGCUGAUUAAGCGAGCUGUUGAGAUAAUUGAGCAUGGCUUUAGAUUCAAUUUCAGCAAAUGUGUGGGGAGAGGAUUUAAUUCGAAUGAUUUAUGGUUCUGUAAAAAAAGAAAAUUUCUUUAUGUUAACUUGCAACAAUAUGUAUGUAAAUUUUUACGAUAUUAGCAAUAUUUAAUAACAGAAUAGUUGAAAUAUUUUUAAAUUGCAUUGUAGUUUUUAAAAAUAUAUAAUCAAUAUAUGAUUUUAUUAUUGUAAUUGUACAACAAAAAUAAGGGUUGUUGGUAAUUGAAAGAAAAACAAAUUAAUUAUUUUAAAAUAAAUAAUAAUAUUGACCCAAAUUUUUUACAUAAAUUAAGCUCAAAAAAAUUAAUCAGCAUAAAAUGUCAGAAGCUAUUGAUUAGCAUCUAUCAUUGAUUUGUGAUAGAAUUAUAAUGUUAUGUAAGCAUAAAAUUUAUUUGCCAUGUCAAAUGUCAUGUCUGCAAAAUAUGAUGACAUGUCAUCUACCAUGUCAAAUGCCAUGUUUGCAAAAUGAGAUGUCAUGUCAUUUGCUACAUUAGAUUUAAUGUAAAUAGUGAAUUGUAAUACAAUUCCUUGACAGAAAUAUUUUGUCACUAAUUAUUGAAUUUUUUGUCACUAUAUUCUUACAAGGACUUUUUUGACAGAAUAAAAUUAUGUCGGUAACAUGAUUUGUGACAAAAUUUUUCUGUCAAAAAAUCCCAUUUUUUUUAGUGGUGCAUGAGAAAGGAAUUAGUCUAUGGUUAAGGCAUGUGCAAUGAGAUAUCUCACUAGCUCAGAUUCAAUAUUGACGAGAGUUGUGUUGAUUAUUUCAAAGAUCUUGUAUUGUAUAUUUAUUUAUUAUAUUAUAUGGGUAUGAGUUAAUUACAAUAUAUAUCAUGAAAACAAUAUUUACUCAUAAAGGGUCUUCAGCCAUAGUUCUUUCAUCUUUGUUUCUGUGGCGUUACAAACAUUCGAAAAUCCAUUUGUGGUAUUCAUGGAUAAAGAAAAUGCUUCUAAUUUGAUCCAAUUAAUAAAAAGAGCGUGCUUUUGAUAUUCGUGGACUAAGGGGACGUUUGAUCUAAUUCGUUGAUUUAUAGAAAUUUAUGGUCUAACUCAACUCAAAAACUAGUUCAAAAAUUGAAAUUUCUUACCCCAUCAGUCUCCAUUUAAUUUUUAAAUACCUCUCCUGAGAUUUGAGGUAUUCAUUCAGAUGGCGGGUUUACUCAUAUUUUCACAUACUUCUCCCUCUGCUGUCUAUAUAAAUGCAUGUAUGGUAUUAGUAUACAAGGGUAAAUUCGUUAAGGUUGUUGGCUUGUGUGGGGAUCUUGUAAUCAGGCUUUUAUUCCCAAAGGAGAGGAUUUGAAUGUGUUGCCCGCUCUCCCAAUAUACAAAGGGUGAGCACAGCUAAAAUUAGGUUGCAGAUUAGGACAUUAACUACUUAGAGAAACUUUCUCAUUUUAGUUGCUAAUUAGUCACACUUAAAUUUACAAUAAUUGGAGCUUAAUUAAUUGAUAACGGUAACAAAUAUCAGACCUAACUUAAAGGCUGAGUGGUUAGAACAGCUGCUCCAUAUUUAAAAGUAGGGCCUUGACGCUUAUAUUCUUUGAAAUGAUCCUCCUAUCUUACAACUAAUGUAAGAUAACAAUGUGUGAACCCCAUAUAUGCACUGUUCAUGUGAGGGGGAUGUAUCUUACAUUAGUUGUAAGAUAGUGUUUGCCUCUUUGAAAACCUCAUUCUAGAAAUUGCUUUUUGAGUAUUAUUAGUUGAAAAAUUGUCAUUAAUACACACUCACACGCACACUUAUGGUACCGUUAGAUAGAAUCUGUUAUAAAUUAAUUAAUUCCAACAUGUUUCUUUUACUAGCUAGUUGGUUUUUUAAACAUGUGUAUGAAUUAUCUAAUGCUAUGUAACACAUAAUCCAGCACAACAAGAUUAAAUUAAACAGAAGACUUAUGAGGCUUGAAAGUCACAAAGCAGGCUUUUCUAUUAUAAUACAACAUGCAGUAUUGCCUUCGGUGGAAAAAAAAGAGAGCUUAAAUUUAAUGUUAAUUUUGGGAUAAUUAUUUUCAGGAGUAAUUUUUUAAAGAGAUGAAUCAAUUUUAUAAAUUGUCUUUUUGCGGCGGGGGACAAAUUAAUAUUUUCCAUUUUAUUUUAAAUCAGAGUUAGGAUCUAGCUAUGGUGCAGCUGAUGUGUGUAUAUGCGUGUGGUGUGUGAGUGUUGUGCGUGCGUUACUUUUUUUUUAAAUUUUAGCCAACCCGAUCGGAUUUUCGGAUCGGAUCGGGUUUGACCUGAUCCAAUCACGACCCGAUCGGGUGAUUUUAAAAAUCACCCGAUCAGGUAUUAUCCUCCAUCCGAUCCGAUCCGAUCUUAACCCGAUUUUUUUUGAAUCGGGUCGGAUUGGAUCGGAUAAAAUGCCCACCCCUAGUUCAUAGUUCAUAGGGUGAUGGCAGUUUUCAACUUCAAGCAAGAAAUCAGAAGUAUGGCAAGGUGUGUCAUGUUUGAACAGGUGCAUCUUCUGCACUUUUUUAUCUUUACACUCACUCUUUUACAAGGAAGAACAAUGUAGAUGUGAAGGAAUGGCCAAUAACAUCAGUACAAGAAAAAAAAAAUAAUAAUAAUAUUACUAUUAUUAUUAUUAUUAUUAUUAUUAUUAUUAUUAUUAUUAUUAUUAUUAGUAGGUAAAUUUAAUGUCCAACUAUCAAUUUCCUUUUUCCUUUUUUGGCUUAGAAUUAAGCUGCCAAUUUGACAAGCCUUGAGGAAAGGAAAGUUGUACUUUAAAAUUAUGCCUUGGCAUGGGCAAAUCAAUAUUUGCUUGCAGCUAACUAACUGUUGAGGAUGGGAACUUUAGAAUUCCAAAGAAGACUAGGAGUAACUUAGUGUAUUGAUAAUAACAAUGUUUAUGAUUCAUUUCUUCAUCUAGGAAACAGAAAAAUUUCAUUGUAAAAUUGUUUCUCUUUUUCACUUUAAGACCUAGCAUUACAGCCAUCAAUAUUAUUUCAUUAGCAUCAGUUUUUCAUCCUAUUCAUACCUCUAAUGUAUUGAUAUGGACAUGUACCAAUACGCCUUCAGCUCGAGAGGGGUCAACUGCUCAGAGUCGAUCCUUAUCUAGUCAGGAGAUGGAAACAACAUUUUCACCACCUGGAACAGUAUGGAAUUGACUAGAUAAUUGGAUGUAAUGGAUACAUCUGGAUUGGUGAGCAUGUUGAAGCCAGAGACAAGAUGGCGGUGGAUCAAGGAAGCGAUUCUGAACAACCGAUCACCAAAUAUGAUAAAAUUUCCAUGGAUCUUGAUGAACAAGAUGGAACUUGCACUCCACGAGAAGCGAGACAGAACAUUUGCAGAAUUGCAAUUCUUUUAUUUGGGGUUAGGCCUUUGGUGGUUUGGCAUUGUUUGUUUUUCCAAGUUGUACACGUUUCUGGGAUUUGCUUCAUUCGUUCGCAGGGAGCACGGUUUAUUUCUUGUUAUCUCCAUAGGCGUGAAUGCUUAUAUUACGUGUUAUUGUUAAGAUGCAUGUACUACUUCAGUUCUGAUAACUUAUGUCCAUCAGGAUUAGGCAGCGGCGCAUGUUUGUGUCAUCAUUCAAAGUAUCACUACUAUUCUUUUAUAAUUCUGUUCAAUGUUGUAGCCCUUAACUCAUAUUUGUUCCUUCCUUCUGGCGAUUGAUCCUUGAAGUCUCUUUGUUGGUUCAAUUUUAGUUUUUAUGGUUGCACAGAAGAAUGUGGUCUGCAUGUAUUCAGUGUCAUUAAUUUGCAGCAAUGAUCAUUGUAUCCCACUUUCCGCUUGCAGCUUUGGGAAAUUCACAAUAAGCCCUGUCAGUCUGGGUCUUUCUAUAUGCAUGUGCCUCUAUUCGGGUGCAUGCUUGUCUGUGGUAUGUGAGCAUGCUUGUGAUACAAUUAUCUAAUGCCUACUAUUUCAUUGAUUGUGGAGAAGAGUAGGGUGUAUGCACAUUGGGUUGAUUGGCAGAAUGGUAUGUCUGUCAUUGUUACAUCCAUUCCUUCUUGAUAACGGUUGCAAAAUUCUUGUUACAAAGUUCUUGGCCUUGCUAAAUCUUUCACUUACAAACCCGUACAGGUGGUCACUGACUCAAUCAUAAAGUUACUGAUAUGGAUUCUCAACAAGGAUUAGACACAGGUGUCGCUCUCAAGUUCAAUAAUAACACGGAUCCAUAAAUUAAGUCUUGACAACAUAACGAGUAAUUUCUGUUUCUUCAAUGCUUGUAACAAUGAAGUUGGUGAAGCUAGUCUUUUCAUUUCAAAUGUACUAGUUCUGCUUUCCAAUUCUUCAUCUUCAUCAUUCUCACCAUGUCCAUCUCUAGUAGAGGGGGUGGACUCCUCGGCAAUUUUGGCAGCAUUUCUUUUUUCAACAUUCAACCUGAUCUGCAACUUUCUUUCAACAGGAUCAUUUGAGGGUCCAAUUUUUUAUUGGCAUGAAACUUUUGUGCCAAGUCCAAGCCUACGACAACACGAGGAAUGUUAUUUCCAGCAUCCUAUGAUGACGAAAAAAAUUAGGAUGGAUACACUGACCUAGAAGGCCUGGCCUCCAGUGUUUUCUAAAAAAAUUUCUUGUCAUCUAUCUACUUGCUGUUUAUUACUACUAAAAAAAUUAACCCUGAACCUUCUAAUAAUACUUAUGGAUGCCACUGUUGCAAUAAAUAAUUUAUAUCUGCCUAUUUAAAGAUCAAACAUAUUAGAAAAAGGAAAAAUAAAACAAAACAAACAAAAACUGUCUGCCAAGUACACUGAGCAAGUAGAUAUUCCAACUUCAAUCAAUCGAAAAAGAAAUUAAAUCUUACCCAGAUGCAUCUCUAUGAAGGCGAUCUGCAACCCAUGCCAGCAGCUUGCGGAUGCAGUCAAUAGAUCCUCCUCUAGCUGCCAAGUGAAGAGGAGUGCUUCCUCUGCAAACAAACAGAUAAAGAAAUAAAUAUAGAAUAAAAAUGAAAAAGAGAAACGGACAUCAACAGGUGAAGAAUUACCAAAAUGAAUGUGAUCCCAAAGCUUCUCAAAGAUCUCGUGACUUCUAUACGGUGAGAUUAUGGCCACAACGCCAGGAUUUGCACUUUCGGCUUAGGUUGUUGUGUGUUGAUUGAAAGCUGCAAGGGCUUAGUCAUCCAUAUACAACCAUGUCAAAAGCUAGCCCUGCCCAACUAAGGCCAAAUGGAUGACAAAUAGUGAACAUUAUCCCACAGACAGGAAACUUGGUCUUCCCUCUUAUAUUAAAAAAUGAAUUCUUGCCAAAUAACCCAAAAAGGAGCUAGAACAUUACACUGCCCGAGAACCUUAGGUUCUAUCCUUGCCCAAAAGCAAAAAACAUUUUCCAUUAGCAAAUAGCUACAAGAAUUUGGAGCAUCCCAAAAUCAAUAACAUAAUUGAGAAUCAAUGCAUGUAUCCGCAAGCAUUUAUUUAGUAGACAACUGAUUCCCAAAACAAUUUUAAAUUUCUGACAGAAUUACUUUAUUGCCUAAAUUUUACCAAGCUUUUCAGUUAAUAUGCUCAAAAUACAAUCCACAGCUGCAUUUAAAUAAAUUGGGUUAUUUAAAGCCUACAAUCUUUGGAACCUCAUCGAAUUGCUACCAAAAGUAAUCCACACCAAACAAUCAACACGUGAAAUACAAGACCUUUUGAAAUACACGUGAAAUACGGCUGACGAAGAAAUUAGAAACCCAUAGAGGCACUAUACUUCUCCUAAUACUAAUAAUGGAACAAAAUAACAUCAUAAAACACUCAAUAUGCCAUUAGAGGAAUAAAUCCAUACCAAUGACGAGCUAAAUAUGACGUUUUUCUAGAAUUAAUAAUUCUUGAAACAAAAAAGCACAGUAAUUAUCUGCAUUUGAAAUAAUCCUAAAACCAGGAUAAUGACUUAUUUAUGUCAUGAAAAGAACCUACAAACGCUUAUUUUUUAAUCUUUUUAAUUUCCAAGCAAAAACAACAUUCUUCUAUUCUUUUGUCAACAAUAAAACAAGUUAUGUUACAAUAAUUAUUUUCAACAUAGAACUUGAACCCUGGGAGAGAUAAAAGGAAAAGACAUAGAUGUCUGACUGAGAGAGAGUUAAGACAGUGUGAGAGGUAAAAGAACAACACGGCUUAGAAGUUAGAAUCAUCAUCCACUUAUCUCCCUUAGUCGUUGGUGUAAAAGUCCUCAUAGAAGAAAGAAAUAUUAUUUUGAAGGGUAAAAUGUAAACAAAUUAAAAUUUUAGAUAAAAUUGUGACACGUUUAUAUUAAGCGCGUAUAUUAAGAUUUAAGCGAGAGUCGCCAGUAUACCACACAGGUCAGCUCCCAGUUGAACUUGUGAGUUUGGGUUUGAGUUCCAGUCCCACAGUUAGUGAAAGUAGGUAUUAGGUAAUCAUCUUUACCAGCUGAAAUAUGAAAACCUGUUUGUAUAAGCCUGCACAUUACAAUUUAAUCAUCAGCAAAGGAGGUGGCUGCAGUGAGAAACAAGACAUUAUGUAGUAAUUACAAAACAUUGAAAAUUAUCAUAUUUUAUCAGUCACAAAACCUAAGAUAGUCUCCCCAUAGCAACUAUAAAUAUUGGGGGGCAAAAAAAAGGACCACAACGUAGAACACUCCCCUCUUUUUCUCCAAACAUAUACAAAAUUUCAGUUCACUCCUAAGCUGAGAACCAUUCUACUUUCAAGAUUCAACCAAUGAAAUAACCAUAAUAUUCUUAUUAAAAAAAAAAAUGAAAUAACCAUAGUACAAAAUAAUUAUCCUCUCAUUCAAAUAUUGCUUCAGAAUUUACAAUUUAUGCUAGAAUCAAUUGGUGAAACCUAGGGAAUCAGAAUGAUGCAUUUAUUUAACCCAAAGGGCGAAUAUCAAGCUUAAGGUUCUUACAUAUUGAGACGAUCAAAUUUCAUUCGUUCUGAACAUGAGAUGCAACUUGAACUAUUUCAAGUUAUUCCAAAAGAAAGCAUUGAAAGAAAUUUGUUCAUCCUACGUGGUAUAAGUAGUCUCAGUUAGUAUUCUGCAUCAUCAGUUAAAUCAUUUGGAUUAUUAACAACGAUAUUUUUUAUUAGCUGAAUUGAUAACUCUCUAAGGCACCACUGUAAAGCUAGCAUUUGGAUUAUAACUGAUAGAGAAGAAUAAAAUGAAAAAAACAGAGCUAAAUAGGUUGAUAUAAUGAAACUUGUGGUCAAAUGUCAGAUCCGACUUCUUCAAACGAACUAAAAUCCGGCAAUGAAAAUUUCACAUAAAAGCAACUAGAAUACCUGCAAGAUAGCUUAAAUUAAAAGUUUUCUGACUCAUUCAGCAGAGAUGCCUCAAACCUUCCUCCACCAAUCUGACAACAUCAUGGAAAACAAGCAACACCACAUUUAAUUGUCUUUAAGUUAUUAAAAAAGCUUCACGCGCUACAGAUGCCAGGAUAUAAUGAGAAACCAAUCAUAGAACAUGUCAUGAGCAAGGGCACAAACAGAGGAAAUAUCUCCAUUGCUUCAGUGUGAUGACAAUCAUCAUGAAACAAUACCAACAUAUAUGAUUUAGGGAUACAUGAAAUAUAACAACCUUCAAAAUGAAAUUAAUAUACAGUGAUAGAACAAUAUAAAACAAAUAACUACAUAAAGAAAGAGCUUACAUUGUUGUUUGUGUUCGUGUGUGUGUUUUUUUUUUUUGGGGGGGGGGGGGCUGAAGUUAAAAGCUGAACUCUGGUUACCGUUCUUCCAUUUGUAUGUAAAGUCGCUAGAAUUCCUUAGUCAUGGCAUAAUAGAUUCUCUAAUAUAUAUAAUGAAUAAUGCUUUUAAAAGAAGCCCCUGAACUUAGAAUUACUUCCACUUCUUUCAAUUCUUAGUUAUAACAAGGCAUGAGUGAGUUUUGCUAUAUUUAGUGAGAUAUAGAAAGGUAUUUACCCUCCUUUUAUCUUGCAACUUCAAAACCUGGUAAGCCUCUCUCAAAACCUGAAUUUAGACGAACGGACUCCAAAUGAAAGGAUUUUCUUACAAAAGCUAAAAGAUUGAAUGGCAUGGUGAAAAUGGGAAAAUGAAAAUAUAAAGCAGAAGAAAAAGUUUCAAUCUGAUAAGGCAAAUACAGAAAAUCCAAGUUCUUAUUGGCCAUUCCAAUAUUAUCAAUGCAGAAUUACUCUAAUUUAUUUUUCAGUUAAGGUUAGUAACAAUUUAUCUGAAAAUAACUGAACCAACUCGGUUACUACGACAUUACUCUUUCUCUUCUACUUCUGGUUCAUCAAUGGCCACGUUCACCAACACGACUCCACUCUUCCCCCCUUGACUUAUUUCCCCAACCUUUAGGUCUCUCAAAGUGCAGUGGCAAGACAUGAUCUUUGCGUCAGUACAAGCAGUGUGAAGCCCUCCUAAGAAAUCGACCACCUGUUUGGCUAGAAAAACUACAUUACUCAUUGCCACACCUUAUACUUUCACCCCUUUCAUUAAAACACAAGCAUUACUUACCCAUUUUUAGACAUAAUUUAUUUUUCUGAUAUCACAUCAUUCAGGAAGGGAAAAAAAACACACACACACACACACAAUUAACUGACUUCAGCACAUAAAUUACAUCAAGCUGUCAAUUCACAGAAAAUAAGGAAAAUUAACUCAAUCAAGUGAAGAAGGCCACAAAAUGACCUCAAUGAGAUAUCGGGGACCUCUAAAAUCGAACCAAAUUCAGUUAAACAAAGAAUCACUCAUCAAAGAUAGGCAAAAGGAAAAAAAGAAAUGAAUGACAGAGAAAAUUUCUUAUAAAAAUUCAAUAAAAAAAAAAGCUAAUCAUCUAUUUUUGGUUUAGUGAUUUCGUCCGCAAAUAAGACAAAAUAGAAAUUCUGAAAUAUACCUAGGGUUUCUAGCUUUGGAAAUUUACCUUACGAGAAACCAGGCUCUCUGUUUCUAGCGUUGUAACUUUACCACAAUGGCCAAGCGACGACGAUCAGCUGGGAUGAUCGGAUUUCGCAGCGGCGACGAUGCAAAUGUUUUAUGUUUGGGUUUGACGGUAGACGAAGGAACGUUUAGCGUCUUGGGGGUAAUUUUGGGAUUUUAUUUUUUAUUUUUUUAAUUGAAGUAAAAUGACCACAAUGACCUUGCUAAGUUACAGCUUCUGCGAGUAACAUAGCCAAUGAGAAUCCUCCACUCGUGUUCGUGCUGAUGCAACCAGGGCAAGGCAGCUGUUCAUGCAAAGUAAAAAUGCCGAGGCCGUUAGUUGCAGCUUCUGCAACCUAGCCUUGUCCCAAUAAUUUUAAGUAUCCCCAAGUUGUAACACAUUUAAUGUUCAGGGUGGUUAAACAAUUAAUUUUUCUUUUGCAUAAAAACAGAAUAUAAAUUUGAGUUCUGCUAUUUGAACAAAGAAAUGACAAAGGGACGACGGAAAUAAGUUUCUGUGGGUCCUACUUCUGUUUCUCUUUUUGAUUAAAAAAUUAAAAUAUUAAAAUAAAGUUCACGGGCUCUUUGUUAUUAAAAUAACAAAGUUCACGGGCUCUUUCCUUUCUCCCUCAUUACACUGAUUUCCGUUCUUCCUCAUUGCAACUCUCUCGUAUCCCAGCCGCCAGCCAUAGCCAUAAGCUCCACCGCAGCAGCUGCUUUCUCCCGUCUACACGCAGUUGCCUCAUUCCCAACAGUACAACAACAAGUCUCUUUUCUCUCAUACCCUCACAUACACAACUAUCUCAUCCAAUGAAUCGAUCUGUUAACAUCAGUUGGGUUUUGAAGGUGGGUUAUGAAGAAGUCAUUCAAGGCGAUCAAGCUUCACUCCAACUUCCAAAAGCUUUGAUCUAGCAAUAAUUCCAUCACUGAGCCUUUGUUGUUGUUGUUCUCGGUUUUUGUUCUUGACUUUGCCAUCAGUCUCUUCCAUCAACUUUGCGGCCUCUAAAUUGUUCUAGUUUGUUUAUCAAAUUUAUUGCCCACUAUUGCCAUAAAAAAAAUUUAGAGUUUGUAACUUUCAUUAAAAUUCCUAUGCUUGUCAGUUAAAGUGAAGCAUUUUGUUUGUAAUUUUUGUAGUAUUUAAAGUGACUAUGUUGUUUAAUUAAUUAUUUUUCUUACUCUACCCGUGUUUUGUUUUAAUUUGCUUCUUUGUGUUUCAAUCCUCAGCAGGAUACUUCUAAGGUUAAUUACAAAUUCAGCAAAGUUAAAUCUAAGUGGGCUGAAAAGAUUAAGCAAAAGCACACAACUUAGUAAGCAAAUUAAUUUCGUUCAAAGCACCAAGUAAUACAAUCCAAAAAAAAAAGGAAAAAAAAGCACUACCGCAUUCUUCAUUCUUAAAAAAAAAAUAAAAUACAAAGCUAUUUUGUGAAAUCACUUCUAAAGAGUUGAAUCACAAAUGUGAGAGAAAGAGUCAUCAAAUUAUUUCGAAACACUACUGCGAUUAUGUUGUGAGAAAAGAGACUGCUGCGGUGGAGCUUGUUGCAGCGGCUGGCAGCUUGAAGACGAGAGAGAAAAAGUUGUGAUGAGGGAGAAAGGAAAGAGCCAGACGCGUGAAGGUGACUGUUCGGUGCUUUUGUUACGUGUGUGAGGUGUCCCACGCUUCACAAGAGACAUUUCAUACUUUGUGCACAAUUUCGUGAGAGCAUCACUUUUCUUUUUUAAACUUAUUUUAUUAUUUAUUGUCAGCCCCACAAAACAAAUUAGAAAAAGAAACGCGUGAAACGGCAGUAUUGGCUACCGUUUCUGACGUCCCUUUGUCUUGCAUUUGUUCGUUUAUCAUUUUCCUAUAAAUUUAGACACAGAAGUUUAUUAAUAAUAUAUCGCUGUUCAAUUGGGCCACAUAAUACAAAAACAAUAAACAAUUAAAAAAUUUUUUUUAAAAAAGAAGUAAAAAUCUAGUCUGCUUUGCGCUUUUUUCCUUCGAGCAAAAGCACUUUCACACCUUCUUCACAGCAAAACUUCUAACUAAUUAGAAAAUGGAAAGAUGACAACAUAUUUACGAGGACCCUACAGUGGCACCAGAAAUAUAUACAUAUAUAUAUAUAUAUAUAUAGACACACACACAGACAUCAAAUGGCCACAACUUCCAGGUUACUGUCAUCAUCAUCAGUUGAACUUGGCUGCAGGUUUUGGAUGUGGUUCGUUUCUGCUUCAAUAAUGUUCUCUUCGUCAACGUUUUCCGCAAUUUCUUGAUUCCGGUCCACACGACUGAUCAUGAUACGUCGAAUCCAGUUGAAGCAGCGCUUAAACAGAGAAGCUAACGUUGCAUAACAGAGUGAUAAGAUUAUGAGGCAAAAAUAGGGCACCAGGAAGAGAAAUGGAGCCAAAAUGACAGACGCAACCACCGAGAUAGCCAACAGAACAGAGGGUUCUCCACAACUCACGGAAAUGGAGCGGCUCACACUGACAGUGAGUCUGAUAGGUGUGAGGAGGAAGAGCAGUAAUGGCAUGAUGACGGCAGGAAUCAGGAGCCAGAAUUCUAGCUUUAAAAUUGGAUUCAAAAGUAUCUUACUGGUACCAUCCUGGACAUCCCAUGAGUUGCCAUCCUGAUACCUGAGGAACAGGAAAAAGAUGAAAAGGUUUAGCAAAGGCGGAAACAAAUACCUCAAAUCAAUUAACAGAUCCAUGCUUAUGAGGAAGAUCAAUUUGGCAAUGGCAGGGGCUUGAAUUUUGAUUUUAUUUAUUUUCUUUCUUCUCUUUUUUUUUCCUUUCUUUCUCUCUGCUGCUAAAGAUGCCGAGAGCUUGUGUGUGCAAAGGGUAACUGGAGGAUUUAUAGCUCCGGGGAUGUCUACGAAAGUACCCGGAAGGGUUACUAGCUCGAAAUGCUGUGUGUGUACAAAGGCUAGUCUUUUUGUUCAGAUAAAAACAAAAUAGUGCCAUGGUGGACAUGCAAGAUGACAUCACAUCUUGGUUUUUCAAACAACAAACAAGAUUGCGUCCAAGAUGGUACCAAGGCUUGAUGAGAUUUGACCCAGUCCCCCCGUUCCAAAGCCCUAUUGUUUUCAGUUAAAAACAAAUGAAGCAUACCUGGAACAAAUUGCAUAUGGAACAGUAUCUCACCAAAUGAAGCACACGUGGAAUAAAUUGAAUUUUGAACAGUAUCUGUAACACUCGAUCAGGUGAUAGGGUGAAAAAAUCUUGAAUUGUUCGCUGUGGCUUUCAAAGUAAAAUAUAUAUAUAUAUAUUUUUUAACUGACCUCCAUUGAGCCAAAGAACAAGAGGUUUUUUCAAAGCAGAUGAAGCAGCUUCGGUGAGCCAGUAAAACAGAGCUCUGCCAUGAUUCUCAUUCACUGUUAUAUAUAUAUAUAUAUAUAUAUUAAUGUAAUUUACAAUUUAAACAGGCAUGAAAAAUAGAACAUAAUUAACAGGAAAGAGCAAAGUAACACUAUGUUUUAUUAUUUCAUCAAUAACGUGCUAGUUAUUAACAUCAAUUAUUAAACGACCAGAUACCGUAUAUCAUGUCGCUUGAUAUACAAACUUAACAUACCAUUUUAUAUGUGUAGCAUUUUUAUUUUUUUUUAAGAAUCAUUUUUCAAGAACAUCCGGCCAAAUUCAAGUGUUAUUAUUAUUAUUAUUAUUUUGAAUGAAUGAACAAUCGUAUUUUGAAAAUAAAUAAAUAAAAAAAUACAGCUAAAAUUUUAAGGCUUCCAAAAAUAAGACCUAUUUUGGGAUUGUUGCCAGUUAUAAAUAAUCUUGUUAUGUUGUGUCACUGAAAUUAAUAAUCACAUGGACACAAAUAAUUAGGUGUUUGAUAAAUUAUCUUAAAAAUAGUGUGUAUCGAUGAUGGCAUUAUAAACUCAUUCUAACCCAUUUUAAGUUAAAAUAAUUUUUCAUUAAACAUUAUUUUUUUAGACUACUAUGACUUUUUUUAUUUCAGUUAAGUAUAUGAAUUUUUGUUUAGGGACUAAUACUUUAUUAAGAUUAUAAAGAAUCGUGUUAAGGACCACUAUGACUAUUGAUUAUUUUAUUAAGACUUGUAUGAGAUUUUUCAAAGAUCGCUAGGCUCAUAGCUUUCCAUUAGGUGUGAAUGUGAUUGACAACCAAAAAGAUAUAAGGUCAAAUUGUUUUAACUAGUGCCUACUGUCGACGUGCCAACGUCACUUGUUGGCUAUAUCCUAUUAUCCUGUCCAAAAUUUGGAGAAAUUUUUUAAUUUUAUAUCAUUUUUGGGCUUUCUCUCAUCGGCUAUUUCUGAUAAAUCUUAUGUGCUAUUCAUUAAUUGCUUUUAUUUACAUUUUUAAACACUAUUCAACACAAGUUACUUAACAACAAAGGCAUACGCAAAAUUAAAACUGAUUCAGGAUUUAUAGCUUUUGACAAAUCACAAUUUGUCUCGAGUCUGUGAUGCCGAUGCGGGACUACCCCUGACGAGAUAUGGCUGGAUAUAAAUAUAAAAAUUGCAUUCAGUCUUCUAGUACGUAGGCAACGAUGAUGUUAUGCGAAUUUUGUGAUCUAAUUUGUCUUGACUUUGGGUCCCUCGCCAUUUCAAUUGGGUAUGACAAGAAACAACCAUGCAUGUUUAAUCUUUUGCAAGCAUAGCUCAUAUAAACAUUUAAUCAAUUUGCCUGACUAGGGAAGGAUACAAAUAUAAAAAUUGCAUUCAGUUUUCUAGUAGGUAGGCAAAGAUAUUCUGGAAGGAAAUGUUAUGCAAAUUUUGUGAUCUAAUGUCUUGAUUUUGGGGUCCCGCACCAUUUCAAUUUCAAUUUCACCCACUUGGGCGUGUCAGUGUUUUCACUUCUUUAGACGAGGGAAGGACAUCCAAGUUUCUUGAUGAUUGACCCCCAUAGCUUUGCUUCAAUUUGGCUAUUGACUACAUAUUAUUUCUCAAUUUCUUCUAAAAAAAACGUUGGCUUUUUAAGAGAUUAAAAAGCGAAAAUUAAAAUAUGGAUGGAUGAUACGAGAUUUCUUAGCUCGUUCCCCAAGCUAAAGGGAAUGUUGUGCUUGGUUGAAGAAACAGGCUUCUAUGUGAAAGGGAUAAAAGAGAUGAAUUGUAAAUAAAUUCAAGUUUGCAAAAUAAAAGAGUAGUCUAAAACACCCAAUCGUGCACUACUUAUUUUAACACUGAACAGAAAAAUGAUUUGCAGUGGAGUCGUCGAAGGCAACAGCUUGUUUUCAAUUUUAUAAUUAUACACUCUCAAAAUAAUUUUGGUAUAAAAAGCUGCUUACAUAUUUAUUAUAAUUACGUGAAUGGAGCAGAUUAUUUUGUCCUUCAAGAAAGUUUAAUCAAGAAUAAAUAAUAUUCUAGUUAUAAGAAUGGGGUUUCAAAGAUCUCAAAUCAUGUUACUGAUGAUUUUAUAUGUCGGAAUAAAUUUGAUGGGGAAAAUAAUAAUAAUAAUAAUAUACUUUUAAAAAUAAAUGCAAAAUCGUAAUGUAUAAAACGGAAUGGAUUUGGCGCAUAUAGAAAUUAGUUUUUUUGAUCUUUUGACUGUGUUAUACUAAAGAAAAAAUGUCAAACGCUACAUGUUAGUUCAUUGGUCCAUCUGGCUUUAGUUCGUUGCCAUUGGUCGUAGGUACACGGCAUAAUUGACCAACCACUAACCUGCAUGCUAAAUCAAGGACACGGAUCCAAAUCGCUAAAUCAUACCAAUCUUUUUCCAUGUGUCUAUUUGCGAAUCUUUGACCAUAGUUAAUUAGCGAUGUUAUUUACUUUUUAUCAUAAAUUUACAAAUGCAAAAAACUUAAUGCAUUUUAUUUUUUUAUUUUUUCCUAAAUGGAACGAUAAUGAAUUUUCAAACCAUGCUUCCAUGCAACUUCGGGAAUCAAGGAGUCGGAGUGGUUUGUUCCACUAAAGAAGAAGCACUAGAUUUUCCUGACAAAAAACGUCCUUGUUUAUGAUAUCUUUUGGUCUAUCUCAAUUUGGCAUUCUCUCCCUUUUUUUUCUCUUUAAUGUUUCUAUUCAAGUGAUGCGAUAAAAAUGGCAAACGAGUCCAAGUGUUGAUUCUUUGAUCCAAUAUUGUCAAUCUGUCAGGUUCAAGGAAGCAUAAUUGAAUAUAACACGAAAUCAUUUUAACUCGAAUCGUUAUGUAUCAAAGGGGGAGAUUAUCAGUUAAUAUGUAGUCAAUACUCCUCGCAGAAUAAUUUUACAUUAUUUUCAAAUGUACUUUUGCGCAUAUUUAUUAUAUAUUAAAAUAAACCAUAUAAAUAAAAAUAAAAAAAUUUUAAAAUAAAAAAUAAGAAAUAUAAGUUUCGGUGUGAAUAAAAAUUAAUACUAAGAUAACUUUUCUUUUAUUUUUUGUUAUUUUUUAAAUAUUUUUCUUAUAAUAUAUAUACAAACACAUGCAUGCAUGCAUAUAUAUUUAUAAAUGACUAAUUAAGUUUUCUCUUUCUUUCUUUUUUUAAUUUUUUAAUCCGACCGAACCCAUGACUAUUUAAUUGAGUUUCACGAGUUGAAAAGCAUUUAUUGGAGUGUAAUAGAUUCAGGCUGUGUUUACUUGCUGGAGUGGGAGUGAGGAGUGUGGAUUUCUUCCACUCCAGCGUUUAUUUCCUUAAAAUAGGAAGGGAGUGGGAAUCCCACUCCGUGGGCCCCACCCAUUUUUGGAGUGGGGAGUGGGAGUGGGACUCCCAUUGGGGGAGGUGGGAGUGGGAAUCCACUCCCACCUCUCCCUUUUUUACCCUUUUAUUUUUUUAAUUUAAUAUUUUAUAAUUAAUAAAAUAAAAUAAAUAAUAUUAUAUUUAUUUGAAUAAUAAUAUUAUAUUUAUUUGAAUAAUAAUAUUAUAUUUAAUUAAAUAAUAAUUUGUAUUGAUUCUAAGUUAAAAUUAUUUUAAAAUAAUAUUAUUAUAUUAAUAGAGAAUUAAUAAAUAUAAUAUUAUUAUAUUUAUUUUAAAAAUAAUAGUACUAUAUUUAUUUAAUAUUAAUAAUAAUAAAUAGUUUAUUCUAAGAAAAUAUUAAUUUUGUACUAAAUAAUAUUAUAUUAUUAUUUUAUAUAAUAAUAAAUUUAAUAUAAUUAUAUUAAAUAAAAUAAAAUAAGGUUUCACUUUAAAUAAGGAUAAAAUUGUAAUUUGAAACUAUUUACUCCCAAUCCAAGACAAAGUAAACACAUAAAUUGGAUUCUGAUCUCUACUCCAUACUUCCAUUCCAGUGUAAGUAAACAACCUACUCCCACUCCCACUCCACACUCCCAAUCCUAGGAUUCCCACUCCUCAGGAUUCCCAAUCCAAUCCAAAAAGUAAACGCUACCUCAAAGAAAACUUCGAAGGAUAGGAUUAAGUCUAUUAUUGGCAGAUUGACGAUUGGGUUGGAAUAAUCAAAGUAAAGUACCACAUAAAAAUUAAAUGCGUUGCGGCUUGUCAGUGUCACAAGUCCAGUAUCCCUAACGUGGCAAAUAUAAAUUAAACUUCACCGAAGAAUUAUUCUGAAUAUAAAUUAAGAUUCAUCUAUCUUACAUGUAUGUAAAAUAUUUUUUUUCAUAUGAAUAAUAUAUGUGUAGAGUUUAUGUAUUAUUUAUAUAAGAGAGAUAUAUCUUAUAUGUAUAUAAGAUACUGAUCACUUAUAAAUUAACGUGGUAAAUAUAAAUUGACAUAUCACAAGUAUUGCACAAUUAAAAAUCAUUUAAAAGUUUUAAACGAACAGCCAACACCGUCUUUAGUGCCCGUAUCCCUAACAUGGCAAAUAUAUGGUUUUUAAAAAUAACGUUGUUCAAGGUGUUAACAGUCCUCUGAAGGAAUGAAUUGUGGAGUCAAUUUUAUUUUUCCAAAUUUUUUGUGUGAUUUUAAAUUUUUUUUGGCCAAAUAUUAAUAUUUAUUUUUAGUUUCUCAAAGUUAUUUUUCAUCAUUUUAACAACAAUCUGAAACUAUCCUUUAUGCCUCAAAAGUGAGUUGGAAAGUCAUUUUCUUUUUCUUUUUUAUAUUUUUAUUCUUUGAAAUCUCCCGUGCAUGAUAAACCAAUUAUCCACGGUUCAAAUAAAUAUAUUUAAUUAUGUAAUUGGCUAAAGCCUUAAUCUGCUCAAAAUAGAAUAUUCUACAGCCACUUUUUGAUAAUUUGGGUUAUUUAACGCCUAAAAAUAAGCUUCAAUAGAAAUAUUCUUACCUAACCACUUAACCCAUAGAUGUAUUAGGUAGGUACUUUCUCCUAAAGCUUACUUUAAUGGAACAAAACAACUUCACAUCAAAUUUGCAAAGUCAAUAUUCCACAAAAUGUUUCCUUCUCAUGAAUUAAUAGGUCUACCAAUAUAAAAAAAAAAAAAAAACAUAUUUCACCUACACGUAUGGAAAAUUUUUUCUAUUGUAUCCGUUUGUAACCAUCAUUAUUAGGUUGAGUUGAGUAUUCACGUAUGGAAAUUUUUUUCUAUUGUGUCCGUUUGUGACCAUUAUUAUUAGGUUGAGUUGAGUAUGUUAUUUUUUUAAUCUUAUAUUUUAAAAAUAAAUGCAAAAUCGUAAUGGAUAAAGCCGAUUUUUUUUUUCCCCGAUAAUGAAUUUUCAACCAUGCUUCCUUACAACUUCCACGUCCUUGUUUAUGAGAUCUUUUGGUCUAAUAUGUCAAUUUCAUAUUGUCUCCCUCUUUUUUAUUUUAUUUUUUUCUAUUUAAGGUUUCUAUUCAAGUAACGCGAUGACAAUAGCAAACAAGUCCGAGUGUUGAUUGUUUGAUCCAAUAUUGUCAAUCUGUCCGGUUGGAAGCAUAAUCUACUCCUCGAAAAAUAAUUUUACAUUUUUCAGAUAAUCACGAGAUUCCUCUCUCCAUAAAGCUUAUGUUAAUUUGCACACCACAUUACCUUUUCUCAUACCCAAUAUAAUGCACAAAUAAAUCCAUCUCUUUUGAUAUGAAUAUGCAUAGCGACGUUGUUAUGAUCAAGUUAAAAGUUCUAUGAUAAAGAAGAGUUCGCUCUAAUUUCACGUAAAAAAUGAAUUCAUAAUAAAAAUGUAACAGCAACUAUAUUACAUUUUACAUGUACAUUUUUGGGUAUAUGGUAUCAUUCGGGGGAAAAAAAAACACAAGGUAAUGAUCAUUAAUCAUCAACUGUAUUUAUUUGACGAAAGUGUUGCUUUGUUACUUGAAUUGAAUCAAGGCAACCUUUUUGCCGGGAGUUUUGUUUUGUCAAGACUCAAGAAAGAGACCAAUGAGAAUGAGAUGGCCCUAUUUGUAGUUUUAUGGAGUUGGCAAGUUAAGGCUAAAUAAAUGGCUCCACCAUUUCAAGAUAAAAGAUUCUAAAAGCUAAACAAGUCCGAUCUUUCCCUACAAUCAAACUCUAAGAAAAGAUUAGGGUUCAUUAGGCUAAUUUUAUCCGAAGAAAUUGUUUUUCAAAAGUAUGAUUCUACGGAUGUUAUUAGGUUUAUCGGUUUCUUUAACUUUAAUACAAAUGGCCGGCUAGAGAGUGAGACCCACAUGACUAACUGAGGAUUAUUCCAAAUUGGAGUUAAUUAUAAUAAUACAGUCUUUAUUCUUUAAUUCAACAAUGUUAAUUGUUAAUAGAUAAUGUUAGGUCUGAGUCACUUUGUUGAGUUUUUCAGGGAACUUUGAUAUGGAGAAAGAUGUGCAGUUGCUGGCCCUGAUUAAUUAAAUUAUAUACUACUAAAUAUUUCCUUCCCCCACCUCCAAAUUGCAUAUAUGAUAACCAACCUACUAAUUAAUAAUAAUUAUAAACGAAAACAUUGACAAUUUUAAAGGCUGUCAUUUUCUUCGAUCAAAUUACCUUAGCCGGAAAAAAUUUGACUUGGAAAUUAAAAUAUAUAGUCAAUACUCCUCGAAAAAUAAUUUUACAGUAUUUCCAUUAUUUUUAAAUAUACUUUUGUUCAUAUUUAUUAUAAAUUAAAUAAAUCAUAUAAAUAGAAAUUAAAAUUAAAAAUUUGAGAAUUAAAAAAAAUAAGUUUCAGUGUGAAUAAAACGUAAUAAUAAGAUAACUUUUUCUUGUACUUUUUGUUAUUUUUUAAAUAUUUUUCUUAUAACACACACACACAGAGGCGCACAUACACACACAUAUAUACAUAUACAUAUACACACACAUAUAUAUUAUUUUCAAGAUAAAUUACCAAACAAAUGACUUAUUUUCUUCUAAAUUUUUGGUGCCGUGGGAGUUUUUGAAUUGUAUAAAACAACAUGUUAUAUGUGAUAUAUAUAUUGAUUUUAAUAGGGCAUGGGAGGUUGACAAUCCUCCCAUAUCAAAUCUAUUUGCAGUUCUUUUUAAUUCUUAUAUUUAUAUGCAUGAUUUUCUUUUCUUUUAUUAGCAAAUCUGCGUUAAGGGAAGGAAUUUUUUUUAUUUUUCACUUACAAUGAUACCCUUAAGAUGCCUGCUGCUUACAUAUUUAGUUUUUUUUUUUUAUUACAUGAGAUUAUUGCUCAAAUUACAGUUCAAAUUACAACUCAUAUUACAUGAGAGUAUAAUUGAUAUGUACAAUCAUAUAUUUAUACUGAGCCCUAUUGAUAUGAAUGCUGAUAUGACACCGCUCAGAUUUUUAACCCUCUCAAAUAUUCGAGGGAUGUCAAACUCUCAUUCUGGGAGAAAGACUGUCUUCACUCGAGCUCAAGGGCUCCAAGAAAAAAUAUUUAAAUUAAACCCUUACAAUGCGACUGCGGAGGCUCGAACCCCUUCCCUCACAUUUGUGAGGGAGGGGCGCUAGCCACUUGGGCUAAGCCCAAGUGGUUGCUUACAUAUUUAGUUAAGAGUGCGCGUAAGGCCUUAGGACUACCUUUUUAUCCUAUCAAUGUGACCGCAAUAAUCUCUCAUAACCCGUAAAUCAGUACGGAGAUAUAAGAGAUGUGAAGGAAUUAAGCAUCUUUAAAAAAGAAAAAAAUAUUUAAUGCAUUAGUUCUUUUGGAUUUUCAGCAACUUGCAUUGCCCAAAUCAUUAUCUCAAUUUUCUCAUCAAUUUACCCCCCUCGUUAACAAUAUAAGCUUUCGCACACGAUCCAAGUUAUUGAUGAAUGACCAGCAUACAUAUCUGUUUUCUUGAAAUCUUUUUCUGAAUGAUGGAUUUGAUCCUACAACGCAUCACUACAUUACCCUUCCCAAUAAGCUACAUGGUUUUAUCAUUGAAUGAUGACAUUUUAAUAUGUAAUUUCUUUCUUCCAAGACAUUCCUUUGCGACUGAUAGACACUACACAAUCCAUAAUUGCAUUAAAAAGAGGAAGGGGGGAAAAAGUAUAUGAAACUUAUUAAAUGUUUAAUUAGUAGAAAAUCUUGGGGAAAAUACUUUAAAAAGCAUAAAUUGUGUAUGACAAGAAACAACCAUGCAUGUUUAAUCUUUUGCAAGCAUAGCUCAUAUAACAACUUUAAACAUUUAAGGAAAACAAUUUCCUUGCAAAAAUAUGAAUGAAUCUACAAACACCUGAAAAGUUCAACCAAUCAGCGCAGUUUACUGAUGUUAUAAGACACAUCCAAUCAAUUUGCCUGACUUCCAAACUUCAAUUUAAUGCAAUCACAGUCAUCACCCUUCUAUCCUUACAAUAGGAUUAGAAUUUCUAUUUAUUGUAUAUUUAACUGCAGUUCUAGACUCUGUCUGCAAAAGUAAAACAGAUAAUUCUUGUUAAUUUCCCUGGAUGAUCAGUAUGCUCUCAAUCUCUAUGCUUAGUCAUAGAUAUACAACCAUGUCAAAAGCUAGCCCUUCCCAACUAAGUCCAAACGGAUGACAAAAAGUGAACCUUGUCCCACUGACAAGAAACUUGGUCUUCCCUCUUAUCUUAAAAAAUGCAAUCUUGCCGAGUAACCCAAAAAGGAGCUAGAGCCAGAGAACCUUAGCUUUCUAUCCUUGCCCGAAAGCAAAAACAUUUUUCAUUAGCAAAGAGCCACAAGCACUUAGAGCAUCCUAAAACCGAUAACAUAAGUGAGAAUCAAUGCAUGUAUCCGUAAGCAUUUAUUUAGUACCCAAACCAAUUUUAAAUUUCUGAUAGGCUUACUUAAUUGCCCAAAUUCUACCAAGCUUUUCAGUUAACCUGCUCAAAAUACAAUCCACAGGUACAUUUAAAUAAAUUGGGUUAUUUAACGCCUAUAAUCUUUGAAACCUCAUCAAAUUGCUACCAGAAGUAAUCCAUACCAAACAAUCAACACAUGAAAUACUGGACCUUCAUACGGAAGAAAUAUGGCCGAAGAAGAAAUUAAAAACCCAUAGAAGCACUAAAUACUUCUCCUAUGACUAAUAAUGGAACAAAACAACAUCAAAAUACUCUCAAUAUACCACUAGAGGAAUAAAUCCACACCAAUGACAAGCUAAAUAUGGCAUCUUUCUAGAAUUAAUAAUUCUGCAACCAAAAAAGCACAGUAAUUAUUUGCAUUUUAAAUAAUCCCGAACACAGGACAAUGACUUAUUUAUGUCAUAUAAAGGACCUACAAGCACUUAUCUUUUUAUCUAUUUUAUUUCCAAGCAAAAACAACAUUUUUCUAUUCUUUCUUCAACUGGAAAACAGGUUAUGUUACGGUAGUCACUAGGCAGUGGGCAAAACACUUGAUAACUAAACAUAUAAAAAGAAAUAAAAAAGAGUUAAAAAAAUUAAAAAAGUUAAAAUCGAAAAUACAAAAAGAUUAAAAACGAAACUGCUUGUGAAAAAUGAAAAUAUCAAACCCCCUUCUUCAGAACAAUUCAAAGAGGGAGUUGCUGGUUCUUAAUGCAACAGUAAGUAACAUGCCACUGAAACCUCAACCUUUAAACAUAGAACUUGAACUCAGGAAACCUUUAAACAUAGAACUUGAACUCAGGAAGAGAUGAAAGAAAAAGACAUAGAUGACUGACUGAAUUUUAAUUUUAUUAAACCGCACAGCUUAAUAGCAUGUCUGCAUUACCAAAAAAAUAAAGGUGUCCACAUAUACAUACAUAUAUAUAUAUAUAUAUAUAUAUAUAUAUAUAUAUAUAUAUAUAUAUAUAUAUAUAUAUAUAUAUGUAUAUAUAUAUAUGUAUAUAUAAAAGACCGUUUGUAUGAUGAAUUCUCUGUGUAUACAUGUUUCUAGGUUUCAAAGAAUAAUAAUAUACAAUGAGACCAAACAUCAAAAAGCCAAUUAAAAUAAAAAUCUGCAAAUAUAACAAGUCCAAAAAAUAAUGUAUCUAAAUAAAUAAAUAAAUUUUGCAAUGAAAAAGGGUCUUAGAAAGAAUGAUUUUGAUUUUUGAUUCAACAAGAGUGAGAGUGAUGCAAACCGAUUGUUUUUUAUUGAAACAUAAAAUGAAAUGAAAAGGAAACAGAAUAUAGAAGAGUAAAAAUAGAUUAAUUUGAGGAAAUUUAAGCCAUCAAAAUGAGUAUGAUGUACUUGAGAAGCCAAUAAACUUUCAAAUACAACUUAAGUUACACUAAAUCAUAAUCAUUUCAUUCUUUAUCUAAAUAUCUAAAUAUGUUUACGAGGGGAAGAUGCCAACAAUCUUCAGCUAAUCCUCUUGAACACACCCUUUUCUCCUUUGUUGACAAAUAAGAUUACUGUGGGGAUCUCAUAAUCGGGCUUUGAUCUCAAUUGAGUUUGAUAAGCCUUUGUCAGUUGGGCUGAAUCCAAUUGGGAUUUUUAGAUUUAUAGAAAUCCAUGGUCUAAUUCAACCUAAGAACUAGUUCAAAAAUAGAAGAUUCCUCAAGUUUACAUUGUUAGCCUAGUCACUGUUCUCCUCCGAUGUGAGAUGAAGUAUCCUCAACAAGAUUCCCAUUGUACGGCGCAGUUCGGAGAUGAUACAUGUAAUGGUAGGCAAUCUGUGGGGCUGAAUCCAAUUUGAUCACCGCCACCUUCAAGCUGGUUCAAAUCGAAUGUCAUUGAUGCUGCAAUGAAUGAUGAAUCAAACGGGUGGGGCGAGCAGGACUUAGGCGGCCUCAGGAUUCUGGGCCUAUUCAUUCUUGGGCCGUCUUCGUAAUGGACCUUUUGGUCUUCUUAAUUAGGCCCGGGCUUGCUGUAAUCCCUCAAAGCAAAUGUUUUUGGCAGCUUGGGUCCUGCGUUUCAAAUAUGCAAGUCAUUUUUGUUAAUCAAUUGUCAACUGUACCAUUUACUCUGAAAUAAAUUGAAAUUUCAUUUUCACAUAGAGAGAUUUCAGUAAAGUAGUACAUCCUCCAAACACACAUCAAAAUUGAUUAAAUUAUUAUAUUUUCAAAUUAUGAGAGGAAGAAAAAAUUGUUUAUAGAUGCAAUGUAUAUUCAUUCUUCGCAAAAUCCACAGGUAAUUAAAAGCUUCAAAUAUAUAUAUACACGUAAUUGCCUAAAGUCUACCAAGCUUCUAAUUUAAUCAACUCAAAAUAAAGUUUUCACAACAGUCACAUUUUUGGUAAAUUGGGAUAUUAGCCCCUUUAUUCUUCGAAAGCUUAUUGUUGGAAUUGGUUGCUGAGUUUCCAAUGAUCAAUUGAACUGUAGUCAUUAACACACACCCACAUAUGCUGAUGGUACAGUCAGAUCGAAUCUGUUAUAAACUAAUUAAUUACAAUCUGUUUCUUUUACCAGCUGUAUGAUUGGCUGUUAAUUAAUGACCAAAGAAGAAAUUAUAAGUACUUCUCCUAAAGCUAAUAUUAAUGGAUCAAAACAAUUUCAGAUUUUUCCCAAUAAGCCACUAAAUCAGGAUCAAACCCACAAGUCAGUAUUCCUCAAGAUUUUUCCAUUUCAUGAAUUAACAGGUCUGCCAUUACUGGAUUAAAAGCUAAUAAAAAUUAAUUCCUCAGCAUGCACACUAAGUACAGAAAAAAUAAAAUAAAAUAAAAUAAAAAUUAGAAAAGAAAAGAGUAAAAAUGAAAAAGAAAGAAAACAUCGAUCAGAACGUACGACUCUUGUCGUUUUCAAGAAUUUUUGACCAAACAAGUCAACUGCCACAUGCACACGGGGCCCAUUUUUGAAAAAUCAUUCUUUUUCGCAUGCAUCUAUUUGCGAAUUUUUUAACGUCAGAUUUCGGUAGCGUGUGUUAUUUUUUUUUUAUUUUAAAUUUAUGAAAGUAAAAUAUUAAUUUAUAAAGCUGAACGAGUAUUAUUAUAUAUGUAUGGAAAACAGUCAAUCUGAUUACGGAUAAGUAAAAUGGGUCUGCAUUUGGUUAUUAGGCAGCUGCUACUUCGAAACUGUUACAAUUGUUUCAUAUUCAGGUAUAGACAUCUAACAGUUUUGGGGACUACUCUAUCUCAGAACUGUUUUAAGGUAGCUGAACUCAUACAAUUAACGUAAUUACAAUUAUUAAAUUUAAUAUUAUGAUUCAUACAUAUUUAUUAAAACAAAAUGUAAAUAUAAAUAUAAAAACAACAAUUAAGAUAAAAUAAGUUUCUUUAAAACAUCACAAUGAGAAUUGAGAAGCAUCUAUUGUUUAUUAUUUUAAUUUAUCUGCGAGCCCCACAUAUUCAUUUAACAAAGAAAUCAUAAAGCAUUGCCAGAAUUAAAGUUUUAUUGAAGAAGAAAAGUAAUUUAUAAAUAAUAUUCUUUUCAAACUUUAGUACUGCGCGUUGAUGGGGAGACAAAAUGAAAAGUGUUGACAGGCAGAGACACACGAAUCUCAUAAAUAUUAUUAAAAAAAAUUCGUUGACAGGGAGAGACACACGAAUAUCAUAUAUAUUAUUGAAAAAAAAAAAAUCAUUGUCUGUAUCGUCUAUACAGAAUCGUAUGCAUAACUGAAAGUCUGAAACAACUGAUCUGGCUUUUAUAAAAAUAGAAGAUAAUAUUAUUUCUGUGGCACCUGUACCCAGCUAUAAGUAGUGGUAGUUGCAUGGAAGCUCAAGUCACCACAAUUACACCAUAUCCCCAGAUGGACUUGGCUGCAGGUCUUGGAUGCUGCAUCAUCAGUUAGAUCAUUUGGAUUAUUAACAAUGAUAUGUUUUUAUUAGCUGAAUUGAUAACUCUCCAAGCCGCGUCUGUAAGGCUAACAUUUGGAUUAUAACUGCUAGACAAGAAUAAAAAGAAAAAAACAGAGUUAAAAAAAAGUUGAUAUAAUGAACCUUGUGGUCAAAUGUCAGAUCUGACUUCUUCAAACGAACUAAAGGCCAGCAAUGAAAAUUUCACAUAAAAAGCAACUAGACUAACUUCAAGAUAGCUUAAAUUAAAAGUUUUCUGACUCAUUCAGCAGAGACGCCAACAAUUUCCGAAACUUUUUGUUGGACCUCACGUUUAUAAAUUCUCAAAUCUUCCUACACCAAUCUGACAACAUCACGGAAAGCAAGCAACACCACAUUUAAUUGUCUUUAAGUUACAAAAAAAGCUUCAAGCUCUGCUGAUGCCAGGAUAUAAUGAGAAACCAAUCAUAGAACAUGUCAUAAGCAAGGGCACAAGCAGAGGAAAGAUCUCCAAUGCUUCAGUGUGAUGAUAAUCACCGUGAAACAAUAUCAACAGAUAUGAUCUAGUGAUAAAUGAAGUAUAACAACCUUCAAAUGAAAUUAAUAAACAGCGACAGAACGAUAUAAAACAAAUAACUUCAUAAAGAAAGAGUUUACAUUUUUGUUGGAAAUCUGAUUACCGUUCUUUCAUUUGUAUGUAAAGUCUCUGAAAUUCCCUAGUCAUGCCCAAAUAAAUUCUCUUAUAUAUAUGAUGAAUAAUGCUGUUAAAAGAAGCUCCUGAACUUAGAAUUACUUCCACUUCUUUAAAUUCUUAGUUAUAAUAAGGCAAGAGGGAGUUUUGGUAUUUUUAGUGAGAUAUAGAAAAGUAUUUACCCUCAUUUUAUCUUGCAACUUCAAAACCUGGAAAGUCUCUCUCAAAACAUGAAUUUAGACGAAUGAACUUCAACCAAAAGGAUUUUCUUACAAAAGCUAAAAAAAUGCAACAGCAUAGUGAAAAUGGGAAAAUGAAAAUAUAAAGCAGAAGAAAAAGUUUCCAUCGGAUAAGACAAAAACAGAAAAUCCAAGUUCAAAAAGUUUCCAUCAGAUAAGACAAAUACAGAAAAUCCAAGUUUUUAUUUGCCAUGCCAAUAUUAUUCAUGCAGAAUUACUCUAAUUUAUUUUUCAGUGAAGGUUAGUAACAAUUUAUCUGUAAAUAACUGAACCAACUUGGUUAUUACCACAUUACUCUUUCUCUUCUACACUCAUUUUCUGCAUAGUUGCGGUUCAUCAACGACCACAUUCACAAACACGAGUCCACUCUCCCCGGCCCCUUCACUUAUUUCCCCAACCUUAAGGUCUCUCAAAGUGCAGCAGCAAGACAUGAACUCCUAUCAAUAGAAAGCAAUAUUAAGCCCUCCUAAAAAAUCCAACACCCAUUUGGCUAGAAAAACCCCAUAACUCAUUGCCACACUCUCUAUUUUCACCCCUUUCAUCAAAACACAAGCAUUACUUACCCAUGUCCAGACAUAAUUUCGUUUUCUGAUAUCACGUCAUUCAGGGGGAAAAAAGCAAUUAAAGGAUUUCAGUACAUAAAUUACAACAAGCUGUCAAUUCGCAAAAACAAGGAAAAUUAGCUCAAUCGAGUGAAGUAGGCCUACAAAAUGACCUCAAUGAGACAUCAGAUACCUCAAAAAUCGAAUCAAAUUCAGUUACACUAAGAAUCACUCAUCAAUAUGAAUAACAGAAAGAAAUUUCUCAUAAAAUUCAAUACAAAUAAAAAAAAAAAAGCUAAUCAUCCUUUUUUGGUUUAGUGACUUCGUCAGAAAAUAAGACGAAAUAGAAAUUCUGAAAUUUACUUAGGGUUUCUAGGUUUGAAAAUUUACCUUACGAGAAGCCAGGCUCUCUGUUUCUAGCUUUGUAACGUUACUAUCAUGGCGAUCGACGCCGAUCAGCUGAGAUGAUCGGAUUUCUCGCCGGCGACGACGCAGAUGUUUGGAUUUGGGUUUGACGAUGGACGAAGGAAUGUUUAGGGGUCCUGGCUGAUUUUGGGAUUUAUUGAAUUGAAAGACCAAAAUAACCUUUAAAAAUUUACACAUGUAAUAUUCGGGGUAGUUAAACAGUUAAUUUUUUUUUUCAACCAUAAAAACAGAAUAUAAAUCUACAUACAGAAUUUUAUUAAUAUACCCUUGUUCAUCCGGACCAUAGUACAACGACAACAACAACCAAAACAAAAAAAAAUCUAGCCUCUGUCUGCAAGUGCUUUUUCAAGCAGAAGCCAAAGAUAGCAACUAAGCUUUCACAUCAAACUGUUCAAACUUAUUCGGGUAACAACAGACUAUAGGUCAUUGUAAUAACUAGUUCGCAAUGGAAAGAUAUAAAACUCUCAUAAUUCUACACUUUGUUACUUUAGCAGGUACUAGGACCCUACGGGGGCACCAACAAUAUCGUAUAUGGAUAUGGUAUCAAGUGAUUACAACUUCCAGGUUGUUCUCAUCAUCAUCACUUGAACUUGGCUGCAGGUUAUGGAUGUGGUUCGUUUCUGCUUCAAUAAUGUUCUCUUCAUCAACUUGUUCCGCAAUUUCUUGGUUCCCGUUCAGACGGUUGAUCAUGAUCAAGAUUGUGCCAGUAAUGGGCGUUAUUAUUGCAGUGAGAUUCCGAAACCAGUUGAAAAUGUGCUGAGACAGAGAAGCUACGGUUCCAUAACGGAGUGAUGAGAUUAUGAGGCACAAAUAGGCCACGAAGGAGAGAAAUGGAGACGAAGUGACGGAGGCAACCACCGAGAUAGCCAACAAAACAAAGGUUUCUUCACAACCCUCGGAAAUGGAGCUCCUCACAUUGAAAGCAAGUCUGAUGGGUAUGUGGCGGAAGAGCAGUACUGGCAUGGUGACGGCAGGAAUCAGGAACCGGAACUGAAGUUUUAAAAUCGGAUGCAAAAUUAUCGUACUUGUACCACCUUGGACGUCCGAAGAAUUGCCAUCCUGAGACCUGCGGAACAGAAUAAAGAUGAUAAGAUUUAGUAAUAGCAGAUAUAAAAAGCUCAAAGUGAUUGACAGAUCCAUGCUUAUGAUGAAGAUCAGGGGCCUGAAUUUUGAUUUAUUUAGUUUCUUUCUCUCUGAGGUUAAAGACGUUGGUUGAGUAUGCCAAGAACUUUUGAGUUUGAGCAGGAUUUUAUAGUUGGGAGAAUUGCAUGGGGGAAGGUUCCUGGAAGCUGCUGCCUCUGCUUGACCAAGGCUAUUUUGGUCUUUUAAUAUUGAUAAGUAAUAUUAUCAUUAAUAUUAGGUUAUUUUGGUCUUUUAACACUGAUGAGUCAUGUUAAGUGUUAUUAGGUUUUGGUCUUGAUGACUUUUCCUGAAGCUAUAUUAUAUGUAUAAACUUUCCACGACGAUAUCACUAGUGGCAUAGACCAAAAACAUCGACAUUCACGACGAUCUCUUAAGAGGAGGGAUUGUCAAUUUCCUCAUAUUAAAAAUUCAGAUUGAUGUAAGUUAUAGAUUUUAUAAUUUAAUAAAACGCAAUUAAUACACAUACAUAAAUGUGUGUGCUUACAGUGCAACAUUUUUUGGGCUUUCUCUUUUGGGCUAUUCAUUAGUUGUUUUUUUAGAGUAUUAAUAUAAUCACAAAUAUUUAUAUAAAUUUAUUUUGUAUAAAUUGAUAUGAUGUGAUAAAAUUAAUUGAAUUAAAUAUCUCUUGACCCACGUGAUUUAGUUUUUAUUAUUUUAUAUUUUCAUUCAACUAAUUUUAUUAUGUCAAAUCAGUUUGUAUAAGAUAAGUUUAUACAAUAAUUUGUUACUAUAUCAUCACUCUUUUAUUUAUAUUUUGAGUAAUGAUACAACCAUAAAUUUUUCUACAAACUUAUUUUGUACAAAUUGAUGUACCAUAAUAAAAUUUGUUGAAUUAAAUAUCUUUUGGCCCACAUGAUUUAUUUUUGUUAUUUUUAUUUUUAUUCAACCAGUGAAUUAAUGCCACAUCAGUUUAUAUAAGAUAAGUUUGUACAAGAGUUUGUAGCUCUAUCACCACUCUUGUAUUUUAGUUAGUCAAUCUACUUGUAUAGAACUGGGAAAUAAAAUAGAAGUGUAGUUUAAGGAAUAAAUUUAUGGAAAAAAAAUAAAAAGAAAAAUCAGAAUCAAGAUAAUGAAAUAACUAAAGGCUAUUGGACUCGUUGCUAAGAGCAAAUGGCUCAUUUCAUUGUCAUUAACGUGUGGAGCAAAAUUUUCAAGAGCUUUUGAAUUAAACGGCGCCCUUCUUAUAUUUCAAGUCCUUUCGUCAAGUUAGCUUCGCUUUAAUUUGGCUAUUGACUACAUAUUAUUGCCAAUUUCUUAUUAAAAAAAAAACGUUGGUUUUGGACAUAGUUAAGAGAUUAAAAAACGAAAAAUAAAAAUAUGGAUGUAUAAUCGGAGAUUUCUUGGCUCGUUGCCGAAAGUAAAAGGAGUGUUGUGAUUGGUUCAAGAAACGGAUUUGGCCUCUAUUUGAAAGUCAUAAAUAGUCACUUGGCUCGUUGGUCAGUUGAUUCAAUUUCUCAAAAGUAAUUCACAAAGAGAUUGCGACACGUGUUGUUAUAAUCUCUCGUCUCGCUAGAUCUCCCCUUCACCGUUAGUGAUCGAAUUUUCUGAAUUCACUGCAAGAGACUUCCUGCGGAAGACAUCAACUUGCAAACAGGGAAAAAAAUAAAUCGAUGAGUAAUAAAGCAUUAUGCCUUUGAACUUUUCCUUGCCAUUUUCUCUCGCAAAAUAAUUGAAUUUAAAGCUUUUAUUUUAAAUGAUAUUAAUCAAAAUGAUUACGUUACCAUUGAAAUUGUUGAUGCGAAAAUAUGGGAUGAGUGGUGUGUAAUCAAUAACUCUUCGAGUUGGAUCGCGGCACACCACUAAUUAUCUUUUAAAGGAAGUGUCUCUUUCACAAAGGCCGAAGCAAUUGAAUGAGGAAUAACUAUUGGUUGCAUUGUCAAGAGGUUAUUGACUUGGCAAACAACAGAAACCACAAGAAGGUUGAAAUUUUUCGGGUGAUAUCAGAUAAUAAAGAAAGAAGAAAAAGUUUUUAGUUAGGUCAAAUUUCAACACACAAAUAAGUCUUGUAAUGAUAAUGCUCGCACCUUUGCUAAAUUAGCCUUAAAAGUUUAUGGAUUGCUUACCAUUAAAAUUAAUCUAGUUACGCGUGUACUCUCUAUUUCCUAAUAAAGUAUUUUCCCUUAUCAAAAAAUUAAUUAAAAAAAUUAACUCUUUGACUAUGAUUAGUCCCUUGUUAUUAGGCUGCUUGGGUCCGCAUAUUAUCUUUAUCCAACCUUCGAUUAAUCAUAUGGGUUUGGGAUAUUUGGGUAAAUUACUUUUAAGUCCUGGUAACUUUUUCAAAAUUUCAUUGAUUUAAUAACUAAUUAAAUCAUCUUUAUAAUAAAAUCAAUUUAAUUAUUUUAUCCUUAUAACAUGAAAUUAUAAAGAAGUCUGAGAUAAUGCUUGAAUUUAUUUAUAAAAAAAUUAAAAGCAAAAUCCCAUCAAUUAAUUAAGGCGAAGAACAUGCCGAAGGAAACUUAAAUCAUUAUUCGAUCAUUCAUAUGAAGAUAUAGAAUACUUGUUCUAAAUUCAAAAAAUUGAGUUGCUGCUUCUUUUUUACACUUGGCUUCUCACUCUAUACAAUAACAGAGUAAAGGAUUUUGAGAGAAUGAAUUGCACACUUUUCCAUUGAUUGUAAGACUUUAUAUACAGCAAUAUACAUGACAACUUUGCCUAUUUUAAAGAGAUAAGAUAACAGAAAGAUAUACUUUACAUUUGAAUUAGUUUGAAUGAGUAAACUAGAUAGGUCCCAUAUUCUAAGAGGAGAAUCUGCUGACAUGCCCCCUCAAGAUGGACCUCGGGAGAGCAGUCCAAUCUUGUCCUUGAGUUGAAGAAAUCGUGGUCUUGGCAGGGCUUUGGUAAGAGCAUCCACCAACUAGUCAGUCGACGAAACAUGUGCUACUCGAAUGGCACCACUUUGAACCUGCUCCCUAAUGAAAUGAAUAUCGAUUGCGACAUGUUUCAUUCUUGAAUGAAACAUUGAUUGCGACAUGUUUCAUUCUUGAAUGAAACAUUGGAUUUGAACAUAGUUACGUUGCUCCUAUGCUAUCACAAUAAAUAGCAGGGCAAGAAGACACCUUAAUGUGCAAAUCUGUCAAUAAAGAACAUAUCUAAUUCACUUCAGCAAUGGUGUUUGCAACUGAUUUGUAUUCUGCCUCAGUGCUGGAUCUAGCCACAGUUCUUUGUUUCUUGGAGCUCCAGGAUAUAGGAUUACGACCAAGAUAGAUUAUAUAGGCUCCUGUGGAUGAAAAAUCAUCCUUGUUUCCUCCCCAAUCCGCAUCAGCAAAUGCAUGCAAAUCAAAACUAGUGUUGCAAUAUAGUUGGAUACCAUCAUUAAUAGUACCUGAUAAGUAGCGCAACAACCUUUUAACAUAUGUCCAGUGGUCUGUAGUCGGUCGGUGCAUGAAUUGUGACAGACGAUUAACAAUAAAAGCAAUGUCGGGUCGGCUGAUGAGGAGAUAUUGAAGACUGCCUACCACAGUUUUGUAUUCAGUAGCAUCCGGUAAUGUGGUACCAUGGUGCAGACAUAACUGAGCAUUGGUUGGGAGAGGUGUGAGUAUCGGUUUUGCUUAUAGCAUUUUCGUCUUUUCUAGCAACUUCAGUAUAUAUCGUCGUUGCGACAUGAUUAGGCCCUUCGAAUUUGGAACUAUCUCAAUGCCCAAGAAGUAUGAUAAUGAUCCAAGAUCUUUGAGUGAGAACUUCUUGGCAAGGUUGGCUACAAACUCAGUAAUCUUGUUAGGCUUAUCACCCGUGAGGAUUAAAUCAUCCACAUAUACAAUAAGAUAAAGAACAUAGUGUCCAUUAUUAAAUACAAAAAGAGAGGUAUCUGCAAAGGAAUUUUUUAACCCAAACUGUAAGAGAAAAGUUUUAAGUUCAUGAUACUACGCCCGCAGAGCUUGUUUUAGUCCAUAGAUGGCUUUCCUGAGUUUGUAGACAUAAUCCGACUUGUCGGUGUCAAUAAAUCCUCUAGGCUGUACCAUAUACACAUCUUCAUACAAACGCCCUUGAAGAAAGACAUUAUUCACAUCUAGUUGUCGCAGUGGCCAACCUUGACUAACUGCAAUGCUUAAGACAAUUCAUACUGUAGUUGGUUUUACUACAGGACUGAAGGUGUCAUGAAAAUCAACUCCUGGUCUCUGGUGAAAUAAUUUUGCAACUAAACGGCCUUUGUACCUGUCAACAGAACCAUCAGACUUUCUUUUGAUUCUAUAAAUCCAUUUACAUCCAACAAGAUUGUAAAGUGGAGAUGGAGGGACCAAUUCACAGGUUCCAUUUGUCACUAAAGCAUUAAACUCGUCUGACAUGGCUUGGCGCCAUUUGGGUUCUUUGAGAGCUUGAUUGACUGUGGUUGGUUAAAUUUCGUCAGAUUUGGCUAGUUGAGCAUGAAGAUUCAUUUUUCGAAAAGGUUUGUGGAUGUUGUUUUUGGCUCGUGUGGUCAUGGUAUGAGAGGGUAGGUUUGUGGUUGUAGUUGUGGAGAGAGUUGAUGUCUUAUGAUUUGCACAAGAAAGUUGAUGAGAGUCUUCCACGGUAGAUAGCGUAUUAAGUGACGGUGGGAGAGAUGUUUGUAUUUGUAUUGGGGAAGAAAACCACGUAGUAAUAGUAUUGGAGUGAGUUAUGGACUCUUCUGGUUUAAGAUGCUUAAAAGGAUAAACAUUUUCGACAAACUUUACAUGUCGAGACACAUAGACUUUGGAAGUGUUGGGAUCAAGACAAAAAUAAGCACUUUGAGUAUUCGAAUAACCUAAGAACACAUGGUUUAGAGUUGGACUCUAGCUUGUGAGAGUUAUAUAGUUUUAACCAUAGAUAACAGAGGCAGCCAAAUAUCUUAAGUUUGGUAUAAUUGGGUGGCGAUUUAAAAAGUUUUUCGUAUGGGGUUUGAAGGUGUAUAGUUGGUGUUGGCAUUCUAUUUAUCAAGUAAACGGCUGUUGCAAAAGCAUGUGUCUAAUAAGAUAAUGGAAUAGAGGCAUGGAUUAAGAGUGUCAAACUAGUUUCUACAAUGUGUAGAUGUCUUCGUUCGGACAUGCCGUUGUGUUCAGGAGUGUGUGGUGGAGUGGAUAGAAAAUUAGUUAGAGCUAUAAAUUCACCACCAUUAUCAGAAUAUAAUAUUUUGAUGGUAUGAUCAAAGUGCUUUUCAACAAUGGCUUUGAACUUGAUAAAUAUUUCUUUCACAUCAAAUUUAUGUUUUAGUGGAUAAAACUAUAUGUACCUUGUAUAUUGAUCCACAAAUAUGACAUAAUAUUUAUAAAUAUCAAUGGAAACCAUAGGCGAUGUCCAAACAUCACUGUAAAUAACUUCAAGAGGAUGGGACGAUUUUAUUGUUAACUGUGAAAAGGACAACUUGUGACUUUUAUUUGUUAGACACGCAUUACAAUAAAAAAAAAAGAUGUUAAACUCAAUUUAUUGGAAAAGAUAAUUUGCUUAAGAAUAGAAGCAGAUGGGUGUCCUAGCUUAUGAUGCCAAUCAUGAGAAGUUGUUUUGAUACUGGAAAAGGCAAGAAUGAGAUUGGAAAGUGGUCACUCAUAUACGCCAUCUUUAGUUUGGCCCCUUAACAAUGUGUUCCCUGUGCUGAGAUCCUUCACAAAAAAAGUAUUAGGUAAGAACUUAAUAGCAGCAUUAUUGGUAUUGCAAAAUUGAUGAAUUGAAAUAAGAUUUCGUUUCAUGCUUGGUACAUGGAGAACAUUAUUUAGUUUAAAAUUUUUAUGAGGAGAGGUAAGAGUGGUUGAACCAGUGUGAGUUAUCUGUAACUCAGUGCCAUCCCCAAUCAUCAUGUCAUCGUUUCCGUCAUAUGGAUUGUGCAAAGACAGGUUCUACAGGUUAGAUGUGACAUGGUGAGAAGCACCACUGUCAAGAAGCCAAUUUUGACCGUUAUGUGUUACUGCUGCAUAAUUGGCUUUGGGCUGCCAUAGAGUGGUUGUGCUGGUGUUGGUAGGUUGGAUUGGUUGCAACUUGUAAGAUGAACACUUUUUGUCCGUGUGGCCUUGAAUCCUACAGAGUUGGCAAAAGCCAAGGUAGGGACGUUGUUGUCGAUUCAAACUGUUGUUUUGAGAUUGUCCUGGAUUUCGAUUGGUUUUGGUUGAACUUUGGUUGGCAUAGUUGUUGCUAUUGCGCCAGUUGUUAUUGGUGCGAGUUGAAACAUGAGCAGUGAUAGGAAAGACAGUUUGUGGUUUGGUGAUGUUGAGCGUGGCUUCAAAUUUGAGGAGUUUUUCAUGGAGUUCUUCAAAGGAGAUUUGAGUAUCUCUUACUUGAACAACUCUGACUAACUCUUUGUAGUCAUCACCAAGUGUCUCUAGGAUCUUAUCGGUGAGGUCAUCGUUAUCAAAUGGUGACCCAAGUAGAGCUAACUCAUCAGCUCUUGCCUUCACAUUUUGCAGAAAUUCAGUAAUUGAUUCAGGCCCUUUAGUCAUUUGUUUGAUUUGAUUUUUGACUUGCUUGAUUCAACCAUGUGAGGGUUUGGCAUAUGUGUUGGCAAGUGUGGUCCAAGUUUUUUGUGAUGUUUUGCUAUUAGCAAUAAAGGGGAUUAUAGAGGGAGAGAUUGAUCCAAUGAUUGCAUUUAAAAUCAAUUGAUCUUGUCGAAUCCAAAGAGUAUAUGCAGGAUUUUGGGAUGUGGUGUUGUUGGCUGUUACAGUUGCAGAAGGACAUGGUUUAGAGCCAUCUAUAUAUCUGAGGAGAUCAUAGCCAACGAAAAGUGUUUGGAACUGUAACUUCCAAGAUAGGUAAUUGGUGGUAGUUAAUUUGAGAGGAGUUUGAGCUGCGACAUUGAUCGUGAUGAGAGUGUUGUUUGGAUCAUUGGUGUUUCAGAUAGUAGUAUUGGAAUGAUUGCUUGCCAUUGCAAAAAUUCAGUAGAAAGAGGGAUAAGAGAAAAGAAAAUUGGAGAGCUUUAAUGCUCUGAUACCAUAACAGAGUAAAGGAUUUUGAGAGAAUGAAUUGCACACUUUUCCAUUGAUUGUAAGACUUUAUAUACAACAAUAUACAUAACAACUUUGCCUAUUUUAAAGAGAUAAGAUAACAAAAAGAUAUACUUUACAUUUGAAUUAGUUUGAAUGAGUAAACUAGAUAGGUCUCAUAUUCUAAGAGGAGAAUAUGCUGACAUACAAUUCAUGAUUUUGAAUUAUCCUCGUCCACUUUUUUCACCCCACUCAUUACACAAUAAUUAUCAUCAAGCCCACAAGUUUGCAAUAAUUAUUUGAAUUGGACCAUUAGCCUACGUUUUGGCCUCGGGAUGCUCCACUCCAGCCUUUAUUUGUAAAUAUUAUUUUCCUCUUAAUGAAGUUACUACUCAAAAAGGCAAAAAAAAAAAGGUAACUUUUUUAUGAUCAUCUUCCUCCCUUGCAUGAUUAUUUUGUUUCAAUUUAAAAUUUAUUAAAAAAAGCGUAGUUAAAUUUUGGUUUAAAAAGGACGUUGAUGAUGAUACAUCGGUGCCAAAAGCCAUCAAAGAAAGAAAAUUAAAAAAUCCCCAUUGGUUGUGGGUGGACAGAGUUUUAAGCGUAAGAGAUUGUUUGUGUUUCAAAUGUGAGUUUAAUUAGAUAUACAUUUGUCGUUUCAUCUAAUUUUAAUGAAAGUUAAAGUUAUAAAAUACCUAAGGAGUUUUAAAAGAUAUUUAAAGUGGUGCUAAUAGUCCAACUGUGUUCGUUUUUCAUGCAGAUGAAUACUCAAAUAGGCCAUGCAUCAAGAAAAAUAAAUGCAAGAGGCAAUAGCUGAUAUUGCCAAAAGAAUCGAGAGCUUUCUAAAAUGCAGAAAAUGUGACGGAUAGUGAGUAGGAAUUUGGUGGGUGGACAGAUGUAUAUUUGUGGCAGGAUAAGAAUAAAAAAGAAAGGUUUAAGCUUUAGAGGAUAUAGAAGGAGUUUGAUUUGUGCCUUCUUGGACCGACCAAUGAUUCCAUUUUUCGUUUUGUUUUGUCAUGCAAAAAUUAUUUUCGACAAAGCUGAAAGCCAGGAGACAUGGAUAGGGGAGCGACGAAGAAAUCGUACGACUCUUCUCAUCAGCAAAUUAUCGGAUGAAACAGUUAGACAGUCAGGUGCUCGUGGGACCCACUUUUGGACUCUUUGAUUUUCGUCUUUUUUUCCCACUUUGUCUUUUUGCGAUUUUUUUUUUUUACCACUAGCACUAGGUAGCGUGUGUUUAUUUAUUUUUUAUUUUAAAUUUAUAAAUGUAAAAUAUUAAUUUAUAAAGCUGAGUCGGUGUGUACGUAUAGAAAACAGCCAACCUGACAACUGGUAAGUUAAAUGGGUCUGCAUUUGGCUGUUAAUAAUUUGUUCGUUGCUCCUGCAACAGGCCAAUUCUCAAUAUUCAUAUAAAAUUUUAAUGGCUAUUACUGAAUGAGUGUGUAGGGUACUGGAUAAAAAUGAAAAAACGGAAUAAAUUUGACACAACAUUUUAUUUAAUAUACCCUUCUUCAUAUCAUAACUAAUUAAACAGCCUCUACUUUCUUGAAAAAUCAUAAAUAUUUAAAGUAAAAAGACAAAAAUAAACAAAUAUAGAAAUAUGGUCCGCACCAUAAGUACACGGUAUCUAUCAUCGGUUUGCCCCCAGAAGUAGAAAAGUGCUUUUCAAGUCUCCUCUGUAAUAAAGCCACAAAUAGCAGCUAACUAAAAGCUAACUGACGUUGUCACAUUGACGAUAGAGACCAAACACUUUCCAAACUCGGGAAAAAAAAAAAAAAGAAAGACAUCGAUUUCACUUUAUUAAAUAUAAUAAGGCAGCUGUUACUUUGGAAGUGUUACAAUUGUUUCAGAUUUAGGUACAGACAUCCAACGAUUUUGGACUACUCUACCAUAGAAUUGUUUUAAGAUAGCUGAACUCAUAUAAUUGAUGUAAUUACAAUUAUUAGAUUUAAUAUUAUGAUUGAUACAUAUAUAUUAAAACAAAAUGUAAACAUAAAUAUAAAAAGAACAAUUAAGAUAAAAUAAGCUUCUUUAAACAUCACGAUGAGACUUGAGAAGCAACUAUUGUUUGUUGUGUUAAUUUAUCUGCGAGCCGCACGUAUUCAUUUACCAAAGAAAUCGUAAUUAAUUACCAGAACUAAAGCUUUAUUGAAGAAGAAGAAGAAGUAAUUUAUAUGUUAAUAUUCUUUUCAACUUUAGUACUGCGUGUUGAUGGGAGACAAAAGUCAAAAAUUGUGAACAGAAAGAGACAUACGAAUCUCAGAAAUAUAAAAAAAAAAGUUGAUAUGCCCAAAGAGUAAGUAUGUAUGUAUAAAAUAAGUAUGUAUGAAGUCCAAAGAAUAAGGAACCUGCAAGUUAAAAAAAGUUGAUAUGCCCUUGUUCUUUCUGAAAGUGUUUUUUGAAGCAAAAGCUAAAGAUAAAGACUAUAGGUCAUUGUAAUAACUAGUUGGCAAUGGAAAGAUAUAAAACUCUCAUAAUUCUACACGUUGUUACUUUAGCAGGUAUAUGGAUAUGAUAUCAAGUUAUGACCACAACUUCCAGGUUGUUCUCAUCAUCAUCAGUUGAGCUUGGCCGCAGGUUUUGGCUGUGGUUCCUUUCUGCUUCAAGUAUUGUUGCUGAUUAUGCGAGCUGUUGAGCAUGGCUUUAGAUUCAAUUUCAGCAAAUGUAAUUGCUCCUUUUAAGGUGAUGUAAUUGGUGUGGGGAGAGGAUUUAAUUCGAAGGAUUUACGGUUGUGGAAAAAAAGAAAUUUUCUUUAUGUUAACUUGCAACAAUAUGUAUGUAAUUUUUUACGAUAUUAGCAAUAUUUAAUAACAGAAUAGUUGAAAUAUUUUUAAAUUGUGUUAUUUUCAAAUUAUGAGACAAAGAAAAUAAUUUUGACCAAAAGAUAUACUAACCAUACACUAAAAAUGCAUGAACGAAUGAUACAUGAAUAUUUCAAUAAAAGAAAUGUAUGUAACAAAUUUGGAACAACUCAGGAGAUACAACUCUCUUCUAAUUGUCCUUCACCUUUAAAUUUAUUCCACUGGUACAUGGAUAGACUAGUGUUGGAAAAGGAACAUGCCAAAACUAAAUUCCAAUUACAUUUUUUUUUCCCUAUCAUUAAGUUUCUAUAGUUAAAUUUAAUUAUAGAGACUAAGUGAUAAUGUUAUUGAGCGAACCAUAUUCUAUAUAAAUAUGCUUUCGAUGACUAAAAAAUACCGACAUUCACAUUAAUCUCUGAGGGCCCAGCUUUAAGAAGAAAUCGAUUAGUGUGGAAGUAUGAGACGUGAAGGAAUCAAACGUAUUUAAAACUAAAACAUAUAAAGGGACACGUCAUGAAUCAUCUUGAGGCAGCAAACCAUCCAGAUUUUCGUUCAUCCACUACCACCCGAGCAAAAACGCAAACGGUAGGUGAUUUACUUUUAUUGCUCUUUCACUACCACAUGACUUAUUUGCAUCUCAGCACAGAUGCUUAACUUGCAUUAUCCAAGCCAUUCUCUGAUUCUCUCAAUUUUCUUUAUGCUUUUAGUCAGCAAUUUACCCCUUACUUACUAAGUUUUUUUUUUUUUUCUUAAUUUGGAAUUUAAUAAAGAAAUAAUUUUGAAAACUACUUUAUUUGCAACAGAAGUCCAAAGGGAUCGGUGACACAAAAUGUGUACUAUUUUCACACGUAGGAGAGAGCCAAGUAACAUAGAAAAGAGCUAUAACAUCAAAUGUUCCCAAAACCUCAUUAACUUUCUUUCCUUGCCCAGAAGCAAAAACAUUAUUCUCCGUUAACAAACAGCUACAAGAACUUGGAACAUUCCAAGACAUUACUCUCCAGUUCCUCAUCUUUUUAUUAUUCAUGGUAACAUUGCACUAUAAAUGAGAUAAAUGCAUUUAUCCGCACCCAUAUUAAUGGAGGAGACAAAUUAAAAUUUCCCAUGCAUAAUAAACCAAUUACCCACAGGUACAAUUAAAGUUUCAAAUAGACAUAUUUAUGAAAAUGCCUAGAGCCUACCAAACUUCUUAGUUAAUCUGCUCACAAUAGAACAUUUGACAACCACUUUUUGAUAAAUUGGGUUAUUAAUCGCCUUUGUGUUCUUUGAAACCUCAUUCUUGGAUUUGGUUGCUGAGUUUUCAAUUAUUAAUUGAACUCUAGUCAUUGAUACAUAUGAAUGCUUAUGGUACCGUCAGAUGGAAUCUGUCAUAGACUGAUGAAUUAUUACAUGUUUCUUUUACUAGCUAAUUGAUUUUUUAAACAUAUAUUUAUGAAUUUUCUAACACUAUGGGAGAAGAGUAUCACCAAAACACUCUUUAGAUUUUACUUUUUAAAUAUCUAUUUACUUACCUAUGCGGUAAAUCGAAAAGUGAAAAAAUAAACUCUCUCCUAAAAAACACUUCAAAUAAGACAAGAUAAUAUUAUUUUAAUUAAAUCUUUUUCUUUACCAAAUUUAAUUACUCUUCAUUUUAUCACUCCAACUAUUUUAGUCAAAUCUUUGAUGUUAAGUAAUUUUAUGUUGAUUUUAAAUGUCAUUGUCAUUGUUGUUGUUAUAUUUUAAAUAUGUUUAUCUUUUAAUAAUUCUGUUGAUAUGCCCUUAAUAUGUUUUUAGAUUUUAUGUUGAUUUCACACUCCUGUAAGGUCCAUUUUGAAAAUUUUUUACUACGUUUGUGACCACUAUUAUUAGGUUGAAUAUGUCAUUUUUUUAAUCUUAAAUUUUAAAACUAAACUCAAAAUCUGAAUGCACAAAGCUGGUGGAUUUGGUGCAUAUAAAAAAUUAGUUUUUCAAUCUUUUGGCGGUGUUUUAUUCUUAUAGAUAAAAUAUGAAAUCCUACAUGUAUAUUGGUCAAUUUGGCUUUAGUUACAUGACAUAAUUUUUUUUUUUUUUAUAUGGAGUUUAACUAAGAAGAAAGAAUCUAUUUGCGAAUAUUCAAAUGCCACGUGCUGGUUCAUUGGUCCAUUUAGCUUUAGUUCAUCGUCCGUGGGUAGGUGACAUACUUGUUACUUACCUGCAUUGUCAUUGUUGUUGUUAUAUUUUAAAUAUGUUUAUCUUUUAAUAAUUCUGUUGAUAUGCCCUUAAUAUGUUUUUAGAUUUUAUGUUGAUUUCACACUCCUGUAAGGUCCAUUUUGAAAAAUUUUUACUACGUUUGUGACCACUAUUAUUAGGUUGAAUAUGUCAUUUUUUUAAUCUUAAAUUUUAAAACUAAACUCAAAAUCUGAAUGCACAAAGCUAGUGGAUUUGGUGCAUAUAGAAAAUUAGUUUUUCGAUCUUUUGGCUGUGUUUUAUUCUUAUAGAUAAAAUAUGAAAUCCUACAUGUAUAUUGGUCAAUUUGGCUUUAGUUACAUGACAUAAUUUUUUUUUUAUAUGGAGUUUAACUAAGAAGAAAGAAUCUAUUUGCGAAUAUUCAAAUGCCACGUGCUGGUUCAUUGGUCCAUUUAGCUUUAGUUCAUCGUUCGUGAGUAUCACCAAAACACUCUUUAGAUUUUACUUUUUAAAUAUCUAUUUACUUACCUAUGCGGUGAAUCGAAAAGUGAAAAAAUAAACUCUCCCCUAAAAAACACUUCAAAUAAGACAAGAUAAUAUUAUUUUAAUUAAAUCUUUUUCUUUACCUAAUUUAAUUACUCUUCAUUUUAUCACUCCAACUAUUUUAGUCAAAUCUUUGCUAAGUAAUUUUAUGUUGAUUUUAAAUGUCGUUGUCAUUGUUGUUGUUAUAUUUUAAAUAUGUUUAUCUUUUAGUAAUUCUGUUGAUAUGCCAUUAAUAUGUUUUUAGAUUUUAUGUUGGUUUCACACUUCUGUAAGGUCCAUUUUGAAAAUUUUUUACUACGUUUGUGACCAUUAUUAUUAGGUUGAAUAUGUCAUUUUUUUAAUCUUAAAUUUUAAAAAUAAACGCAAAAUCUGAAUGCACAAAGCUAGUGGAUUUGGCGCAUAUAGAAAUUAGUUUUUCGAUCUUUUGGCUGUGUUUUAUUCUUAUAGAUAAAAUAUCAAAUCCUACAUGUAUAUUGGUCUGUUUGCGAAUAUUCAAAUGCCACGUGCUGGUUCAUUGGUCCAUUUGGUAAUUGGAUGCAUGGAAAAAAAUUGGUACGAUUUAGCGAUUUGGAAAUCAGUGCUUUACUUUUGAAGACAUCAAAGUCUCAUGAUUGAUUAGCGUAUCUGCUAUUAAUUUUUUAAGACUCAUUAUUGGUUAUUUUAUUUUAUUUGAUAUUAUUUAAUUUUGUAAAAGAAUAAUAUGAUAAUAAGCAAAUGACUGAAUAAAAUUAAAUAAUUUCUUUUAAGGCUCACUACUGAUUAAACAAUAUAAAUUUGAAAUAAUAUGAGUUUAUGUGUUUAAGAUUUUAACUCGUUAAUUUUUUUGAGUUUUCAAUAAAUACUAGAGAGUAUAAUGUUAAUAAUUGAUUAGAUAAAUCUUUAUCAUUGAAACUAUUUUUCAUUAAAUUCAACAGUAAAUGCCUGAAAUAAUUAAAAAAAAAUUGGUGGUAACUAGAUCCGAGCAUAUGAAUAGAAAGCAGCCAAUCUGGCCGAGAAGUAAAGUGGGUCUGGAUUUGGCUAUUAAUAAUUUGCUCAUUACUCUUGCCAUAAGCCAAUUCUCAAUAUUUAUAUAAAAUUUUAAUGGCUGCUAGUGAGUGUAAGGUACUGGAGUCUGGAUAUAUAAAAAUGAAAAACCGAAUAAAUCUAACACAAAAUUUUAUUUAAUAUACCGCUUUCCAUAUCAUAACUAAUUAAACCACCGCUACGUUUUUGGAAAAUCAUAAAUAUUACAAUGGAAAAGACAAGAAUAAACAAAUCUAGAAAAAAGCACAAGAAGCACUACGCAUCCAAACAUUGGUUUGCUCCCAGAAUCAGGGAAGUGCUUUUCAAGUCUUUUCUUUAAUGAAGCCGACAAUAGUUAGCAGCUAAAGGACAAAGAUACCGUGCAGAAUCAAACACUGUUCAAACAAAAAAGUCUUGGAUUCCACUUUAUAAUUAGUAAUUACAAUUGUUACAUGCAAAAUGGUUGGUGCAGAGAAAAAAAAAGAGAGAAAGAUGACAUCUUUUAAAAAAUGCGGGGAAAGUCAUAAUGGUGCUUCCUUAAUCGUUUAUUUUAUUUUAUUUUUUUAUUUUUGGCUCGAAUAUGCGCAUUACCUUGUUUAGCAGGCGGUUUUAUGUGAAUCUGUGAUACUGCCAAGAAUCUUUGUAGUUCCCAAUCCCAAUAUCUUAACCACAUCCAUCAGGAACCUUUUUGAUUUGAGAUUUUUUAUUUCCCCCAAUAUUAAAUCUUUUAAUCUUUCAUUGUGUGCUCGAAAUCUUAUAUAUAUAUAUAUAUAUAUAUAUAUAUAUAUAUGAUUGUCCAGCUUGCGUGGUUUAUGAUUGUCCAGUAGUUGAGAAUGGGUGUCAGCAAAAUACACACAAGGAAUUACGAUUUCACUUUUAAAAUUUAUAAAUCUAAAACAACACUACGCCGUACGAUAAAUAAAGUGAAUUGAUUAAAAUAAAAUCUUAUUGGCCAAUUCCUUUGUUGCCUGUCUGGACCCAUUCACCACACCUCCGAAGAUAUAAAAGAUGGUGCCACGUCAGCCCCUUACACUGACGUGGAAUAACGGCAUUCCUCGACCAACGUGCAAAAUUGAAGCUUAAUUAAUGACUGAUGCCACGUCAUGGCGCUUCGUGGGGUCGAGACCCCCUUGAUAAACGAGAUUUUCUACAUCUUCGAGUCAGUGCUUCUUGAUUAGUUAAUGUUCAUUCUUGCCAUAUAUGCAAACGGGGACAAUUAGUUAAUGUUCAUUCUUGCCAUCCAUUUUUGACUCUUGUUUGCAAGCCCAUAUCUUCCACAGUAAGUUCACUUCGGUGGAUUGUGAAUACUUCGCCGCUAAUUAAGCGUACUAAGCAUCAACAUACUUUUUUCGAAAUUAAUGAAUGAUAGAGACCUAGUGGGACGAGGGAUAUUAUAACAACACGUGUUCCGAUAAUCCUCGUGGGAAUUACUUUUGACAAUUGAUGAACUAUAGAUGGUCGGUUUAUGUAUGCUGCUGUUUUCAGUCGUGCCAUUAUCGACACGGCGAAGCUUAUCUUACAUAAGUUAUACGUUACAGUUAUAAAUUUUUGAAUUCUUAGAAAAGUUAAUAAUUAUGAAAAAGUUAAUAAGUUUUAAAGUUUUAUUAUAAAUCCCAAACUACAACCAAGCUGCACUGCAAUUGUACUUCAAUUUUUUUUUUAAGUUUUUCAUUUAUAUUUAUAGCAAAUUCAGUGCCAAGUUUUUAUUCUAUCUAAUUGAAUCUCUAACUUGUUUAAUAUUAUAUUUAUUGAGUUUUUAUUCAUUAUAUUAAUGAUUUCUUACUUUAAUAUAUCAUGAUCUUCAAUGUUGAAGUCUUUUUUAAUUGUUUAACUUUAUUUAAAUUUUUACUCAUUUGAUCUCCUAUCUUUUUAAUUUGUUUUAUAUUUUCUUUAUUAAAAUUAUUAAUUUCUAACAUUUCAUUUGCUUUUUCUAUAUCAUUUAUAAAUAAAUUUGGGUUUCCUAAUUUAUUUAAUAAAUAUAGCGAAAUUCAAUUUAAUUGAUUAUUUUCCCACAUGUCUGAAUCAUUAAUCAGAUCAGAGGAUUAAAAUAUUUCAUAAGAAAAUCCUCUUUGUAUAUAGCUAGAAUGUGGUAUCAUUUGCUUUUUCUAUUUCAUUUAUAAAUAAAUUUGGAUUUCUUAAUUUAUUUAUAAAUAUAGUAAAAUUCAAUUUAAUUGAUUAUUUUCCCACAUGUCUGAAUUAUUAAUCGGAUCAAAUGAUUAAUUUUUUUCAUAAGAAAAUCCUCUUUGUAUAUAAUUAGAAUGUGGUAACUUAUUAGUUUAUAUAUUUUGUAAAAUUAUUAGAGGUUCUAGUGAUUUAUUCAUUGUAACAUCUUUCUAGUAAUUUAUUAGAGUCAUAAUAUAUUUAUGACAUUUAAUCUCUCUUAUAAUUCAAGAUGCUAAAUUUAGAUUUUAUAUAUAUAUAUAUAUAUAAAAGAAAAAAAUAUAGAUUCCUAGGAGAGAUAAGAAAUUAUAAAUGCAUGUGCAAAUAUAUAUUCAGAAUUUAUAAACCUUUAUGAAUAUGAUAAUUAUUUAUAUCUUUAUAAAAAUAUAGUAAAAACUUUUAAAAAUUUUAAGAAUAAAUGUAGAAGAGAUGGUUAACAAAAUUAUUUAGUUAUACAAAAUUAUUUAGUUAUACAAAAUUAAUGAGGACUUAUUUGAAAAAAUAAGUAAAUAUGUGAUUCAAAACAAAAUUUUUUGUAAAAAACUAUUACACCCAUACCUCGUUUUAGGUUAAAAUUAUUUUCAUCCAUUAGAUUAAGAAAUCUAACCACCCAUAUGCAUUGGCUGUUUGUUACAGCCAAUAUAACAUAAGCCUUGGUUUAUUUUCAAAUUACGAGAGGAAAAGGAAAAAUUGUGCAGAAAAGUAAUGAAUAGCAUACCUUCCACAAAAUAGACGCGUGUAUCAAAAUAUUGAAGAGCUUUUGAAGUCCUUUUCAUGAUUAAUUUGGCAAAAGCCCUUGUCAUCAAGUUUAACUUUGCUUUAAUUUGGCUACUGACUACAUAUUACUUUCCAAUUUCUUCUUAGAAAACGUUGGUUUCUUAAGAGAUUAACAAAUGAAAAUUAAAAUAUGGAUGGAUAAUAGAGGCUUCUUGGCUCGUUCCCGAAAAAAAAGGGAAUGCUGUGCUUGGUUCAAGAAACAGGCUUCUAUCUGAAAGGGAUAAAAGAAGAGAUGAAUUGUAAAUAAAUUCAAGCUUGCAAAAUAAAAGAGUAGUCUAGAGCUUCCAAUCAUGCACAACUUAUUCUAACACUGAACAGAAAAAUGAUUUGAAGUGGAGUCUUCGAAGGCAACAGCUUGUUUUCAAUUUUAUAAAUUAUAUACUCUCAAAAUAAAUUUGAUACAAAAACAGGUUGCUUUUAUUACAAUUAAGUGAAUGGAGCAACAUUCAAAAAAAAAAAAAGUGAAUGGAGCAGAUUAUUUUGUCCUUCAAGAAAGUUUAAUCAAGAAUAAAUAAGCUAAUGGCCCUUUGGCCCAGCGGUGAAUCCUUACUUCCAGAGUUAAGAAAGAUUGUGAGGGUAGGGGUUCGAGUCUCCUGAACUCAAAACUCUCUCAAUUUAGCAUUAUAAAUGAUUGUGGGGUUUAUUUGUAAGUUUUUCUCCUUUGCAAAAUGCGAGUGCAAUAUAGAUAUCAUUUCUUUGCGAGGGUUACUUGUCAGUAAUCUGAUGUGUAAUCAGUAUUUAAAAAAAUCAACAACGGUUUGUAAGUCUUUUUUUUUUACGAAAUACGAGUAGAGUAAAGACAUUCCUCCUCUGUGAGGAUUAUUUAUCUGAAUUUUAAUAUGAUGUGAAAUCAGUAUUAAAAAACAUCAAGAAUAAAUAAUAUUCUAGUUUCAACAACGGGUCACUUUCAGAGGGACCGAACUGCACCGCUCAUUACAAAAUUCAAACCAGACGUCACCAUUUCACACAAACUUGUGCAAAUCAGUGCUUUCACUUUUGAAGACAUUAAUUAGCAUUACAUCACAGGUUCACCAAUGUUCUUACAUAAACAAGUGAGUCCAAAAGUUCUUACCCCUCAGUCAUUGCAAAUGCAAGAUGAUCAAAAACAAAAAUGUGCGAGUUUUACACACUUUAGUAAACCCAAAAGAAGAGGAAAUUUGGAUAAUGAGGAGCACUUGUAGGUAGACAAGAAAGAUAAUUUAUCAAGCACCAGUUCAUCAGAUAAGCUUCAGAAUGUCUCAACUCAGGAUAUGAACUGAAAUUGUUUACCUACCUACAGUUGUUUAAAAAGAUGGACACUGAUUUACCAUCAAGAGAAACAUAUCAACUAUACAUAUAUAAUUGCAAUACAAGCGCAUCCGAUUAUCAACAAAAUCACAUUGUUUGCUGAGAACACAUGUAAUAGACUCACUCAAACACCCAGCACACGCUGCACUCGACUAAUGCCCCUUUUAAGAGUAAUGAAGGGGGUUGAACUUAGAUGCGGAGGAGUCGAAGUGAACAGCUUGUUUUCAAUUGGAUUCACUGGCAUUGGGCUGGCAAAGACAGUAGGUUCCUGCAUAAAAGAACAAUGCAAGUUAGUGAAAAAAUCAGUUUAAAAAUUUGAAUUUACCAAGUAAAAGCAGCAUACACUUCAACCUGCACAUCAGUUGUAAUUCUCCUUUGAAGCCAAUGCCAUUACAGGUUCCACCAUGGGGACACUGCUAACAGUUUUCAAUUGACAAGCAAGAGGAUCAAUGUUUUCAGCAUUCCUUUUUGCUGGUACUGGUGUUCUCGUGUGCUGAGAAAGCUCCCUGUUGUUUCCACAAAGAGUAAAUAUGUUCUGAAUUCUUAACCUUCUGGAGGACUCUGUGUCUUCAGGUUUCUGAGGGGAAGAUGCCAAUAAGCCUGUAGUGAGAUUGAGACUGGGAAUAUUUCCAUCAGCUAACCCACUUGAACAGACCCUUUUCUCCUCUAUUAUAACCUUCUCUACCUCAUCUUCAGCACUUUCUUUAUGAUCGUCCUCCUUGUCUUAUAACACCAAACCUUCGUCCUGCUAACAAAUUGACCCUUGUUACAAAACACAAGAACGUACGAUAUCAAUAUCAUUAAAUUAAACAAUAAGCACCAUAAGUGCCAAAUUUUGUAGCUACGCUGUUACCGAUCAUGCAAAUCAAAAUGGAAAUUACCAAAGAAUGUAUUCAGAACAAGCUGAAUCCCUCACAAAACGCCAUAUAUUCACCAUUUAACCAUGACCAACUUUUUCGUUUGAGGCAAAGGAAAAAAAGAGACAGAAAGUUAAAAGGAUAAAAAUUGAAAGCCGAGGGCAGUAAUUUGGAAGACGACAGCAUUUUUUAUCUCUUUUUCCCGGCCAUUGGAGAAUUGAAAUCCCCGUUAAUAAUAAAAAAAGUAAAAAUAGAAAUACAAUUUAAAAAAAAAAAAGCAAUCUCCAUGUAACAAACGAUGAUGUCACGAGCUCGCAACACUUGUUAUAGUACCUAUGGUCUCACACUCUUACUAGGCCAAUAUCCUUUUAUUAGUUUGUUUUUCUUCUUAUACAAUCAAUACAAACAUCAAAAUCUAUAAAAUUUAAGGGUUCAAAAUUUCGUCUAACACAAAUUUCUUUAUUUUUUUUUUAGGAUAUGAUCUAAUCUCUUGUGUUAUAAUACAACCGAAUUUACAUUACUGUUGAAAUUAAUUAAAUAAAGCAAUUAUAUUGAUCAAAUAAAAAUUCUCAUAACCAAACAAAGAACCAAAACCAACCAAUUCUGAAUUAUAAAACAAACUAAAUUUUUCAUUCCUCAAUGAAAAAGAAAAAUUAGAUUUGUCCAAAGCAGAAUUGGAAAUAAAAUUCCGCCUAAAAGACAUAUUUCAUCAAGAUCCAUAUAAAAUUCAGUCUUUAAUAAUAACAUAAGUUUUUUAUUACUUCAACUUCAACCGCUUUGCCAUCUAUCAUAAAUGUAUAUUUCACAAUCACUUGGCUUUCGGCAACUUAAGCAACACACUGAUGUGAACUCCCAGUUGAAUUUGCAAGCUUGGGUUCGAGUCCCAGUCCCACAGGUCGUGAAAGUACGCAAUUACCCUAAUCAGCUGAAGUAUCAAAACCUGUUUGUAUAAGCCUGCAAAUUACAAGUUAAUCAUCAGCAAAGAAGGGGGCUGAAGCGAGAAACAACAUAUCAUUUACUAAUUAUAAACCAUGUAAAAUUAACGUAUUUUGCCAGUCACAAAACCCUUUUUCUUUAGAGAUAAUCUCCCCAUAGCAACUAUAAAUAAGGGCACAAAAAUGACCACAAAGUACAACAGUCCCCUCUUUUUUCUCCAAACAAAUACAACCAUUUCAGUUCACAUAGAACCAUUCAAGUUCCAAGUUUCAACCAAUGAAACAAUCAUAGUAUUCUUAUAAAAAUAAAAAAUGAAGUAACCAUAGAAUAAAAUAAUUAUACACUAAUUCAAAUAUUGCUUCAGAAUUUACGAUUUAUGCCAGACUCAGUAGCUCAAACCUAUGGAAUUGGAAUGAUGCAUUUAUUUAACCCAAAAGGUAAAUACCAAGCUUAAGGUUCUCACAUACUGAAAUGAUCAAAUUUCAUUCAUUCUGAACAUGGGAUGCAACUUGAACUAUUUCAAGUUAUUCCAAGAGAGAGCAUUAAAAGAAAUUUUUUCAUCCUACGUGCUAUAAGUAGCAUACUUCAGCUAGUAUUAUGCAUCAUCGGCUAAAUCAUUUGGAUUAUUAACAUUGAUAUUUUUUAUUAGCUGAAUUAAUAACUGUCGCACCCCUAACUUAAGGGCACUUGUAAUAAGAAAAUUUUAUCUACAUCAGGUGCAAGUAUACGCAUUUAACAAUUAAGCUGUGACUGUUUGGUUACAAGAACAAACAUAUACUAGUAGAGAUGAAUAAAACCCAGCAACAAACAUAUACUAGUAGAGAUGAAUAAAACCCAGCACUUCAAGAAAAAUUUGACAAUAUCUCCCCUAAAAUAUGGAUAUUAUCCAAUAUAUGAUAUAUCAAACCAACAAUUUUAAUACCCAGCUGCUUAAAGCUUCAAAAUAUCAGUCAAUGCAACAUUUGGGGUCUCCGGGACCCUAUCACUACAACACUAACAGAUAUAAGUGCAUCCUACUGAUGUUGCGUAGUCAUUCUAAAUACAUGUAUUAAAAAGUAUAAUAUCUGCAACAAGGUAGCUUACAAAGUUUACUAGGCCAGCAAUGCCGAAGUACAACCAGAACAAUAACAAAAAUAUAAAAAGAUAUAUAUAUUUCUUAAAACCUUUUAAGUUUGAAAGUUUUGGUAUUCAACAGAAACAUCAUAAGACAAGAUCAUAACAACAUACACACUUACCAAUAUAGGGUUGCCCAUACUUUCUGAAGUUACGUGUAAAGAAAUCCUAUAAUUACUCUUUCAAUAAUACAAAAUAAAAACAUGCCUGACAAGUCAGUAAGCUGUAAUCCCGAGCAAACAUUUUCACCCAAUAUUAAUUUUAAAAAGAAAUACCCAACGUACUUUUGGUGCACUAUCCCCAGGGGCCACCGCCAAUGAUUUCUUUUGCAGACUUUAGAAAUCUGAACAAUGUCAAUUCAGCAUAGCGUACUUUUGGGGCAUUAUUCCCAAGGGCCCUCGCCCAUAAUUUCCUUUGCGAGCUUCACUGCGGGACAGGAGUCUGACCAUGACCAAUCAACCUUCUCAAACCUCAUUUUGAAUGAAAGGAAUAAAAAUUAUUAACUCAUUCAAUAGCAUCAAUGUAAGUUUCCUUACAAUAACACACCACAUCCAUGAUAUUUCUCAAUAAUAAUAGCCAUAGAUAACAGAAUCUCAGCACAUCCCCAGUUUAACACCACAUCCACAAACUUAAAUGCAAUCAAAGCACCAUAUCAUUGCAGGAUACAUAAACACAAUUCAGCACCACUACAUAUUCCAAACUUGGCUCAUAUCGCCGUAAAGUUCAAUUCUCAUUCACGACUGCAUCAACCGAAAUUAACUGAUUCAAGUAAUUUCAAUACAUGGUCUUCAAUUAAAACUCGCAAUCCUGUGAUAAUUCUAGCAUGUCAAUUUUUUAUUUUAGCCAUGUAGUCAUGUAAUUAAAUGGCUAACCACACACCCACUGCAUUAAUUCUUAAAGGAAGCAAUUAAGCCAUUAACACAUUAAAUCUACGGAAAACAACUUAUAAGGACCCAAAAUAAAAAUUCAGAUUAUCAAGCAAGAAAAACAACCUGAUUUUUCAGUUUUGAGUAACAAAAUCACUCAAUUGCAUAUAACCACAUACCUUAAAUCCUGCACCAACAGCUCCUAGCUCUCCAAACACUUCGCUAACUCCACUUCCUACUGGUAAUACUGCAACAAAAACUAACCAACUAUUCUGCCAAUAAUUUAAGGAUCCCAAAUUCAACACAAUCCUAAACUUGCUGAAAGUUACAGCAGCAACAAGGAAACAAUUAAGAAAAUUAAGUGAAAAAAAAAAUUCAUCAAUAAAAGUAAGAAGAUUUCAAAAUUGAACCAUGCAUGCACAGAAACUUACCCAAACCAGGUCUAAAGAAUAAGAGCUAUGAGAAAAUCCACCCAAAACCAUGUUGGUUUCCCAGAAAUUUCAUGUUGGCCGUUGUUCUUAGCUCCCUUAAAUGCACGCGCAGGGGGGGGGGAUUUUCAACUGCGAACUAAAUUUAUUUAAUCAUACAUGUUCUCAGAAUGAAUAAUGUUGUUGUUGGGAAAAUAUGCUCUUUUGAAAGCAUAUGUGUUUAUUUAAUUGUAAUAAAUAUUUUUUUAUUAAUAAAAUUAAUGAGGUAUUUUAUUCAAAUAUCUUAAUUGCAUUAAUAUUUUUAUUAAAGUCCAUUUAAUCAUAUUAUAUGUAUUUAUGUGAUCACCAUGUGGAUUCACAGAAGACAUAAAUACAAGUUAUCUUAUGAUUAAAUAAAUUUAGUUCGCAGUUGAUAAAUAAAGUUGGACACUUUAUUUAGGUAUAGACUGUAAUAAAUUCAUUGAAUGAUUUGUCUUAAUCAUGUAUGAAUUUAUUGAUGUAAUACGACUACAUUGAACAGGAUCACAUAUGAGAUUUAAUUAAUUUUGUAAUAACUGUCAAAUUUAUUAAAUCUCAUAGGCAUUGAUUUUACUGUAAUAUUAAUCUUGAGUUAAUUAUGAUUUCAUGAUUGUAAUUGUUAUUCCAUUUGAGUUACCAAUGGGCACGACACAUACUUGUAGUUUAGAUUACCUGGUAUCUUGGUGGAAGCAUUUAUGAGUAUUGGAGUUAUAGAUUAACAAUAUAGAAUUUGUACAACACAUCUCUUGAUGGGUUUUCGACACUUGAUCAUAGAAUUCUCUGGCCAGAGUGUGUCAACAUAUUUAGUAUGUUGAAAAUGAUCAUUAGAGAAAACCAAUAAGUAUCAAUGAACAAGAUGUAAUUAAAUUAAUUGGACAGUUGAGAUAUCGAUUUAAUUAAUGAUGUAGUACAAGGGAUUGUGCAGUAAAGAAAUCAAUGUGGCGUGGGACGAGUUAUUAUUCGAGCAUACAAUUAUGGAGGUCAAUUCCAAUCUUUUAGUGGGGUAGAUUUGAAAUUAAAUAAUUAGGCUAAUUUAAUUACAAGCCUAAUUGUUAUAGUCACUAUUGUAUGUUCCCAAAUGAUCCCCGGGUUAGCUCAUUUAAUUGACUGCACCACUACUGGACUAAUAAGUAAGAUAACUAGCUAUUUGGGUCAAAAGCUUAAAUAUAUCUUUUAGUGGGAGGCUCCAUUUAAUUAGCUUGUGUGUAAGGGGCCUUAUGUUAUUUUACAAGGUGGGUCCCCUAUAGAAAAAGUAAGUAACGUGAGUUUUGUUUUUUGAUUAUUUUGAAGCCUAGGAUUUUCACUAAAGGGAGAUCUAAAAAGCUUAUUUUCCCUAAAGAAAUAGAGAGCAGCCACUUUAUACAGAUCAAAGAAAAAGAUUUUUCUCUCUAUUGUUGAGAGAAAAAUUUUCUCUCUAUUGUUGAGAGAAAAAUUUUCUCGUACUAGUUGCUUUGGUAGUGAUAAAGGCGCCCACACGUCAAGUGCAUAUCAAACCUGAGUCAUAACUUGGAAGAUCAUUGGUGACAGUUCGUGAUCUAACAAGCGUGGUGGUGACGGAUCGUGAUCUAACAGGCGUGGUGGUGACGGAUCGUGACCUAGGAGCCUAAAUCACUUCAGCGGAAAAAUCUAAAUCGGAUUUUCAAGGUACGAUUUAUAGAUUACAAAUUCUUAUAUAUUAUAUGAGAGCGAUCUUAGAAAGGUUUUAUAAAAAAUUUAAAAACCCAAUCUUUCCCCAACAGCUGUUACUUCCACUUCUUUAAAUUCUUAGUUAUAAUAAAGCAUGAGUUUUGGUAUAUUUAAUGAGAUAUGGAACGGUAUUUACCUCCGUGUUAUCUUGCAAUUACAAAAUCUCGAAAGCCUCUCGCAAAACCUGAGUCUAGAUGAAUGGACUUCAAACGAAAGGAUUUUCUCACAAAAGCUAAAAAAACAUAAUGGCAUAGUGAAAAUGGGAAAAUGAAAAUAUAAAGCACAAGAAAAAGUUUCCACCUGAUAAAACAAAUACAAAAUUAUCCAAGUUCUUAUUUGUCAUGCCGAUAUUAUAUAUGAAGAACUAAUCUAAUUUCUUUUCUAGAUAAGGUUAGUAACAAUUUAUCUGUAAAUAACUGAACCAACUAGGUUAUUUGGACAUUACUCUUUCUCUUCUACGCUCAUUUUCUGCAUAGUUGCAGUUCAUCAACGGCCACGUUCAUCAAAACGAGUCCACUCUCCCCACUUCACUUAUUUCCCCAACGUUUAGGUCUCUCAAAGUGCAGCAGCAAGACAUGAACUCCUAUCAUUAUAAGCAAUACAAAAAGCCCUCCUAAAAA